UCGACCGGGUUUAUUUCUUUUUUUCUCUUCUCUCUCUCUUCUCAUUCCUUAGUCGAGUUAUUUGAAAAGGAGACGCCGCCCCUUCUCUAUCCCCCUCUCAAACCCUCCCCUCAACCAAAAUAUUGAGCCAAAUCCAUUGAAACUUGGAGGACUUCAUCAUGUUGAGGUCCUCCACCUAUUCCCUCCAUUGAUUUGAAGUUUCGCGAGUGGAAUCGAUAGAUCGAGGUAAAGCUCUCUUCUCUAUCUUUUGCCCUGAUCUUUGGUUAUAGCUAAGGUCUUGUGAAUCCCUUUGAGUAAAAGGAUCUUGUGGAUGUAAGAAACAUAUUGCUCUAAGGGAUUUCUCUAAUUUAUUGACGUACUCGACGAAAAAGGGUAAUGAAUCGUUCAUGUGAGGUUGACCCGAAUAGUUGAACGGCAUAUAUUCCGUUCACUCUCUCUUCCUAUCAUUUGUUGAAUCACCAUUUGGUUAUUCUUUUUAUCUUAUACCUGUGUUUUUAGUUCAAGAAUGAAGAACUAGCCGGCGAUAAAUAUUUAAAAAAUAUUUGAAAACAGAGGUAAUAGUUUACAAUACAGUUUGAAACGGACAAAAAAAUUACAUGCACAGCCAGUAUUGAGACAUCUUCUACUCUCCUGUGCUUGCAAGUCGACGUGAUAAUUGGCGGUGCUUUAUUAAUUUGCUUAGGAGAUAAGGUCAUCCUCCUUGUGCGUCUCGAUGACGACGUCGGAGGUGGGGUACGCCACGCAGGUGAGCACCCAGCCGGCGGCGAUCUGGCCGUCGUCGAGGUAGCUCUGGUCGGACUGGUCCACGGAGCCGGAGACGACCUUGCCGGCGCAGGAGGAGCAGGACCCCGCGCGGCAGGAGUAGGGCAGGUCGAUGCCUUCCUCCUCGGCGUAGUCCAGGAUGUAGACGUCGUCGGGCACCUGCAGCUCCACCUCCCCCUCCGGCGUGAUGAGCUUCACGUUGUAGGUGGCCUGCGCGCGCAGCCUGCUGCUGGCGCCACCGCCACGGGUCAUGGCCACGGUAGUGGGCGCUGGCGCGGCGCGGAGGGAGAAGGAGAAGGCCGGCGCGCGGGGGCUGCUCAGGACGGUGGCCAUUUGUUUGCUAGCUGCGGGUAAUGGCUGGAGUGAGCGGCUGCUAGUGCUGGUCUGGUGGACAGAUAGCUUCCCUGCCCCAGAUAUGCGAAUGAGAUGAUGGAUGGAGUGAGUGCAGCCAGCGUGUAGGCUCUUAUCUUCUUGGCGCCAGAAUUUAUUUCGUCCACCCAUUCAAAAGACGCCGUUCGGCUGGCUUGCUUACAGUGGAUGCCCACAUAGCAUUCCAAUUUAUUUUGGAAAUCGGACUCCGACGCUCGCUAUAUGGUUGGAUCUUUGUUGCGACGGGACUUUUCUUUGAAUAUACUGUACCUGUUAUUUUUUAUUUGUCGUGGUUUAGUGCAAAAAUAAAUUAGUCAUCAACAAAUAUUUGAGAAUAAAGAUAGUAGAUAAUAAUAAAUACGUAAAAAGUUAGUUCGUCUGGUGAAUGAAAGAGCAACUCUGAUUCAAGCCCUAAACACAAACAAAUUAAAAUAUAGGGCUUGUUCAACAAAAAAUAUCUCCAACAAGAGCCCUAUUUCAAUAAAAUCCAUCCAAACAUGUUAGGGCCCAACCUCGUGAGUACUAUAUUUGUGUCGGCGUUUCGAGACCGGGAGUCCCUAAGCCGACGAGUGAAUGUCGCCGCGUGCCCCAGCACAGAUGGGUCGACGCGAGGCCGAGCGCGAAGGGGGGAAAGUGAGGCGACCGGAGACCGGCGUGAGAGAGGUGGGAAUCCCGCGGCCUUCGUGUUCGUCCCGCGCCCAGGUCGGGUGCGCUUGCAGUAGGGGGUUACAAGCGUCCACGCGGGAGAGGGAGCGAGCGGCCUCACGCGAGCGCCUGUCUCGUCCUCGUCCCCGCGCGGCCAACCCUCUCUAAGAGGGCACUGGUCCUUCCUUUUAUAGGCGUAAGGAGAGGAUCCAGGUGUACAAUGGGGGGUGCAUCAGAGUGCUACGUGUCUAGCGGAGGAGAGCUAGCGCCCUAAGUACAUGCCGUUGUGGCAGCCGGAGAGAUUUUGGCACCCAGCUGGUGUGAUGUCGUGGCCGUCGGAGGAGCGAUGGAGCCUGGCGGAGGGACAACUGUCGGAGCUGUUGAGUCCUUGCUGACGUCCUCUUGCUUCCGUAAGGGGGCUGAGAGCCGCCGUCGUCACGGAGUAUGCGGGGCGCCAUCAUUGCCUAUCUGGCAGAGCGAGCCAGAUGGGACACCGGUCUUGUCCCCCGUGGCCCGAGUCAGCUCGGGGUAGGGCGAUGAUGGCGCCUCCUGUCAACGUGGCUGGUCUGCGCCCUAGGUUGGGCGAUGUGGAAGCUCCUCCGAAGCCGAGGUCGAGUCUGUCUUCCGUGGCCGAGGUCGAGUCCGAGCCCCUGGGUCGGGCGAGGCGGAGACCGUCGGCUAAGGCUAGGGCGUAGUCCGAGCCCUGGGGUCGGGCGAAGCGGAGUUCGUCGUCUUCUGGGGAUGAGCCCGAGUCCGAGCCCUGGGUCGGGCGGAGCGGAGUUCGCCGUCUUCCGGGACUUAGCCCGUGUCCGAGCCCUGGGUCGGGCGGAGCGGAGUUCGCCGUCUUCCGGGACUUAGCCCGAGUCCGAGCCCUGGGUCGGGCGGAGCGGAGUUCGCCGUCUUCCGGGACUUAGCCCGAGUCCGAGCCCUGGGUCGGGCGAAGCGGAGCUUCCUAUGGUGCCUUCGGCCGGGCCUGACUGCCUGUCAGCCUCACUCUGUCAAGUGGCACCGCAGUCGGAGCGGCGCAGGCGGCGCUGUCCUUCCGUCAGGCCGGUCAGUGGAGCGGCGAAGUGACGGCGGUCACUUCGGCUCUGUCAGCUGGGGGCGCGCGUCAGGAUAAAGGUGUCAGGCCACCUUUGUAUUAAAUGCUCCUGCGAUUUGGUCGGUCGGUGCGGCGAUUUGGUCAGGGUUGCUUCUUGGCGAAGACAUGGCCUCGGGCGAGCCGGAAAUAUAUUCGCCGCUGGAGGGGGGCCUCGGGCGAGACAGAAAUCCUCCGGGGUCGGCUGCCCUUGUCCGAGGCUAGGCUCGGGCGAGGAGUGAUCGAGUCCCUCGAACGGACUAAUCCCUGACUUAAUCGCACCCAUCAGGCCUUUGCAGCUUUAUGCUGAUGGGGGUUACCAGCUGAGAAUUAGGAGCCUUGAGGGUACCCCUAAUUAUGGUCCCCGACAGUAGCCCCCGAGCCUCGAAGGGAGUGUUAGCACUCGCUUGGAGGCUUUUCAUCGCACUUUUUUGCAAGGGGACCAACCUUUCUCGGUUGCGUUUUGUUCCGGUGGGUGCGCGCGAGCGCACCCGCCGGGUGUAGCCCCCGAGGCCUCGGAGGAGUGGUUUCACUCCUCCGAUGUCUUAUUGCCUCGCGUAGUGCUUCGGCUGGUCUGGUCAUUCCCUCAUGCGAGCUGGCCGUAGCCCGGGUGUACGGUCGGGUCCCAAGUUCUCGGGCUGGUAUGUUGACGCUGUCAACGGUUCGGCCGGAGCCAGGUUUGCGAGAGCAGCCCCCGAGCCUCUGCACAGGGCGAGAGGGCGAUCAGGGACAGACUCGACUUUUUUACAUACGCCCCUGCGUCGCCUUUCCGCAAGGAGGAGGGGGGGAAAGCGCCAUGUUGCCCUCAAUGGGCGCCGAACAUGGUGUUUCCGGUGAGCUGCAGGCGGGUAAUCCGAGUGGACGUCCGUGCCCCAUUCGUUAGGGGUCGGCUAGGGGCCCGGAGGCACGCCCAAAAGUACCUGCGGGUGAUCUGCCGGACCCGGUCCCCUGGCGACGGGGUCCGAGGGCUCGAUGCCUCCCUCUGAUGGGAUUCCGUUACAAGAUCGUUCCCGCUGGUCUCGGAAAUGUCCUAGGGUACCUCGGGAGUGCAGCCCGAGCCUUGGUUAUGUAUCGAACGUACCCAUGGUCAUCCCUCGCUCUGUGUCUGAGGCGACUGUGAACCCUUCGGGGGCCAGCCUUCGAACCCCUGAUCAGUAGUGGGCGCGGAGCCCGAGUAGCCUGAGGCGGUCGUUGAACCCUUCCGAGGGGCCGGCCUUCGAACCUCUGACCAGUAGUGGGUGUAGGGCCCACGUGAUCUGAGGCGGCUGUCGAACCCUUCCGAGGGGCCAGCCUUCGAACCUCUGAUCAGUAGGGAGGCUCGGAGCCUGGUUCCUUCACGGGGAAGGAUCCUUUUCGGGAUAUCCCCCUUUCCCGGUCCCUGUUGCAAGAGAGAGAAAGAGGAAAAAGGAAAAGGAUACGAAAUCGAACGACGCGGUGUACCUUUUUUGUCGCGGUCAUUAUGGCAAAGGCGAAGCGUCGUUCGCUUCUCCUGCCAGAGGCGCCGCCUGUCCCGCCGCGGAGUUAAUGCUACGGGGCGAGUGGUUCGCGGGGCGGCCGUUGCGCGUGCGCGAGCCGUUCGAGGAACGGAACACGGGCGCGUUGUCUUCACGCCGUGAGAGAGGGUUCUCUCGUUGCCGCCGGUUGGGACGUGAGCUUGGCUGACGACGCGGCCGCUGCUCCUGCCCGCCUGCCACCGCCAUUACUGCCGGCCCAUUUUCGGCCGCAUUGACCAUCGCGCCAGGCUGGCGCUGCUGGGUCGUGCGCUGGGUCGCCUCGAGUCGCGGUAUUGGUUCCGCAGUCGAGGAGGCGCGGUGGUGGCACAAGUGGCGGUGCAGUUGCAUGCACGAAGCACUCGGCGCGCCGGUUGCAUGACGCGUGGGCCUGGGUCUCCAUGCCGGGCGUGUUGGCAGUCGGAGAAGUGCGCCCACUUGGCGCGGUUGCAUGCCGCCUGCAUGGCUGCCCGCCCUCUCGCCCGCUGGUCUGGGCAAAAGUGGAAAGUCGCUUGUAACCGCUGGGCGGUUGUACGCACCGCGCACGACGAUUUGGCUUCUUCUGCUUUGAGCCGGCUUGCAUGACGUAUGGGACCCAGCCUCCGCGCCAUAGGAGGAGGGCCUUGGAGCGUGUUGGAGAAGACUCAGCCCGCGACGGUUGGGGACACAAGUAAGGAGAGUCGCCUUUAAAAGGAGGGUGACCCCCUUAGAAGGCGACCAUGUCUUCGCGCUUCCUUACGCAUCGCGUCUUUCCACCUUCCAAGCCCCCAGAUGGGGGAUACCCGCCGUCUUUCCGCCUUGUCGUCGGGGGAACGCAACUCCGCGGGAGUUGGUACCUUUCGGCCAUCAUUCGGCUUCAAGGAUUUUCAUCAUGCAGCCCGGCUGCACCCCUCCGCCGGCGGUCACCCAAGACGGUGACCUCCAGUUUGAUGGUGGGGGAAAGCGAGUCGGGCUGCAGCCUCUGCCCCUCCCUCAGCCUCAAGGAUUUUCAUCACCAGGGCUGGGGAGGGGAGUGUGUCGAGUUGGGGCUGGCCCAUGCGUGGGCGGCGGCCCGCUCCUUCCCUCAGUGAUCGGGGGGAAGGGCGGUUGUUGUCUGUGGCACCAGCAGCUGCCGCGUGCCUGGCUCUCGGACGCGAGUGGCUUCGGAGCCGCUCCUGGCGCCGGCGUCUGCCACGGCAGCUGGAAGAGGUUCUUCCGCCGACGAGAUAGCCAGGGCCGCCCACGGAUCGACCUCCAACUCUACGGCCUUCUGCCCGUCCUUGCCUCACGAGUUUGGGCAUAGGCGGGGGCCUCCUGGCAGCAGCAUCCGCCCUGAGGUCAUCGCUGCCGCUGUUUGGCCCCCUGGAGCAGAAGUCGUCGUCGUCGCCGCUGCUGGAGCGGGCGACGGCGCGCCGUUCGUCGGUCUUCUGUUGCUCCGCAGGCCCCCCCCCCAUCGAGUGGGGUUGUUCAUACCUGCGGAGGUGGAACCGGAGUUCCGUUUGUAAUGGCACUUUGAAUGCCAGUGUUUUUGUUCAUUGUGGCUGUCGAGGCCUGAACAUGUAUGUAAUUUUGGCACGGAGCCGUGUUUUUUCCUCAUUUUCGAGCACUAAGACUCGCCUGUUGGUUGUCUGAACCGCUUCACCAAGCGUGAGUCGCCCCGUGCAAAGGUGACGAGUGAGGUAUCCGUAUCCCGGAGGCGUAGGAGUCCCUCGGCUCGGUCGGCCUUGUUGCCCGAGGCUUCUCUUGCUCAGUUAAAGGAACCCAUCGGCCGCUCUUCGAUGAGCCGAGGCCAGGGGUAGCGGUGUCAGCGCGAACAGAGGCAGAGUUGGCUUUGAAAAGAAGACCUGGUCGGCCGGAGCCUGGCCGGGUCGUCUGUUAGCGGGACCGACGCUGGAAUUGACCAGCCGAGGCCUCGGGUCGGGCUGACGUCCUUGGAGGACAGCUGGCCGAGGCCCCGGGGUGACCGGCCGAGCCGCCUGCUCGGGCCGGAUUCCCGGAGAAGACCCUGGCAGCGAUGGCCUGGGCUUGGUGAUGACGCCGUCCUUCAGAGUGGAGAUCUUCGGACCGCGUCGCCGUCCGAGGCUAGGUCGGACCUCGCCGAAGGUGUUGUCGACGCCGAGGGUGCUACUGCUCCCUUCAAGCGUCAGGAUCCGAGCCUGCGGGAUCGGAUUGUCUUGUAGCGUGUGUUUCCUGCGGCCGCCGAGGCCAAAACACACCCUCACCGUGUUGUAAAGCUGCGUCUCUUUUCCUCUUGUUUCGAGUACCUGGACUUUUUUGUCGGUGACAGAAAUGUUUGUGCGAGCGAGAGUUGCUUCUCGCGGAAGGUGAUGAGUGAGGUAUCCGUAUCCCGGAGGCGUAGGAGUCCCUCGGCUCGGUCGGCCUUGCCGCUUACGCGCACUCUUACCCGUCCAUGGGGCUCUGUCACCGACGCAGUCGAGAAGGCUCGAAGAAUCGCUUCAGCAGAAGAGCUUUCGAAUGUGAAGACUUGUUCGGUCCGCGGAAUCACUUAUCCGAACAUGAGUUACUUAUCGCAGAAGGUGAUGAGUGAGGUAUCCAUAUCCCGGAGGCGUAGGAGUCCCUCGGCUCGGUCAGCCUUGGCUGCUUACGUGUACUCCGUCGUUUUCAGGAUCCACUUUCGAAGUAGUCAAAAAGCACGAAAGACAUUCUGGCAGAAAAGAUCUUUUUUCGAGGAAAAUUUCGACGCAGAGGGGGUUCCCCCCUUUUAGCCCUCGAGGGAGGGUCGGGCUUUGCCGAGGCGAGGCCGACCCUUCCUUGAUGACUAAACUUUGCGUGAGAGCGAGGUAUAUGAACAACUUGAAAACAUCUUAAGGGUAGAAGCGACGUAGCUGUUGGAUGUUCCAAGCGUUGCUGUAGACCUCGCCUUGACUGUUGGCCAGCUUGUAUGUUCCGGGCUUCAGAACUUUGGCGAUGACGAACGUCCCCUCCCAGGGGGGCGUGAGCUUGUGCCGCCCUCGGGCGUCUUGUCGUAGCCGAAGCACCAGGUCGCCCACCUGGAGGUCUCGGGACCGGACCCCUCGGGCGUGGUAGCGUCGCAGGGACUGCUGGUACCGCGCCGAGUGUAGUAAGGCCCUAUCCCGAGCCUCUUCCAGCUGGUCCAGCGAGUCUUCUCGACUAGCUUGGUUGCUUUGGUCGGUGUAGGCCCUUGUCCUCGGGGAGCCGUACUCCAGGUCUGUGGGCAAGACGGCCUCGGCCCCGUAGACUAGGAAGAACGGCGUGAAGCCCGUGGCUCGGCUCGGCGUUGUCCUCAGACUCCAGACCACCGAGGGGAGUUCCUUCAUCCAUCGCUUGCCGAACUUGUUGAGGUCGUUGUAGAUCCGAGGCUUGAGCCCUUGUAGAAUCAUGCCGUUGGCACGCUCUACUUGCCCAUUUGACAUGGGGUGAGCCACGGCGGCCCAGUCCACCCGGAUGUGGUGAUCCUCGCAGAAGUCCAGGAACUUUCUGCUGGUGAACUGGGUGUCGUUGUUGGUGAUGAUGGAGUUCGGGACCCCGAAGCGAUGGAUGAUGUUGGUGAAGAAUGCCACCGCCUGCUCGGACCUGAUGCUGUUUAGGGGUCAGACCUCGAUCCACUUGGAGAAUUUGUCGAUGGCGACCAACAGGUGCGUGUAGCCCCCGGGUGCCUUCUGCAAGGGGCCGACGAGGUCCAGACCCCAUACAGCAAAAGGCCAGGUGAUGGGUAUCGUCUGCAGAGCCUGAGCGGGCAGGUGGGUCUGCCUUGCGUAGAACUGACACCCUUCGCAGGUGCGGACAAUUCUAGUGGUGUCGGCCACCGCAGUCGGCCAGUAGAAGCCUUGUCGGAAAGCAUUCCCGACGAGGGCUCGAGGUGCUGCGUGAUGGCCGCAAGCCCCCGAGUGUAUCUCUCGAAGGAGUUCCUGACCUUCGGUGAUGGAGAUGCAUCGCUGGAGGAUGCCUGAGGGGCUGCGGUGGUAGAGCUCCUUCCCAUCUCCCAGCAAGACGAACGACUUGGCACGCCGCGCCAACCGCCGAGCUUCGGCUCGGUCGAGGGGUAGCUCUCCUCGGUGGAGAUAUUGCAGGUACGGGGUCUGCCAGUUUUGAUCAGGCGUGACCCCGCUUUGCUCCCCCUCGACGCGCAGUGUCUCGCCCUCAAGGGCCGAGGGUACCUCGGGCCGAACCGAGGGUGCCUCGGGCUAUGCCGAGGGUGCCUCGGGCUAUGCCGAGGGUACCUCGGGCUGGGCCGAGGGUGCCUCAGGCUCGGGCGUAUCGUCGAUCUUGACGGAGGGUUGAUGCAGAUCCCGGGAGAAGACGUCCGGGGAACCGAUGUUCGCCCCGAGGCUAUUUUAGCCAGCUCAUCUGCAGUCUCGUUGUAGCGCCGGGCGAUGUGGUUGAGCUCGAGCCCGUAGAACUUGCCUUUCAGGCACCGAACCUCAUCGCAGUAGGCCUCCAUCUUCGGGUCGCGGCAGUGGGAGUUCUUCAUGACUUGGUCGAUGACGAGCUGUGAGUCACCGCGAGCGUCGAGGCGUCGAACCCCUAGCUCGAUGGCGAUCCACAACCCGUUGACCAGAGCCUCAUACUCGGCCACAUUGUUGGACGCCGGGAAAUGGAGGCGUAGCACAUAGCGUAGGUGCUUCCUGAGGGGCGAGAUGAAGAGUAGGCCUGCACCGGCUCCUGUCUUCAUCAGCGACCCGUCGAAGAACAUGGUCCAGAGCUCCGGCUGGAUCGGAGCUGUUGGGAGCUGAGUGUCAACCCAUUCAGCUAUGAAGUCCGCCAAGACCUGGGACUUGAUGGCCUUCCGAGGGGCGAACGAGAUUGUCUCGCCCAUGAUUUCCACCGCCCACUUUGCAAUCCUCCCUGAGGCCUCCCGGCACUGGAUGAUCUCCCCCAGGGGGAAGGAUGACACCACAGUUACCGGAUGAGACUCGAAGUAGUGUCGCAGCUUCCGCCGCGUUAGGAUCACCGCGUACAGCAGCUUCUGAACUUGUGGGUAGCGGAUCUUGGUUUCGGACAGUACCUCGCUGACUAAGUAGACUGGCCUCUGAACGGGCAAUGCAUGCCCCUCUUCUUGCCUCUCGACCACAAUCGCGGCGCUAACCACCUGAGUGGUCGCGGCGACGUAGACCAAGAGGGCUUCUCCGGCAGCUGGGGGCACCAAGAUAGGCGCCUUUGUGAGGAGCGCCUUCAGGUUCCCGAGGGCUUCCUCGGCCUCAGGGGUCCAAGUGAAGCACUCGGCCUUCCUUAAGAGGCGGUACAGAGGGAGACCUCUUUCGCCGAGGCGUGAGAUGAAGCGGCUCAGAGCCACGAGACAUCCCAUGACCCUCUGUACGCCUUUCAAGUCCUUGAUGGGCCCCAUGCUGGUGAUGGCUGCGAUCUUCUCCGGGUUGGCUUCGAUGCUUCGCUCGGAGACGAUGAACCCCAAGAGCAUGCCUCGGGGCACCCCGAAGACACACUUCUCGGGAUUGAGCUUGACGCCUUUCGCCUUGAGACAUCGGAAUGUCACUUCAAGGUCGGAAAGGAGGUCGAAGGCUUUCCUCAUCUUGACUACGAUGUCAUCGACGUAGGCCUCGACCGUGCGGCCAAUGUGUCCGCCGAACACAUGGUUCAUGCACCGCUGGUACGUCACGCCCACAUUCCUCAAGCCGAACGGCAUGGUGACAUAGCAGUACAUACCGAAGGGUGUGGUGAAAGAAGUCGCGAGCUGGUCGGACUCUUUCAUCCAGAUUUGAUGAUACCCUGAGUGGGCAUCGAGGAAAGACAGGGUUUCGCACCUAGCAGUGGAAUCCACGAUUUGAUCGAUGCGAGGCAGAGGGUAGGGAACCUUCGGACAUGCCUUGUUUAGACCAGUGUAGUCUACACACAUCCGCCAUUUCCCCCCUUUCUUUCUCACAAGCACAGGGUUGGCAAGCCAUUCGGGAUGGAAUACCUCUUUGAUGAACCCUGCCGCCAUUAGCUUGUGGAUCUCCUCGCCUAUGGCUCUGCGCUUCUCCUCGUCGAAUCGGCGCAGAGGCUGCUUGACGGGUCGGGCUCUGGCUCGGAUGUCCAGCGAGUGCUCGACGACAUCCCUCGGUAUGCCGGGCAUGUCCGAGGGACUCCACGUGAAGACGUCGGCGUUCGCGCGGAGAAAGUCGACGAGCACUGCUUCCUAUUUGGGAUCGAGCUCGGAGCCGAUCCGGAUCUGCUUGGAGGCGUCGCCGCUGAGGUCGAGGGGGACGGCCUUAACCGUCUCCGCUGGCUCAAAGUUGCCGGUGUGACGCUUCACGUCUGGCACCUCCUUAGAGAGGCUCUCCAGGUCGGCGAUGAGGGCCUCGGACUCGGCGAGGCCCUCGGCGUACUCCACACACUCCACGUCGCAUUCGAACGCGUGUUUGUACGUGGAGCCGACGGUGAUGACCCCGCUGGGGCCCGGCAUCAUGAGCUUCAGGUAGGUGUAGUUGGGGACGGCCAUGAACUUCGCGUAGCAUGGCCUCCCCAGUACCGCGUGGUAGGUUCCUCGGAACCCGACCACCUCGAACGUCAGGGUCUCCCUUCAGAAGUUGGAGGGUGUUCCGAAGCAGACGGGAUGGUCGAGUUGUCCGAGGGGCUGGACGCGCUUCCCGGGAAUGAUCCCAUGGAAGGGCGCAGCGCCUGCCCGGACGGAGGACAGAUCGACACGCAGGAGCCCGAGGGUCUCGGCGUAGAUGAUGUUGAGGCUGCUGCCUCCGUCCAUGAGGACCUUGGUGAGCCUGACGUCGCCGAUGACGGGGUCGACGACGAGCAGGUAUUUCCCCGGGCUCGGCACAUGGUCGGGGUGAUCGGCUCGGUCGAAGGUGAUGGGCUUGUCGGACCAGUCUAGAUAGACUGGCGCCGCCACCUUUACCGAGCAGACCUCCCGGCGCUCUUGCUUGCGGUGCCGAGCCGAGGCAUUCGCCGCUUGCCCACCGUAGAUCAUGAAGCAGUCGCGGACCUCGGGGAACUCUCCUGCCUGGUGAUCUUCCUUCUUGUCGUCGUCGCGGGCCCUGCCACCCUCCGCGGGUGGCCCGGCCCUGUGGAAGUGGCGCCGAAGCAUGACGCACUCCUCAAGGGUGUGCUUGACGGGCCCCUGGUGAUAGGGGCACAACUCCUUGAGCAUCUUGUCGAAGAGGUUGGCACCUCCGGGGGGUUUCCGAGGGUUUUUGUACUCGGCGGCGGCGACAAGGUCCGCGUCGGCGGCGUCGCGUUUCGCUUGCGACUUCUUCUUGCCCUUCUUCUUGGCGCCGCGGUGAGUUGACGCCUCGGGGGCAUCUUCCGAUGGGCGGCCCUGGGGCUGCUUGUCCUUUCGGAAGAUAGCCUCGACCGCCUCCUGGCCGGAGGCGAACUUGGUGGCGAUGUCCAUCAGCUCGCUCGCCCUAGUGGGGGUCUUGCGACCCAGCUUGCUCACCAGGUCGCGGCAGGUGGUGCUAGCGAGGAACGCGCCGAUGACAUCCGAGUCGGUGAUGUUGGGCAGCUCGGUGCGCUGCUUCGAGAAUCGUCGGAUGUAGUCCCGGAGAGACUCUCCCGACUGCUGUCGGCAGCUUUGGAGGUCCCAGGAAUUCCCGGGGCGCACGUACGUGCCCUGGAAAUUGCCGGCGAAAGAUUGGACCAGGUCAUCCCAGUUGGAGAUCUGCCCCGGAGGCAGGUGCUCCAACCAGGCGCGAGCGGUGUCGGAGAGGAACAGGGGGAGGUUGCGGAUGAUGAGGUUGUCAUCGUCCGUUCCACCCAGUUGGCAGGCCAGACGGUAGUCCGCGAGCCACAGUUCCGGUCUUGUCUCCCCCGAGUACUUUGUGAUAGUAGUCGGGGGUCGGAACCGGGUCGGGAACGGCGCCCGUCGUAUAGCCCGGCUGAAGGCCUGCGGACCGGGUGGUUCGGGCGAGGGACUCCGAUCCUCCCCGCUGUCGUAGCGUCCCCCACGCCUGGGGUGGUAGCCUCGGCGCACCCUCUCGUCAAGGUGGGCCCGACGGUCGCGGUGAUGGUGCCCGUUGCCGAGGCGACCCGGGGCUGCAGGCGCUGUGUUGCGCGUGCGCCCGGUGUAGACUGAGGCUUCCCGCAUGAAUCGGGAAGUCGCGGCAUGAGGUUCUGAGGGGUACCCCUGCCUUCGGGAGGCGGAGCUCUCGACCCGUCGGACCGCGGCGCCUUCCAGGAGAUUCUUGAGCUCUCCCUGGAUUCGCCGCCCCUCGGUGGUUGAUGGCUCCGGCAUCGCGCGGAGAAGCAUUGCUGCUGCCGCCAGGUUCUGGCCGACCCCACUAGAUGUGGGUGGCGGCCUGACCCUGACGUCGUCGGUGAUGCGGUGCUGGAAGCCCUAGGGUAGAUGACGUAUUUCUCCGGCCGGAGGUUGGCCCGCCCAUGCCUGCCCGACGUCCCGGCGGAUCGGCUCAAGCGCUCCUGCUCCCUCGUCGAGCCUGGCCUGCGCCCCACGGAUUUGCUCGAGCUGUGGGUCAUGGCCCCCCGCCUGAACGGGGACCACAGCUAGCUCCCGUGGGAUGUCAACGCGAGGCACCGGCCUAGGGAGAUCACCGUCCUCCGGCAUGCCGAGAUGGUUGCCUUCGGAGGGACCCCCUAGAUCGACGUGGAAGCAUUCGCGACUUGGGCCGCAGUCCUCGUCGCUGAGGCUACGGCUUCCGUCGGAACAAUCGGAAAGGCAGUAGUCGCAUGCGGUCAUGAAGUCCCGCAUGGCACUGGGGUUGCCAAGUCUAGAGAAAUCCCAACAGAAGCUGGGCUCGUCGUCUUCCUCGGACCCAGAGGGCCCGUAGGUCGAGACGUCCGUCAGCCGGUCCCAAGGUGACCGCAUACGAAACCCCAGAGGGUUUGGACUCGCCUCGACGAGAGCGCCCGCCAAAGCGAAGCCGCUAGGCGGGUCGAGGCUGAAUCCGAAAGACAUGGGAUUGGAAUCGACCGGUACCUCUUGGUCGACGGGCGGUGAUGAAGUCACGUCAGGGACUGACUACACCAUCGUCUCAGGUAUGAGGGUGACAUCCAGCAAGCCUUUCGCGAGCGCGCUGGCGUCGUCCGUUUGCUCGGAGUUGGCGUGUCGCGGGGAGACGGCGCUCGCCUUCGUCUCAAACGCGAGGUCGAUGCCCGACGCGCCCCCCGUUGGGGCGCUGGGGCCGUCGACUCGCUCGACAGUCGACGAGGCGCUGCCUUCUGCUUGGCCUUGGUUGCCCCGCCUCCUCCUCCGUUGGCGGGGGAGAGGACGGGGCGAGCUCGAAUGUUGUUCUUCCACCACGCGGGGAAGAUGUCGUCGAUUCCGCCGCCGGCGGGCGGGCUGUCGGCCGCCAUUGUCGUUGGCGCGCGGCGGUGGAAGGAGUAUCAUGUCGUAGCUGCCGUCGAGAGACAUGAACUCAAGACUCCCGAAACGGAGCGUCGUCCCGGGUUGGAGAGGUUGCUGGAGACUGCCCAUCUGGAGCUUGACGGGAAGCUGUUCGUCAACACGCAGCAGGCCCCUACCUGGCACGCCAACUGUUGGCGUUUCGAGACCGGGGGGUCCCUAAGCCGACGAGUGAAUGUCGCCGCGUGCCCCAGCCCAGAUGGGUCGACGCGAGGCCGAGCGCGAAGGGGGGAAAGUGAGGCGGUCGGAGACCGGCGUGAGAGAGGUGGGAAUCCCGCGGCCUUCGUGUUCGUCCCGCGUCCAGGUCGGGUGCGCUUGCAGUAGGGGGUUACAAGCGUCCACGCGGGAGAGGGAGCGAGCGGCCUCACGCGAGCGCCUGUCUCGUCCUCGUCCCCGCACGGCCAACCCUCUCUAAGAGGGCCCUGGUCCUUCCUUUUAUAGGCGUAAGGAGAGGAUCCAGGUGUACAAUGGGGGGUGCAGCAGAGUGCUACGUGUCUAGCGGAGGAGAGCUAGCACCCUAAGUACAUGCCGUUGUGGCAGCCGGAGAGAUUUUGGCACCCAGCUGGUGUGAUGUCGUGGCCGUCGGAGGAGCGAUGGAGCCUGGCGGAGGGACAGCUGUCGGAGCUGUUGAGUCCUUGCUGACGUCCUCUUGCUUCCGUAAGGGGGCUGAGAGCCGUCGUCGUCACGGAAUAUGCGGGGCGCCAUCAUUGACUAUCUGGCGAAGCGAGCCAGAUGGGACACCGGUCUUGUCUCCCGUGGCCCGAGUCAGCUCGGGGUAGGGCGAUGAUGGCGCCUCCUGUCGACGUGGCUGGUCUGCGCCCUAGGUUGGGCGAUGUGGAAGCUCCUCCGAAGCCAAGGUCGAGUCUGUCUUCCGUGGCCGAGGUCGAGUCCGAGCCCCUGGGUCGUGCGAGGCGGAGACCGUCGGCUGAGGCCAGGGCGUAGUCCGAGCCCUGGGGUCGGGCGAAGCGGAGUUCGUCGUCUUCUGGGGCUGAGCCCGAGUCCGAGCCCUGGGUCGGGCGGAGCGGAGUUCGUCAUCUUUCGGGACUUAGCCCGAGUCCAAGCCCUGGGUCGGGCGGAGCGGAGUUCGCCGUCUUUCGGGACUUAGCCCGUGUCCGAGCCCUAGGUCGGGCGAAGCGGAGUUCGCCGUCUUCCGGGACUUAGCCCGAGUCCGAGCCCUGGGUCGGGCGGAGCGGAGUUCGCCGUCUUCCGGGACUUAGCCCGAGUCCAAGCCCUGGGUUGGGCGAAGCGGAGCUUCCUAUGGUGCCUUCGGCCGGGCCUGACUGCCUGUCAGCCUCACUCUGUCAAGUGGCACCGCAGUCGGAGCGGCGCAGGCGGCGCUGUCCUUCCGUCAGGCCGGUCAGUGGAGCGGCGAAGUGACGGCGGUCACUUCGGCUCUGCCAGCUGGGGGGCGCGUGUCAGGAUAAAGGUGUCAGGCCACCUUUGCAUUAAAUGCUCCUGUGAUUUGGUCGGUCGGUGCGGCGAUUUGGUCAGGGUUGCUUCUUGGCGAAGACAGGGCCUCGGGCGAGCCGGAAAUAUAUUCGCCGCUGGAGGGGGGCCUCGGGCGAGACGGAAAUCCUCCGGGGUCGGCUGCCCUUGUCCGAGGCUAGGCUCGGGCGAGGCGUGAUCGAGUCCCUCGAACGGACUGAUCCCUGACUUAAUCGCACCCAUCAGGCCUUUGCAGCUUUAUGCUGAUGGGGGUUACCAGCUGAGAAUUAGGAGCCUUGAGGGUACCCCUAAUUAUGGUCCCCGACAAUUUGAGACUCCAGAAGUGCUGGCCCAAUAUUGUUACCACGUUUUCCAACUUCCACGGAGCUUUCACGCAGGCUUCCAUCUCCUAUUCUCUCGGCUCCGUUGGCUCGCACAUCGUCUGCGGGUCGGGAACUGCAACGUUUGCCGCAUCAUCCGGCACGAUUUCUCGUCGACGAUAGAGUCCAACAAGGACGACGGAGGCGGAGUGAGGCACUGAGAGCACCUAGAGGGGGGGUGAAUAGGUGAUCCUGUAAAGCUUAAACUUAUAGCCACAAAAACUUGUUAAGUGUUAGCACAAUAAAUGCCAAGUGGCUAGAAAGGAGUCUCAACAAAACACAAUACCACAAGAGAUCAAUCACAGAGUUGACACAGUGGUUUAUCCCGUGGUUCGGCCAAGACCAACGCUUGCCUACUCCACGUUGUGGCGUCCCAACGGACGAGGGUUGCAAUCAACCCCUCUCAAGUGGUCCAAAGACCCACUUGAAUACCACGGUGUUUUGCUUGCUUUUUCUCUAUCCCGUUUGCGAGGAAUCUCCACAACUUGGAGCCUCUCGCCCUUACAAUUGAAGUUCACAAAGAACACAGAGCAAAGGGGGAAUGAGCAACGCACACAAGACUUCAAAAGAUCAGAGCAACAACGCGCACACAAGUCGCAACAAGAGCUCGCAACACAACUCAAAGAGUUCGCAACUCAACAAGAGCUCUAGAUGCUAUCACAAUGAAACGAAUGCGCGAGAGCGAUGUCUUGGUGCUUAAGAAUGUUGUAGGAAUACUUGGUGUGUUCCUCCAUGCGCCUAGGGGUCCCUUUUAUAGCCCCAAGGCAGCUAGGAGCCGUUGAGAACAAAUCAGGAAGGCCAUCCUUGCCUUCUGUCAUCGGGCGCACCGGACAGUCCGGUGCACACCGGACAGUGUCCGGUGCCCGAUUCCUUUCCUUAAAUGGCGAAGCCGACCGUUGCAGGUCUGGGAGCCGUUGGCGCACCGGACAUGUCCGGUGCACACCGGACAGUCCGGUGCCCCCUUCCGACCGUUGGCUUGGCCACGUGUCGCGCGCAGAAUCCGCGGCCGACCGUUGGCCCUGGCGACCGUUGACUCACCGGACAGUCCGGUGAAUUUUAGCCGUACGCCGUCAGCAAAAUUCCCGAGAGCGGCCUCUUCGGCCGAGGCAGCCUGGCGCACCGGACACUGUCCGGUGCACCACCGGACAGUCCGGUGCCCCAGACCGAAACAGCCCCUUGGCUGUACAUAGCCAACUCUUUUUCUUCCUGUUUCCAAUACUUAGACAAGUAUAUUAGUACACAAAACCAAUGUACUAAGACAUAGAAACAUACCUUUGCUCUUGAUUUGCACUUUGUCCAUCCACAAGCAUGAUUUCACAUUUAAGCACUUGUGUUGGCACUCAAUCACCAAAAUACUUAGAAAUGGCCCAAGGGCACAUUUCCCUUUCAAUCUCCCCCUUUUUGGUGAUUUAUGCCAACACAACAUAAAGCAACUAGAACAAGUGCAAAAUCACUUCAAAUAAAAAUAAAUUUGAGUUUUAUUCAAUUUUGGCAUAUAUGGAUCAUCCUUUGCCACCACUUGGUCUGUUUUUGCAAAUCAAACUCAAAUCUCUAUCUCUAGGUCAAACACACAUGUUGAAGCAUAUAGAGAGUUAUUCCAAAAGAGAUUGGUCACAGAUUUCAAAAACUCCCCCUUUUUCCCAUAAUCAACAUUUCUCCCCACAACAAGCCAACUUUUGAUAAGAGAGACAAUAAAAGAGUUUUGCCAAAACGAAAAGCUCUAUUCUACUAUUUUCAAAAUCUCAAGUGGUAGCUGAUCCAUUUAUCGCUUUGGCCUUUAUUUUCUCCCCCUUUGGCAUCAAGCACCAAAACGGGAUCAAUCUUGGCCCUUUUAACCCCAUUGCCUCACCAAAAUCUUCAAUUAAGAGUACAAAGGCAAUAAGAUCAUAGAGAUGAACUUGGAAUAAGUUACCCUCUCAUCGGAGUGCAGUGGAAGUCUUGCAUGGUCCAAGUCCACCUUUUCCCUUUCAAUUCUCCUUCGAGACUAAAUCAAGCAAACUCAAACAAAUGGUUAGUCUCAAAGGGUCAAGUUGUAGCACAUCUCCCCCUAAAUGUGUGCAUCACUUGCAAAAGGACUUGUGAGGUCCGGGGAGUGCUUGUACAACUUGAGCACCAUCAAUAAGCAACAAAAUGCAUAAGGAACAUGAUCAAUGGCAUAAACACAUGUAUGCUAUAAGUCAAUCCAAGUUCCGCGAAUCUAAGACAUUUAGCUCACUACGCAGCCUGCAAAAGGUCUUCUCAUCUAGAGGCUUGGUAAAGAUAUCGGCUAGCUGGUUCUCGGUGCUAACAUGAAACACUUCGAUAUCUCCCUUUUGCUGGUGGUCUCUCAAAAAGUGAUGCCGGAUGUCUAUGUGCUUUGUGCGGCUGUGUUCAACAGGAUUUUCCGCCAUGCGGAUAGCACUCUCAUUAUCACAUAGGAGUGGGACUUUGCUCAGAUUGUAGCCAAAGUCCCGGAGGGUUUGCCUCAUCCAAAGUAGUUGCGCGCAACACUGUCCUGCGGCAACAUACUCGGCCUCAGCGGUGGAUAGGGCAACGGAAGUUUGUUUCUUAGAAUUCCAUGACACCAGGGACCUUCCUAAGAAUUGGCACGUCCCCGAUGUACUCUUCCUAUCGACCUUACAUCCAGCAUAGUCGGAGUCUGAGUAUCCAACUAAGUCAAAGGUAGACCCCUUUGGAUACCAGAGCCCGAAGCAAGGCGUAGCAACUAAAUAUCUAAGAAUUCGCUUUACCGCCACUAAGUGACACUCCUUAGGAUUGGAUUGAAAUCUAGCACACAUGCAUACGCUAAGCAUAAUAUCCGGUCUACUAGCACAUAAAUAAAGCAAAGAACCUAUCAUGGACCGGUAUGCUUUUUGAUCAACGGACUUACCUCCUUUGUUGAGGUCUGUGUGUCCGUCGGUUCCCAUCGGCGUCUUUGCGGGCUUGGCGUCCUUCAUCCCAAACCUCUUUAGCAAGUCUUGCGUGUACUUCGUUUGGGAGAUGAAAGUGCCGUCCUUGAGUUGCUUCACUUGGAACCCAAGGAAGUAGUUCAACUCGCCCAUCAUCGACAUCUCGAAUUUCUGCGUCAUCACCCUGCUAAACUCUUCACAAGACUUUUGGUUAGUAGAACCAAAUAUUAUGUCAUCGACAUAAAUUUGGCACACAAACAAAUCACCAUUGCAAGUCUUAGUAAAAAGAGUUGGAUCGGCUUUCCCAACCUUGAAAGCAUUAACAAUUAGAAAGUCUCUAAGGCAUUCAUACCAUGCUCUUGGGGCUUGCUUAAGUUCAUAGAGCGCCUUAGAGAGCUUACACACAUGGUCGGGGUACCGUUCAUCCUCGAAGCCAGGGGGUUGCUCCACGUACACCUCCUCCUUGAUUGGCCCGUUGAGGAAAGCGCUCUUCACAUCCAUUUGGUACAACCUGAAAGAAUGGUGAGCGGCAUAUGCUAGCAAGAUACGAAUUGAUUCUAGCCUAGCCACAGGAGCAAAAGUCUCCUCGAAAUCCAAACCUGCGACUUGGGCAUAACCUUUUGCCACAAGUCGAGCCUUGUUUCUCGUCACCACCCCGUGCUCGUCCUGUUUGUUGCGGAACACCCACUUGGUUCCCACAACAUUUUGCUUGGGACGAGGCACCAGUGUCCAAACUGCAUUGCGCUUGAAGUUGUUGAGCUCCUCCUGCAUGGCCAACACCCAGUCCGGAUCUAGCAAGGCCUCCUCUACCCUGAAAGGCUCAAUAGAAGAGACAAAGGAGUAAUGCUCACAAAAAUUAACUAAUCUAGAUCGAGUAGUUACUCCCUUGCUAAUGUCACCCAGAAUUUGGUCGACGGGAUGAUCCCUUUGAAUCAUCGCUCGAACUUGGGUUGAAGGUGCCGGUUGCGCAUCUUCCUCCAUCACAUGAUCAUCUUGUGCUCCCCCUUGAUCACACGCCUCCUGUUGAUGAACCUGUUCAUCGUCUUGAGUUGGGGGUAGCACCAUAGUUGAGGAAGAUGGUUGAUCUCGUUCAUCUUGUUCCUGUGGCCGCACUUCUCCAAUCGCCAUAGUUCGUAUAGCGGCCGUCGGAACAUCUUCUUCAUCUACAUCAUCACAAUCAACAACUUGCUCUCUUGGAGAGCCAUUAGUCUCAUCAAAUACAACGUCGCUAGAGACUUCAACCAAACCCGAUGAUUUGUUGAAGACUCUAUACGCCUUUGUAUUUGAGUCAUAACCUAACAAAAACCCUUCUACUGCUUUGGGAGCAAAUUUAGAAUUUCUACCCUUCUUUACUAGAAUGUAGCACUUGCUCCCAAAUACACGAAAGUACGAUACAUUGGGUUUGUUACCGGUCAGUAGCUCAUACGACGUCUUCUUGAGGAGGCGGUGAAGAUAGACCCUGUUGAUGGCGUGGCAAGCCGUGUUCACGGCUUCCGACCAAAAUCGCUCGGGGGUCUUGAACUCUCCAAGCAUAGUCCUCGCCAUAUCAAUUAGCGUCCUGUUCUUCCUCUCUACCACACCAUUUUGCUGUGGUGUGUAGGGAGCGGAGAACUCAUGCUUGAUCCCUUCCUCCUCAAGGAACUCCUCCACUUGAAAGUUCUUGAACUCGGACCCGUUGUCGCUCCUUAUCUUCUUCACCUUGAGCUCAAACUCAUUUUGAGCUCUCCUGAGGAAGCGCUUGAGGGUCCCUUGGGUUUCAGACUUAUCCUGCAAAAAGAACACCCAAGUGAAGCGGGAAAAGUCAUCAACAAUAACUAGACCAUACUUACUCCCUCCUAUGCUCAGAUAGGCGACAGGUCCGAAGAGGUCCAUAUGCAGCAGCUCCAGGGGUCUUGAAGUGGUCAUCACAUUCUUGCUGUGAUGUGCUCCUCCCACUUGUUUACCUGCUUGACAAGCUGCACAAGGUCUAUCUUUUUCGAAUUGCACGUUAGUCAAACCUAUCACGUGUUCUCCCUUUAGAAGCUUGUGAAGGUUCUUCAUCCCCACAUGUGCUAAGCGGCGAUGCCACAGCCAGCCCAUGCUAGUCUUAGCUAUUAAGCAUGCAUCUAGACCGACCUCCUCUUUUGCAAAAUCAACUAAAUAAAGUUUGCCGUCUAAUACACCCUUAAAAGCUAGUGAAUCAUCACUUCUUCUAAAGACAGACACAUCUACAUUUGUAAAUAGACAGUUAUACCCCAUGUUGAAUAAUUGACUAACAGAUAGCAAAUUAUAUCCCAAGGACUCAACUAAAAACACAUUAGAAAUUGAGUGCUCAUUUGAGAUUGCAAUUUUACCUAAUCCUUUUACCUUGCCUUGAUUCCCAUCACCGAAUAUAAUUGAAUCUUGGGAAUCAUUAUUCUUGACGUAGGAGGUGAACAUCUUCUUCUCCCCCGUCAUAUGGUUUGUGCAUCCGCUAUCAAUAAUCCAGCUUGAACCCCCGGAUGCACAAACCUGCAAGGCAAAUUUAGGCUUGGGACUUAGGUACCCAACUCUUGUUGGGUCCUACAAGGUUAGUGCAAAUAUCCUUAGGGACCCAAAUGCAAGUUUUAUCACCCUUGCAUUUUGCCCCUAACUUUCUAGCAAUUACCAUUCUAUCCUUUCUAUAAAUUGCAAAGGAAGCAUUCAAAGCAUGAUAUAUUGUAGAAGGCUCAUUAACUUUCCUAGGAAUAUUAACAACAUUCCUUCUACCAACAUUUCUAUCAUGCACAACAUGAGAACUAGAAGCAGUCAUAGCAUAAGAAUCAUAAGCAUGUGAAUCAUAAGCAUCAUAACUUCUAAAAGCAUUUCUAGAAUUUUUUCUAUCAUGAUACAAAAAGGCAUGGUUCUUUUUAACACUAGUAGCCAUAGGGGCCUUCCCUUUCUCCUUAGCGGGAAUGGGAGUCUUAUGGCUUGUUAAGUUCUUGGCUUCCCUCUUGAAGCCAAGUCCAUCCUUAAUUGAGGGGUGUCUACCGAUCGUGUAGGCAUCCCUUGCAAAUUUUAGUUUAUCAAAUUCAUUCUUGCUAGUCUUAAGUUGGGCAUUAAGAUUAGCCAAUUCCUCAGUUAGUUUGGAAAUUGAAACUAAAUGAUCACUACAGGCAUCAACAUCGAAAUCUUUACACCUAGUGCAAAUCUCAACAUGUUCUACACAAGAUGUUGAUUUACUAGAUUUUUCUAGUUUAGCAUUUAAAUCAUCAUUUUUGCUCUUUAAACUAGCAAUUGAAUCAUGACAUGUAGACAACUCACAAGAAAGCAUUUCAUUUCUCUUAAUCUCUAAUGCAAGUGAUUUUUGUGCUUCUACAAAUUUGUCAUGUUCCUCAUACAACAAAUCCUCUUGCUUUUCUAAAAGCACAUUCUUAUCAUUCAAGGCAUCAAUCAAUUCAUUAAUUUUGUCUAUCUUAGAUCUAUCUAAACCCUUGAAUAAGCAUGAAUAGUCUAUGUCAUCAUCAUCACUAGACUCAUUAUCACUAGAAGGAGCAUAAGUGGAGUCUCGAGUACUCACCUUCUUCUCCCUUGCCAUAAGGCAUGUGUGACGCUCGUUGGGGAAGAGGGAUGACUUGUUGAAGGCGGUGGCGGCGAGUCCUUCAUUGUCGGAGUCGGAGGAGCAAUCCGAAUCCCACUCCUUUCCGAUGUGUGCCUCGCCCUUGGCCUUCUUGUAAUUCUUCUUCUUUUCCCUCUUGUUUCCCUGUUCCUGGUCACUAUCGUUAUCGGGGCAGUUAGCGAUAAAAUGACCAAUCUUACCGCACUUGAAGCAUGAGCGCUUUCCCUUUGUCUUGGUCUUGCUUGGCUGCCCCUUGUGACCUUUUAGCACCGUCUUGAAGCGUUUGAUGAUGAGAGCCAUCUCUUCAUCAUUAAGUCCGGCCGCCUCAAUUUGUGCCACCUUGCUACUUGUUGCCUUGAGAGCAAGGGGUUGAUGCUCGUUGAUCGGUCCAUUCAAGGCGUCGUCCACGUAUCUUGCCUCCUUGAUCAUCAUCCGCCCGCUUACGAAUUUUCCGAGUACCUCCUCGGGCGUCAUCUUCGUGUACCUGGGAUUCUCACGAAUAUUGUUCACGAGAUGAGGAUCAAGAACGGUAAAUGACCUUAGCAUUAGGCGGACGACGUCGUGAUCCGUCCAUCGCGUGCUUCCAUAACUCCUUAUUUUGUUGAUAAGGGUCUUGAGCCGGUUGUAUGUUUGGGUUGGCUCCUCGCCCCUUAUCAUUGCAAACCUUCCAAGCUCGCCCUCCACCAACUCCAUUUUAGUGAGCAUGGUGAUGUCGUUCCCCUCGUGAGAAAUCUUGAGGGUGUCCCAUAUCUGCUUGGCAUUGUCCAAGCCGCUCACCUUAUUGUACUCGUCCCUGCACAAAGAGGCUAGCAACACAGUAGUAGCUUGUGCAUUUUUAUGAAUUUGUUCAUUAAUAAACAUAGGGCUAUCCGAGCUAUCAAAUUUCAUUCCAUUCUCUACAAUCUCCCAUAUGCUUGGAUGGAGAGAGAAUAAAUGACUACGCAUUUUGUGACUCCAAAAUCCGUAGUCCUCCCCAUCAAAGUGUGGAGGUUUGCCAAGAGGAAUGGAAAGCAAAUGCGAAUUCGAACUAUGUGGAAUACGAGAAUAAUCAAAUGAAAAGUUCGAAUUGACCGUCUUCCUGUAGUCGUUGUCGUCGUCCUUUUGGGAAGAAGAGGAUUCGUCGCUGUCGUAGUAGACGAUCUCCUUGAUGCGCCUUGUCUUCUUCUUCUUCCCAUCUUUACGUCUGUGGCCCGAGCCAGAGUCGUUGGAUUUGUCAUCUUUUGGCUCGUUGACGAAGGACUCCUUUUCCUUGUCGUUGAUCACGAUUCCCUUCCCCUUAGGAUCCAUCUCUUCGGGCGGUUAGUCCCUUUCUUGAAGAGAACUGCUCUGAUACCAAUUGAGAGCACCUAGAGGGGGGGUGAAUAGGUGAUCCUGUAAAGCUUAAACUUAUAGCCACAAAAACUUGUUAAGUGUUAGCACAAUAAAUGCCAAGUGGCUAGAAAGGAGUCUCAACAAAACACAAUACCACAAGAGAUCAAUCACAGAGUUGACACAGUGGUUUAUCCCGUGGUUCGGCCAAGACCAACGCUUGCCUACUCCACGUUGUGGCGUCCCAACGGACGAGGGUUGCAAUCAACCCCUCUCAAGUGGUCCAAAGACCCACUUGAAUACCACGGUGUUUUGCUUGCUUUUUCUCUAUCCCGUUUGCGAGGAAUCUCCACAACUUGGAGCCUCUCGCCCUUACAAUUGAAGUUCACAAAGAACACAGAGCAAAGGGGGAAUGAGCAACGCACACAAGACUUCAAAAGAUCAGAGCAACAACGCGCACACAAGUCGCAACAAGAGCUCGCAACACAACUCAAAGAGUUCGCAACUCAACAAGAGCUCUAGAUGCUAUCACAAUGAAACGAAUGCGCGAGAGCGAUGUCUUGGUGCUUAAGAAUGUUGUAGGAAUACUUGGUGUGUUCCUCCAUGCGCCUAGGGGUCCCUUUUAUAGCCCCAAGGCAGCUAGGAGCCGUUGAGAACAAAUCAGGAAGGCCAUCCUUGCCUUCUGUCAUCGGGCGCACCGGACAGUCCGGUGCACACCGGACAGUGUCCGGUGCCCGAUUCCUUUCCUUAAAUGGCGAAGCCGACCGUUGCAGGUCUGGGAGCCGUUGGCGCACCGGACAUGUCUGGUGCACACCGGACAGUCCGGUGCCCCCUUCCGACCGUUGGCUUGGCCACGUGUCGCGCGCAGAAUCCGCGGCCGACCGUUGGCCCUGGCGACCGUUGACUCACCGGACAGUCCGGUGCACACCGGACAGUCCGGUGAAUUUUAGCCGUACGCCGUCAGCAAAAUUCCCGAGAGCGGCCUCUUCGGCCGAGGCAGCCUGGCGCACCGGACACUGUCCGGUGCACCACCGGACAGUCCGGUGCCCCAGACCGAAACAGCCCCUUGGCUGUACAUAGCCAACUCUUUUUCUUCCUGUUUCCAAUACUUAGACAAGUAUAUUAGUACACAAAACCAAUGUACUAAGACAUAGAAACAUACCUUUGCUCUUGAUUUGCACUUUGUCCAUCCACAAGCAUGAUUUCACAUUUAAGCACUUGUGUUGGCACUCAAUCACCAAAAUACUUAGAAAUGGCCCAAGGGCACAUUUCCCUUUCGGGCACACGCGCUGAUAGUGUGUAGGGCCAUCACGGGGAGGAUCCACCGCCCGCUGGAUAACCUGUGAGCAGGGGCGGAGCCAGAAAGAAGAUAUAGGAGAGGCCAACAAGACCAUAGUAUAUAGUAGUGUAAGAAAUAAUAAUAAUUAUAAGUAUCAAAUCAAUCCUAUGUAUAUAGUAAGUAAAAUUUUAGUAAUUUUACAUUCACAUAAUUUAAAUUCAGCAAAACAAAUUGUUAAAAGAACUCACAUGUUUUACUUGAGUGCUACUCUGCGUGUUUGAAUUGCAUCGAAGUCAUCAAUAAGUUUAUCUGUUGCAAACUGAAUUGCUAUCUCCUUCUCGAUGUAAGUUAUUAAGCAAUUUCUUAAGAACUCAUCUUCCAUCCUACUUUGAAGCCUUGUCUUAACAAGUUUCAUCGCAGAAAAGGCACGCUCCGUCGUUGCUGUUGAAACUGGUAGAGUUAGAACAAGCCAAAUCAACCUGUUGAUGAAAUGUAUGAGUUUUUCUGUACCGAUAGAAAAAUAAUUAACUAAAUUAAAUAUAAAAUGGUAUAUAACCUGUCGAUCAAAUAACAUUCAUCUGAUUUCCUAGUUUCUGCUAGCCGGCGACAAAGAUUAGCAACAGUUGUCAAAUUCUGAAACUUCGAAUUUGUAGGUACAUCAAAUUCAUAAUGUUGCAACUGAAGCCUUAAGGUACUUCUUUCUUGCUCAGAAAAAUCAGUAGGGUAAAACUUUGAAGCAAGAGAGCACACAUCAUUAAUUUUCAAUGAGUUGAAUGAAUUCUUAGGAUCUAAAGAAGCACAUAAUAUCAGAAGUUCUGUAACUUGUUCACUAAACCUGUGGUUUAGUUCUUGAGCUUGUUGAUCAACUGCACUAGUGAAAAUAUCAUAUCUAUAGUGAUGUUCAAUUGUGAUCUCAUUCCCUGCACGAGAUCGAAUGUAGUCCACAUAUAAUUCAGUCAUGUUUGGAACAAUGAUUUCGUGCUUAUUGCAAAAUACUGUCACAUCAUUAAUAAGUCUAUCCCAACCAUGGUCUCUCAUGUUCUGAAUCAACCUUUUGGUAGUGGCAACAUCAUCCAUAGCAUUCACAAUGUCCUGAGAUUUAUGUUGUAGCUUUUUGCAGAGUAAAUCUAUAAGCCCCAUUAAUUCCUUCAUAACAUGCAUAAUAAAUAUAAAGUCAAAUGACAUCAUCAGCUUAAUAGCACCAGCAGCCUUCGCACGUCCAGCAGCUGUGGUUCCUGAACCUUUUGCAAUAGCAAUAUCUUUCAGCACUAAGAAUGUCGGCUUGUAAAGCUUUAUAAGGCUACAAAUGGAAUUAUAAUGAGAACUCCACCUAGUUUCACCAGGACGUUGCAGAGUUCCAAUUUGAUUAAUACCUCUUCCUGUUUCAAUCUCGUUAAGCUCAAUGAGGUGCUCUAUUUCAGCAACUUGAUUAGCACGUAGAUCAUCAUUUCUCUUAGUAGAAGACACAACCGUGUUGACGAUAAGAGCAAGAUGUUCAAAAAAAUUAUGAACUUAUGUUACCUCUUUAGAUGCAGCUACAAGAGCUAGCUGUAAUUGAUGAACAAAGCAGUGAACAUAAUAUGCAUAAGGGCACUCUUCUACAAACUUUGCUUGUAAUCCAUUCCACUCUCACAACAUAUUACUAGCACCAUCAUAUCCUUGUCCACGAAUAUUUUGAACAUCUAAUUUAUGAUGUGAUAAAACAAAGUCCAAUUCCUUCUUAAGAGUGGCAGAUGAUGUAUCAUGAACAUGAAUAAGAUCAAGAAAACGCUCUCGAAUGAAACCCCCUUUGUCAACAAACCGAACAACAAGUGCCAUUUGUUCUCUUCUUGACUUGUCUCUUGAUUCAUCAACAAUCAAGCAAAAUUUGGCAUCACCAAUUUCAUCACGAAUAGUUGUUUGCACAUUAAAAGCUAUAAGGUCCAAUAUCUGCUUCUGAAUUUGAUGUGACGUGUAUUUAGCAUUCUGUGGAGCAUUACUCAAUACAACAGCUUUGACCUCCUCAUCAUAUGAUGCAAUUAGCUUUACCAUCUCAAGAAAAUUACUUUGGUUCUUUGAAUUAGCAGACUCAUCAUGUCCACGAAAGGGACAAGCUUGAAAUACUAACCAACGGACUGCAUCAAUUGAUGUUCUAAGCCGCAAUCUAUUUGCCUUGACUUCAUCACUUGUUUGCUUCUCAAGAAUCGGUUCAAUAUGGUAUAACCGAUUCUUCAAAUUAUCAUAGCAUUUAACAGAAUACCGAUGAGCUGACCCACUCUCUCCUACAUGAAUUUUGAAGGCACAAUUAUCCCCACUUUUAACCUUCUUCCAAUUUUUAAAUCCUUUGACAGUAAACACAUCAGAUCCUGCUUUUCCUACUGGCUUCUUAGAUAAAAAGCAAGGAAAGCAAAAGGUUGCAUCUUUUGUUGGCGAGUAUUCUAACCAAGAAAAAGUUUCAAACCACUGUGACUGAAACCUCCGUGGAUGAUUCUUUGGACCUGAAGGUGGGUAUACAUCUCUAAAAAAUUGGUAUGGGCCAUGUUUCAUGUAUGCUCUAAUAACUUGUUCUUGCUUAUCAGGGGUGUAAGAAAAAAUCUGGCAACGUAAGCCUGGGUCUCUUUCUACAACCAACACACCAGUAUCUUCAAAAUUUACUCGACGAACCUUAGGAGAUGGUUGUUCUGGAGCUUCCUCUUAUUGUGCAGCAAGCCAAUUAGCAAUUUCAUAUUACUCAGAAUCAGAACUAUUUUGUUCUUGUUCUCUUGGGACAUCGACAACAAUAUCUUUAUUAUAAAAAAUAUCAAUUGUUGUUCUUUUGAAUACCAUGAUUGUCCUUUAAGAUAAAAACAUAAUAUGACAAAUUAGCAUCUACCGAUACAUACAUUACUCAACCAAUAUCGAGUAAAUUAAAAUAUUAAAUAAAUAAAGUAUUGCACAGUGCACAACAAAAACAGUAGUCAAAUGAUUGAAACCUUUAGAGUAGAUUGUGCUGAAGAGGAGGCCUGAACAGUAGACAAAUUAAAUAAAUUAGCUAUCUAGGCAUCUACCGAUACAUGACGGUGGGGUUGAGGAGAUCGGCGAGUACUAGCGGGCAGCGGUCAGCGGAUGAUGGAGAGCGCCAGCGCAGCGCUGGCCGCCACGCACAGGCGCACAGCCCCGAUGCUACGGCCUACGGUUGCCUGCUUGACUGCUUCACUGCUUGGCGGCGAGUCAGCAAGACCGCAAGAGGAGAAAGCAGCGAGCGUCGAGUAGGUCUGCAGGUGGAUUCGUGGUGCACAAUGCACUGAUGCCUAUAGGCUGCGGCGACUAAAAUAAAUUAGGUCAGCACAGAAUUAGGAAUAAACAACGGUGUGAACCUGGGCUGUGAGCCUGUGAUCACGUGGCCCAUAUAAUAACAUGUUGCCGUUGGCAGGGGCAUGGCCCCCGCUGCCCCCCCCCCACCCCCCUCCCUCUGCCCCUGCCUGUGAGACGUCGCGGGGCAGUCGGGGUUCGACUCGGUUGUCGGCCCUAUGGGCGCCGACUCUAGCAUCGAGGAGCUCUACCUGAUCAACCCGAGGGCUCUCCUCCCUUGCUUUGUGGUCAUAUGCAAAGCUUAGAUCAUAUUCUUGCGCCUGGGUGCAUGUCAUCGCCAUCGUAGAGAAGCAGCAUCGCAUACGAUUUAUAUUAGCACUAUCCUAUACUUUAAUUCCAUCAUCGUGUAAAGUUAUAGUUUAGUUCAUUAGUUGAUGGAGAACACUAGGCACCAUGCAUGUUCUCCUUCCAGGUUUAGUUCAUUAGUUCAUCGAUCGAUCUAGUGUACAUUCUUGUUUGUAUCUUCCAGCAUCAGCAGUGACUCACCAGCAGAUUUCUGAAGAGCUAUUUACUCUCUAAAUAGAGCCUGAGAGCUUGUUCGCACUGGUAGAAAAGGGCUUAAAGCCUACGGUGCGGUAUAUUUUAUAGGCGGAUUCGGUUAUCAACCGCCUGUGCUAUUUUUAGUGGCGAUUUUUUAAGAAAACCGCCACUAGAAAUCGUAUUUCUAGAGACGGUUCCAUAUAAAAACCGUUUGUAGAAAUCCAUGAUUUCUACUGGUGGUUUUCUUAAGAAACCGCCUGUAGAAAUCGAUUUCUAGUUACGGUUUUCUUAAGGAACCGCCACUAGAAAUCAUUUUUAUCCUUAAUUUUUCGAGUUUUUCAAACGACCUCGUAUGACGAAACCAUCAAAAUAAAAGUUAUAGAUCUCUAAAAGUUAUAAAACUUUGUAGUUGACAACUUUUUUAUUUGAAAUCAUUUCGGCUCUCAAAAAUUGUAUCUAAAUUUAUCAAAUUUAAAAUUCAAAUUUUGCAAACGACCUCGGAUGAAAAAAGUGUCAAAAUAAAAGUUUUAGAACUUCAAAAAUUAUUCAACUUUGUAGUUGACAACUGUUUUAUUUGAAUUCGUUUAUGGUCUCAAACAAGAAAUUUACACUCAGUUGGUUGUAAUAUGUUGGCAACAAAACUACAAACUAGACACAAAGGAUUUCAUAGCCGGAGUGAUAGAGGAUGAUAUGCGUGAGGGUGAGGUCAGGGGUUCGAUUCCUAGCAACCACGUAGUGCACAAAAAAUUCCUCGACCUGCGACUUCGAUGGAGACGGACCGUUGGGGUGGGUGGGUCGCGAGGCCUCCCCAAUAAAUUUUUUUUGCUAUUUUUAAAAUCUGUUUUAUGUUUCCUGGAAUCGAUUUUCAUUGACGGUUUUAUUACGUCGACCGUCAGUGAAAAUCGAUUUCCACUGGCGGUUCUUAGUUACCCGCCUGUAAAAAUGAUGAUUUCUACUGGCCCCUAGCACUGGCGGCUAUGAAAAACGCCACUGUAAAUAGGUUUACAACCGCCACUAUAGAGCUUAUCUGUACUAGUGUCGGUUCUACCCCAAUCCAUAUGGAUUGAGGGUAAUUGAGGGAGUUUUAAUCUCUAGUAAGUUAAAAUCUCUAUCAAUCCGUAUCAAUCGCCUCCAAUCUAUAUGGAUUGAAAAUAACCGAACAAGCCCUGAAGGGGAGGACACAGGGCGUCAGUGCCUAGACGGGGAUGACACAAAAUGGUAGUUGUGAUUUUAAGGCCCAAAUGUUGGAAACAAAACAUGUGUUUAGAUCUUAAACAAAUUAAGUGAGUUGCUAAAUCAAAAUAUAGAGCCAAUUAUGAGACUCAUGGUUGGAGUUGCUCUAAACCUUGUGAUUAAAUCUUGUAAUUUAGAAUAUACUCAGUUUGGAACAGGGAAAAGUACAUGCAUGCAUGCAUAUAUAUAUAUAUAGCUAGAAUUAUUGAGACGACACGUCUCAUCUCCUGCGCGGGCGGUACUGCAUGUGGUGGCACAAGACGACGGGCCCUGGCGGUGUAUAGCUAGCUAGAAUUAUAGGAGGUCAUCCUCCUUGUGCGUCUCGAUGACGACGUCGGAGGUGGGGUACGCAGCGCAGGUGAGCACCCAACCGUCGGCGACCUGGUUGUCGUUGAGGAAGCUCUGGUCGGACUGGUCGACGGAGCCAGAGACGACCUUGCCGGCGCAGGAGGAGCAGGACCCCGCACGGCAGGAGAAGGGCAGGUCGAUGCCUUCCUCCUCGGCGAAGUCCAGGAUGUAGACGUCGUCGGGCACCUGCAGCUCCACCUCCCCCUCCGGCGUGAUCAGCUUCACGUUGUAGGUGGCCUGCGCGCGCAGCAGCUGGCGCCGCAUGGGGGCCGCCAGCGGCUUGGCAACCGCGACCCUGAGCCUGAGUGGGGACGAGAAGCAGGGCGGCGGCGCGCGGAGGAUGCUCAUGCUCAGGGCGGUGGCGGCCAUUGGAUGGCGAUGGAGGAUGGACUCACUCGACUGGCCGGCCGGGCGCUAGCUGCUGCGACUACACACUACACGACACGGGCGGCCACACGGCUCGCUAGCUAGCUGACAAGGGAGAGUUAUUGGCGGAGGGAAGGGUGGGUGGGGGUGCUACGUGGCGGGCGGUGAGCGGUCGGCUUAUCUGCAGUGCAAUGCAACCCCCAUCGAGGAUCACACGUUGCUCAUCGUCGCUACCAGCCAUCCGCCUGCCCCUCUUGGUUGGAUUUGGAUAGGCGUGUGGAGGCCAUACAUCCAUCGUAUGAUAUAUAUCGUCUAGCUACUCGAUCACUUAGCUGUCAGAUCUAUAUAUGGUAACACUAUAGUACAAAUUAACGCAUAUAUAUAAGAGUAUGGUAUACUCACUCAAUUCAUAAAUAUAUGAGAUUGUUGACUUUUUUUAAAAAAAACUUUGACCGCUCAUCUUAUUAAAAAAAUAAUGUGUUAUUAUUUUUUUUUGUGAUUUGUUUUAUCACUUAAUCUAGUUUGUGCUUAACUUAAAAUUUUACAUUUUUAAAUAAGAUAAGUGGUCAAAGUUUUCGAAACAAAAAAAAGUCAACAGUUUAUAUAUUUGUGAACGGAUGUAGUACCUAGCUAGUAUGUUUCCUUAUAUAUUGUUAUGUGGAGGCCACGUUGCUUACUAGUACUUCCUUUCAUUCAGUUUACUUGUGUGAUUCGUUUUGUUUGUUUGCUUGUUCUUCGCCGACGGGAGUUUUGAUUAAAAUCUGAUUUUAGUUAUGAGCUGUGAAAAAGUUGUUGUGAGCUGAUAAUUAUAAAAAGACUGAAAUUUGUUGGGUAAUACAAUUGUCGACUAUAGAUUCUAUAAGACUGUGAUAACUUGUGAUGUGGAUGACAUAAAUCUAAAAAAAUUAGGAUCGAAGAUGAUUCUGAUCAUUUAAACUAAAGAACCUAUAUUUUUUUAGAAAUCUAUUCUGUUGGUUAAGAUUUUCAGUAAAUGUGGUUCAUAAAGCUGAACCAAACACAGCUUACCUUUUACCUUUUGUAGGUCGGGCUGAGAAAGGGCCCUAGCCUCUCCAUCUCCUUUUUUCUGUUGGUGGGCUUUAUUUGGUAACUUGCGAUGCAUACAUAGCCAGCCCAGCCCAGCCCAGUACGCCUGCAUAUCCUGUGCGGGGGUUGUAUGAACUCAGUCAAAUUCGUUCACGCGGACAAGGAAGAACCAAAGGAAAAUGACACGCUUCCAUGGCGUUUAGUUUAUCUCCUGAUAUUUAUUAAUAUCUAUAUCACUCAUCGUAUACGUUCAUAUAUGAUACAUGAUCUUUUUUUUUAUUUGUAGGAGACCAAGACGUGAAGAUUGCUCCAAGACGACACACUUGUAAUGGUCUCGGUCAAACCGUGUUUAUAUUUCCUUUCGUCCAAGGCUCCAACGAGAUAUUGACAGUCUUAUAGAAUUCCUAAGGCUUUGUUUGGGUAUAGAGGGAUUGAAGUGGAUUAAGGUGUAUUGAAGGGGAUUGAAAAAAAAAUUAGUUCAUAUUACACUUCAACACACCACAUACCACCUCAAUCCACUCCAAUCUAAGAUUAUCCAAACAAGCCCUAACGGAGUCAGUCAUUCCCUAACGGAGUCUGUCAAAUGAAUCCCAAUUUCUUAAAGUUGUCAUUACCUAAGGGCUUGUGCGGUUCUACCGCAAUCCAUAUGGAUUAAUGGGGAUUAAGAGGGUUUAAUCCCUAGUAAGGCGUCGUUCGGUUGUUACGGAUUGGUAGGUCGUGACGAUCCCUAACCGGAUUGCUUCUCUAAUUUAUAUAAACUUUGAUUAGCUGGAACGAUUCCGGGUGCAAUCUGGCACAAACGAACAAGGCCUAAGUCAAAAUCUCUCUCAAUCCGUAUCAAUCCUCUCCAAUCCAUAUGGAUUGAAAAUAACCGAACAAGCCCUAAUGGGGUCUUAUAGAAUCAUCUUCGAUCCCUAACGGAGUCAGUCAUUCGAUAGGAGGGUGUCAUGAAAUGGAUCCCUGACGGAGUCAGUCAUUGCCACAAACUUAACACAAUCAGGACAUGGCGGACCCUGUCUUAGGUCGCGCCUCCAAGGGAGGUCGAGUUGGAGGCCUCCAAAGGCCUCCCUGAUGCCGUAGAUGUCUCCCGAUGAAAAUUAUGUACUCAUAAGACAAAUCGGUACUAAAGACUUGAUAUUAGUACCGGUUGGAGACACCAACCGGUAUUAGCAACUUUUGCACGGACUCGACAUUUAAAACCGGUGCUGAUGCUUAUAUCAAUACCGGUUUUUAAAACAAUCAGAAUAAAUGUUGAUAGUCUGGAUGAAAGCUCAUUCUCUCGGCCUCCCUCCAUGAAUGCAUAACUCAUCUGAAGAAUCGGUGAGGUGACCAGAAGCGGAGUGAAUGAGAGCUAAUCAAAUUUUGCUUCUAAAAAUGAAAUUGAGCACUUCACUUCAAUUGAGAUGAAGAAAACGCUCAAACCAAAAACAUAUUAAAACAAACGGAUCACAAAUCAGACACCGAAAAGUCUCAAUCGGCCCAAAACCGUGUCGCGAACAAGUGCUGAUUUUAGCAACACGAGAUUCUGUUCUCGAAUGCGAAACUGAACCAAACGAACUCCAAUUGAAAUGAAAUCUAACGCACACCUUGUCGGGGACCAUAAUUAGGGGUACCCCCCAAGACUCCUAAACUCGGCUGGUAAUCACCAUCAGCACAAGCUGCAGAAGCCUGAUGGGCGCAAUUCAGGUCAAGGCUCCGUCCACUCAAGGGACACGAUCUCGCCUCGCUCGAGCCCAGCCUCGGGCAGGAACAGUAGACCCAGGCGGAUUCAUGCCUCACCCGAGGGCCUCCUCAAGCAGCGGGUGCACCUUCGACUCGCCCGAGGCCCAGCUCGGGCAGGCUUCACAGUGAAGCAACCUUGGCCAGAUCGCCUCGCCAACCGACCGUAUCGCAGGAGCAUUCAAUGCAAGGAUCGGCUGACACCUUAUCCUGACGCGCGCUCCUCAGUCGGCAGGGCCGAAGUGACCGCAGUCACUUCGCCCCUCCACUGACUGACCUGACAGGAAAACAACGCCGCCUGCCCUGCUCCGACUGCUGUGCCACCCGCCAGGGUGAGGCUGACAGCAGCCGAGUCCAGCCUCAGGCGCCAUAGGAAGCUCCGCCUCGCCCGACCCCGAGGCUCGGCCCCUGCCUCGGCCUCGGAAGGUGGUCUCCGCCUCGCCCGACCCCAAGGCUCGGCCUGAACCUCGACCUCGGAAGACGGUCUCCGCCUCGCCCGACCCCAAGGCUCGGCCUCAACCUCGACCUCGGAAGACGGUCUCCGCCUCGCCCGACCCCAGGGCUCGGCCUCAACCUCAACCUCGGAAGACGGUCUCCGCCUUGCCCGACCCCAGGGCUCGGCCUCAACCUCGACCUCGGAGGAGUCACCGCCUGGCCCGACCUUGGGCUCGGACCGACCACGCCACAUGGGGGUACAUCAUUACCCUACCCCUAGCUAGCUCAGGCUACGGGGAACAAGACCGGCGUCCCAUCUGGCUCGCCCCGGUAAACAAGUAAUGAUGACACCCCGCGUGCUCCCAUGACGACGGCGGCUCUCAGCCCCUUACGAAAGCAAGGAGACGUCAGCAAGGUCCCGACAACCCCGACAGCUGUGCUUCUACAGGGCUCAAGCGCUCCUCCGACGGCCAUGACAUCGCAUGCACAGGGCUCUAGCACCUCUCCGAUAGCCACGUUGGCAUGUACAUAGGGCUCUGGCUCCUCUCUGCCGGACACGUUAGCAUAUUGCUACACCCCCAUUGUACACCUGGACCCUCUUCUUACAUCUAUAAAAGGAAAGUCCAGGGCCCUCGUACGAGGGAGGUGGCUGCGCGAGACUCUCUCUCUCUCUCCCUCGCGAACGCUUGUAACCCCCUACUGCAAGCGCAUCCACCCUGGGCGCAGGACAACACAAAGUCGCGGUUUUCCCCUCUUUGUGUUCCGUCUCGCGCCGACCCAUCUGGGCUGGGGCAUGCAGCGACAAUUUACUCGUCGGUCCAGGGACCCCCCGGGGUCAAAACGCCGACAGUUGGCGCGCCAGUUGCGUGUUGACGAACAGCUUCCCGUCAAGCUCCAGAUGGACAGUCUCCAGCAACCUCUCCAGCCCGGGACGCUGCUCCGUUUCGGGAGUCUCGAGUUCAUGUCCCUCGACGGCAGCUACGACAUGGUACUCCUUCCUCCGCCGCACGACAGCGACAAUGACGGCCGACAGCUCGCCCGGCGGCGGCGGACUCGGCGACGUCUUCCCUCCAUGGCGGAAGAGAAACAUCCGGGUUUGUCCCGUCACCUUCCCCACCGCAGGAGGAGGAGGCGGGGCAACCAUGGCCAAGCAGGAGGUGGCACCUCGUUGGCUGUCGAGCGAAUCGACGACACCGGCGCCCCAGCGGGGGACACGUCGGGCGUUGACCUCGCGCCUGAGACGACGACGAACGUCGUUUCCCCGCAACACGCCAACCCCAAGCAGACGGAUGACACCAGCACGCUCGUGAAGGGCCUGCUGGGUGUUAGCCUCGUACCUGAGAUAACGGCGCAGUUUGUCCCCGACACGACUUCGUCACCGUCCAUCGAUCAGGAGGUACUGUCCGUUUUCCACCCUGUGCCUUUUAGAUUCAGCUUCGAUCCACCAAGCGAUCCUGCUUCGGUGAGCGCUUUCAUAAAGGCAUAUCCUAACCUUCCGGGGUACCAUAUGUGGUCAACCUGGGACCGACUGACGAUCGUCUCGACCUACGGGCCCCCGGGCUCCGAGGAAGACGACGAGCCCGACUCUGGUUGGGAUUUCUCUGGGCUCGGUAACCCCAGUGCCAUGCGAGACUUCAUGACCGCAUGUGACUACUGCCUCUCCGAUUACUCCGAUGGUGGCCAUAGCCUUGACGACGAGGACUGUGGCCCAAGUCACGAAUGUUUCCACGUCGAUCUAGGGGGUCUCGACGAAGGCAACCACCUUGGUAUGCCGGAAGACGACAAUCCCCCUAGGCCUGCGCCUCGUGUUGACAUCCUUCGGGAGCUAGCUAUGGUCCUAGUCCCUGCGGGGGUCAGGACACACAGCUCGAGCAAAUCCGCAAGAUGGAGGCCAAGCUCGACGAGGAAGCAGGACAACUUGUGCAGCUCCGGCAGAACAUCGGGCAGGAGUGGGUAGGCCGAGCACUAGCCAGAGAAGCGCGUCAUCCGGCCCAGGACGUCCAGCACCGCAUCACAAACGAUGCCAGGGCAAGGCUGCCCCCGGCUUCCAGUGGGGUCGGCCAGAACCUGGCUACAGCGGCAAUACUACUCCGAGCGAUGCCGGAGCCAUCCACCACCGAGGGGCGGCGUAUCCAGGGAGAACUCAAAAAUCUCCUGGAGGAUGUCGCGGUCCGACGGGCCGAGAGCUCUGCCUCCCGAAGGCAAGGAUACCCCCCGGAGCAUCGCGCCGCGACUUCUCGAUUCAUGCGGGAAGCCUUGGUCCACACCGGGCGCACGCGGGACGCGACUCCCGCAGCCCCGGGUUGCCUCGGCAACGAGCACCACCGCCGCGACCGGCGAGCCCACCUCGACGAGAAGGUGCGCCGAGGCUACCACCCCAGGCGUGGGGGACACUACGACAGCGGGGAGGAUCGGAGUCCCUCGCCCGAACCACCCGGUCCGCAAGCUUUCAGCCGGGCCAUACGACGGGCGCCGUUCCCGACCCGGUUCCGAGCCCCGACUACCAUCACUAAGUACUCGGGGGAAACAACGCCGGAACUGUGGCUCGUGGACUAUCGGCUGGCCUGCCAGCUAGGUGGAACGGACGAUCACAACCUCAUCAUCCGCAACCUCCCCCUGUUCCUCUCCGACGUCGCCCGAGCCUGGCUGGAACAUCUGCCUCCUGCGCAGAUCUCCAACUGGGACGACCUGGUCAAAGCCUUCGCUGGAAACUUCCAGGGCACAUACGUACGCCCUGAGAACUCCUGGGAUCUCUGAAGCUGCCGCCAGCAGCCAGGAGAAUCCCUGCGGGACUACAUCCGACGAUUUUCAAAGCAGCGCACCGAGCUGCCCAACAUCACCGACUCAGAUGUCAUCGGCGCGUUCCUCGCCGGCACCACUUGCUGCGACCUGGUGAGCAAGCUGGGUCGCAAGACUCCCACCAGGGCGAGCGAGCUGAUGGACAUCGCCACCAAGUUCGCCUCUGGUUAGGAGGCGGUCGAGGCCAUCUUCCGGAAGGACAAGCAGCCUCAGGGACGCCAGCAGGAAGACGCCCCCGAGGCAUCCGCCCAGCGCGGCACGAAGAAGAAGGGCAAGAAGAAGUCGCAAGCGAAGCGCGACGCUGCCGACGCAGAUCUUGUCGCCGCCGUUGAGCACAGGAACCCUCGGAAGCCUCCCGGAGGGGCCAACCUGUUCGACAAGAUGCUCAAGGAGUCGUGCCCCUAUCAUCAGGGUCCCAUCAAGCACACCCUUGAGGAGUGUGUCAUGCUUCGGCGCUACUUCCAUAAGGCCGGGCCCCCAGCGGAAGGUGGCAAAGGCCAUGACAACGACAAGAAGGAGGGAAACAAAGCAGAGGAGUUCCCCGAGGUCCACGACUACUUCAUGAUCUACGGUGGGCAAGUGGCGAACGCCUCGGCUCGGCACCGCAAGCAGGAGCGUCGGGAGGUCUGCUCGGUGAAGGUGGCGGCGCCAGUCUACCUAGACUGGUCCGACAAGCCCAUCACCUUCGACCAAGGCGACCACCCCGACUGCGUGCCGAGCCCAGGGAAGUACCCGCUCGUUCAAGGCUCAGUCCACUCAAGGGACACGAUCUCGCCUCGCCCGAGCCCAGCCUCGGGCAAGGGCAGCCGACCCCGGAGGAUUCACGUCUCGCCCGUGGGCCCCCUCAAGCAACGGACACACCUUCGGCUCGCCCGAGGCCCAGUCUUCGCCGAGAAGCAACCUUGGCCAGAUCGCCACGCCGACCGACCGUAUCGCAGGAGCAUUUAAUGCAAGGAUCGCCUGACACCUUAUCUUGACGAGCACUCUUCAGUCGAUAGAGCCGAAGUGACCGCAGUCACUUCGCCGCUCCACUAACCGACCUAACAAGAAGAUAGCGUCGUCUGCGUCGCUCCGACUGCUGUGCCACUUGACAGAGUGAGGCUGACAGCAGCCAAGUCCGGCCUCGGGCGCCAUAGGAAGCUCCGCCUCGCCUGACCCCAGGGCUCGGGCUCAGCCUCGGCUCCGGAAGACGACGAACUCCGCCUCGCCCGACCCUAGGGCUCGGGCUCAGCCUCGGCUCCGGAAGACGACGAACUCCGCCUCGCCCGACCCCAGGGCUCGGCCUUAGCCUCGGCUCCGGAAGACGACGAACUCCGCCUCGCCCAACCCCAGGGCUCGGACUCAGCCUCGGCUCCGGAAGACGACGAACUCCGCCUCGCCCGAGCCUAGGGCUCGGACUCAGCCUUGGCCUCGGACGACGGUCUCCGCCUCGCCCGACCCGAGGCUCGGACUCGACCUCGACCUCGGAAGACAUACUCGACCUCGACCUCGGAGGAGCCUCCGCCUCGCACGACCCAGGGCUCGGACUGACCACGUCACAGGGGGGCCAUCAUUACCCUACCCCUAGCUAGCUCAGGCUACGGGGAACAAGACCGGCGUCCCAUCUGGCUCGCCUCGGUAAACAAAUAAUGAUGGUGCCCCGCGUGCUCCAUGACGACGGCGGCUCUCAGCCCCUUACGGAAGCAAGGAGACGUCAGCAAGGACUCGACAGCCCCGACAGCUGUCCUUCCGCAAGGCUCCAGCGCUCCUCCAACGGCCACGACAUCACAUGAACAGGGUGCCAAAACCUCUUCGGCUGCCACGACGGCAUGUACUUAGGGCUCUAGCUCCUCUCUGCUAGACACGUUAGCACACUGCUACAUCCCCCAUUGUACACCUGGGCCCUCUCCUUAUGCCUAUAAAAGGAAGGUCCAUGGCUCUCGUACGAGAAGGUUGGCCGCGCGGGAGAACGGGCCGGCGCGUAGGGCUCUCUCUCUCUCUCCUGCGCGGACGCUUGUAACCCCCUACUGCAGGCGCACCCGACCUGGGUGCAGGACAACACGAAGGCCACGGGUUUCCCCUUUUGCCUGUCUCCUUCCCCCCUUCGUGCUCCGUCUUGCGCCGACCCAUCUGGGUUGGGACACGCGACGACAAUUUACUCGUCGGUCCAGGGACCCCCCAGGGUCGAAACGCCGACAGUUGGCGCGCCAGGUAGGGGUCUGCUAUGUGUUGACAAACAGCUUCCCGUCAAGCUCCAGAUGGGUAGUCUCCAACAACCUCUUCGACUCGGGACAAUGCUUCAUUUCGGGAGUCUUGAGUUCAUGUCCCUCGACGGCGACAACGACAUGAUACUCCUUCCUCCGCCGCGCGACAGCGACAAUGGCGGCCGAUAGCCCGCCCGCCGGCGGCGGAAUCAACGACGUCUUCCCCACGUGGCAGAAGAACAACAUUCGGGUUUGUCCCGUCACCUCCCCCGCUGACGGAGGAGGCGGGGCAACCAUGGCCAAGCUGGAGGCAGCACCUCGUCGGCUGUCGAGCGAGUCGACGGCGCCGGCGCCCCAACGGGGGACACGUCGGGCGACGACCUCGCGUCUGAGACGAAGACGAGCGUCGUUUCCCCGCAACACGCCAACUCCAAGCGGACGAACGAUGCCAGCACGCUCGCGAAGAACUUGCUGGGUGUCAGCCUCGUACCUGAGACGACGGUGUAGUCCGCCCCUGACGCGACUUCGUCACCGCCUGUCGACCAAGAGGUACCGACCGGUUCCCAUCUCGUGCCUUUUAGAUCCAGCUGCGACCCACCGAGCGACCCCACUUUGGUGGACGCUUUUAUAAAGGCAUGUUGAACCCUCCGGGGUAUCAUAUGCGGUCACCCUAGGACCGGCUGACGGCCGUCUCGACCUACGGACCCUCGGGUUCCGAGGAAGAUGACAAGCCCGACUUUUGCUGGGAUUUCUCCGGGCUCGGUAACCCCAGUGUCGUGCGGGACUUCAUGACCGCAUGCGACUACUGCCUUUCCGAUUGUUCCGACGGUAGCCGCAGCUUCGGCGACGAGGACUGCGGCCCGAGUCGUGAAUGUUUCCACGUCGAUCUAGGGGGUCCCGGCGAAGGCAACCAUCUUGGUAUACCGGAAAACGGUGAUCCCCCUAGGCCUGCGCCUCGCGUUGAUAUCCUUCGGGAGCUAGCUGUGGUCCCAGUCCCUGCGGGGGGUCAGGACGCACAGCUCGAGCAAAUCCGCGAGAUGCAGGCCAGGCUCGACGAGGGAGCAGGAACACUUGAGCCGUUCCGACGGAACAUCGGGCAGGAAUGGGAAGACCAAGCUCCGGCCGGAGAAGCGCGUCAUCUGCCCCAGGGCAUCCAGCACCGCAUUGCCGACGACGUCAAGGCAAGGCCACCACCGGCUUCCAGUGGGGUCAGCCAGAACCUGGCUGCGGCAGCAAUACUACUCCGCGCAAUGCCGGAACCAUCGACCACCGAAGGACGGCGUAUCCAGGGAGAGCUCAAGAAUCUCCUGGAGGAUGUCGCGGUCCGACGGGCCAAAAGCCUUGCCUCCCGAAGGCAGGGGUACCCCUCGGAGCAUCGCCCCGCGACUUCUCGAUUCAUACGGGAAGCCUCGGUCCAUACCGAGUGCACGCGCAACACGGCGCCUGCGGCCCCGGGUCACCUUGGCAACGAGCACCACCGCCGCGACCGUCGAGCCCACCUCGACGAAAAGGUGCGCCGAGGCUACCACCCCAGGCGUGGGGGACGCUACGACAGCGGGGAGGAUCGGAGCCCCUCGCCCAAACCACCCGGUCCGCAGGCUUUCAGCCGGGCCAUACGACGGGCGCCGUUCCCGACCCGGUUCCGAACCCCGACUACUAUCACAAAGUACUCGGGGGAGACGAGGCCGGAACUGUGGAUCGCGGACUACCGACUGGCCUGCCAGCUGGGUGGAACGGACGAUGACAACCUCAUCAUCCGCAACCUCCCCCUGUCCCUCUCCGACACCGCUCGGGCCUGGCUGGAGCAUCUGCCUCCGGGGCAGAUCUCCAACUAGGACGACCUGGUCCAAGCCUUCACCGGCAAGUUUUAGGGCACGUACGUGCGCCCUAGGAACUCCUGGGAUCUCCGAAGCUGCCGCCAGCAGCCAGGAGAGUCUCUCCGGGACUACAUCCGGAGAUUCUCGAAGCAGCGCACCGAGCUGCCCAACGUCACCGACUCGGAUGUCAUCGGCGCGUUCCUCGCCGGCACCACCUGCCGCGACCUGGUGAGCAAGCUGGGUCGCAAGACCCCCACCAGAGCGAGCGAGCUGAUGGACAUCGCCACCAAGUUCGCCUCUGGCCAGGAGGCGGUUGAGGCCAUCUUCCGGAAGGACAAGCAGCCCUAGGGCCGCCAACCGGAAGACAUCCCCGAGGCGUCCACUCAGCGCGGCGCCAAGAAGAAGGGCAAGAAGAAGUCGUAAGCGAAACACGACGCCGCCGACGCGGACCUUGUCGCUGCCGCUGAGUACAAGAACCCUCGGAAACCUCCCGGAGGUGCCAAUCUCUUCGACAAGAUGCUCAAGGAGUCAUGCCCCUAUCAUCAGGGGCCCGUCAAGCACACCCUUGAGGAAUGCGUCAUGCUUCGGCGCCACUUUCACAAGGCCAGGCCACCUACAGAAGCUGGCAGGGCCCACAGCAACGACAAGAAGGAGGAUCACAAGGCAGAGGAGUUCCCCGAGGUCCACGACUGCUUCAUGAUCUACGGUGGGCCAGUGGCGAACGCCUUGGCUCGGCACCGCAAGCAAGAGCGUCGGGAGGUCUGCUCGGUAAAGGUGGCGGCGCCAGUCUACCUAGACUGGUCCGACAAGCCCAUCACCUUCGACCAGGGCGACCACCCCGACCGCAUGCCGAGCCCGGGGAAAUAUCCGCUCGUUGUCGACCCCGUCAUCGGCAACGUCAGGCUCACCAAGGUCCUCACGGACGGAGGCAGCAGCCUCAACAUCAUCUACGCCGAGACCCUUGGGCUCUUGCAGAUCGAUCUGUCCUCGAUCCGGACAGGCGCGACGCCUUUUCACGGGAUCAUCCCCGGGAAACGCGUCCAACCCCACGUACAACUCGAUCUGCCCGUCUGCUUCGGGACUCCCUCCAACUUCCGAAGGGAAACCCUCACGUUCGAGGUGGUCGGGUUCCGAGGAACCUACCACGCAGUACUGGGGAGGCCAUGCUACGCCAAGUUCAUGGCCGUCCCCAACUACACCUACCUCAAGCUCAAGAUGCCGGGCCCCAACGGUGUGACAGAACCUCCCAAGUAAUUAGGCCCACCUACAGUUGUCCUUGUCUAACAGACAUCAGACACCCUGUAGAUGUUCCUAAGUCACUUGACAAGUUCGGUAUCUUUCCUUACCUUACCAGGAACGUUUCACCCGUCUUGCAGACAUUACAGAACAUCGGAGAUAAAGAAAUGCGGAAGCGAAUUACAUAAACUUACAUUUUAUUUCAAAAGCAAGCUUGAGUUAUUUUUAUUACAGACCAGACUAAAAGUGAGUGCAGAGCAGUAUUAUACAAACCAAGGGAGGCACAAACUCCUCCCGAUAAGCAAAAGAUCCUAAGUGGAGGACCGAGUCCUCCCGCACUUCAGUCUUGUUUUUCCUCGUUAGGUACCACCUUGGAGCAAAAGCAACAAAAGUUUGUCGCUUCCUCACCUAAAAACAACAAAGGGAUAAACCCUGAGUAUGGAAUACUCAGCAAGUCUUACCCGACUAAGGAAAAGACUCUCAAGGGUAUGCUGGAUAAAUAGGAGUCAAGGAGAGGCUUUAGCAAAAAUCAACUUAUACUUUUGCAGAAGUAGCUUACUAAAGUGAGUCCUUACUUUCAGUCUUUUAACGCCAUGUUAAGUAUUAAUAGACUCCAUUUGCAUCUAGUCUAAUUUCGCAUCACAUCAAGACAACAUCAUUUUUAUCCAUCGUGUUCACAUCCUGACUCUAGGUUGCAGGGAAGUGACCAAGUCUUCAUAACCGCGAAGGUACGGCGAUCCGAAUCGAUUAUACUCAGCUGAGGAUCUCCAAUCACACGACAUAUGUAGCACUUAACCCUUGCAUAUGUCAACCCGCCACCGGGGUUCUUAAGACCGGAUCAGGUUCACGCAAACCGAGAGCACAGAUACACCACCGUCCAGCCUCUUGCCACGGAGGGUACACGCUACUCUCGCCACCGCUCCACGCCCAUUUCGUGUUAUCUUAUUCCGGCCUUAGUCUGCCCGAGGCAAGGCUUACCCAUGAGGAGGCAUGUGACCAGUUAAAGGGUCCUCGAUCAUCAAGCCUACAUCGACAAGGUCCUUAAUUGACUCAGACGGAGACACUACACCGAGACUCUCUUCUCGUGCAAGUCACCCGCCCGGUCUCAGCUUAAUCAUUUCAAACCCAAAGCUUGGUACCUGACAGAGGUACAUCUUUUCCGAUGUUGAACCCAUCAAGGCCUUUGAUAGAUCCAUCAUCAAGUUUUGUUUUUGAAAAACAUCCCACCCACUUUUGCCACAUCAUAUUUUGUAAAAACAAAACCUUUUGUUUUUCUAAAGCCCAGCUAAGCAUCAAAAAGCUUUUAUAAAACAGGUGAUUAAGGAAGGUAAUCAAAUUCAAGGAAGGUAAUGCAGGAAUGGUUUUAUCAAGCAACUCCUAUCACCUAAUGCAGCAAUCAAGUGAGAAAGAUUUUAAAAUAGCAAGGAAGGUGGCAAAUGCACCGGGGCUUGCCUUCGUUCACAGGUGAAUCAGGCUCAGAUCCACAGAUGUCAAAGUAGAAAUGAUUCCCGGCCUGAGACUCCGAAGGUGGUGGUGGUGUCCUGUCUUCGGUGACUUCUACCUCUUCUUCACGUUCUAAUCAUAACCAUACAUAUGUAUAAGAAUGGAUGCCAUGGGAUGCUCAUGAGGAUGCAAAGAUAACAUAAACUUAUUAUUUAUGUCUUGAAUACAACUUGCCUUCACGGAGUUCCGGGAACUUAGGGUUUCCGGAGUCGGUAAAGGAGUUCAUAGGGCAGGGGGGGUGUUUUGGGGUUUGGUGAUCAAACAAGGUCCAAAUCCAUCCAAACUUUACCCAAGGUCUCUAAAUAUUGUGAAAAGCUCACAUAAAAAGUUUGAGAAAUUUUGGGAUUAUUAUCUAAUUUCUAAAAAUCCAGAACUGUUAGUUUAAGCUAUUUUAAAUGCCUCAAAAUUUCUUAUUUCCACUAAAAAUCACAAAAUUAUUUUUAUUAAAUUCUAGGGAAAAUACCAAGCCUAGGAAAAUUGGUUUCAUAAUUUUAGGAUUUUUCUACAUUUUUCUAUAAUUGUUGGAGUUCUGCUGGAAAAAGAAAAAGAUAAAGAUUGAACAGUAUCGGGCCAGAAACAGCCCAAAUGGCCCAAGCCUAAGGAAAAUGCGCGCGCACCUGCGCCCGCGCUGGUGGCUUUACAGAAAAGCCCCCGAUGUUUCGGCUAACUAGGAACAGGUUCAUUCACUGUUUUCGCAAGUCACUGACGCUUUGCACAGGGGUCCUCCAACUUCUGUUUCUUCGCACUGGGAGGUCCCCGACGGUGUUCAAGUGCGGCUGAGCUCCGGCGAGCUACUGCACCGGCCGAUUGAGGCUAAGACUGGCGCUCAGCUUCGGCUGAGACCAAAUCCGAGUCCGUAUGAAUGUUUCCCCCAACUUAAUUUCACCAAUCACGUACUAAAACUCCCUGGCCACGGCGACAGUGCGGUAGACCAAAGGAAUAGCACGUUCCCGAUUAUCUAAGGCAACUCGGUUCAAAUGGGUGGGUCAAGGAGCAUGAGGAGGGCCUAGGGACGCUAGAACAAGAGACGGAGAGCCUUGGACGAACCUGAGUUAGGCUGGCCGCGGUGAGGGUGUUCUUGCGGUGGCGCAAACCGAAUUUGGGGAAAUUGCGAAAUUCACGCUUGCUAGCGAUCAACUGGGGACAAUAGUGGGUGUCGGGGUGCUUGACUACCCUACGGAGCUUGCAGUGGCUUCAAUUUAUAGGCAGCGGCCGCGAGGACAACGAAUUUGAGCGGCGGAUCGUGAUCUGUAACACGGGGUGAGUCACUGGUGGCCGCGCAACGUGGCUUUUACCGUGGCGGUACCUCCAGCGAUCACCGGACAUGCGAAGCACGGUUAGCCGCGACGUGGUAAAGCGUCCGGACACGCGGCGGAUGACGGUGAUGGUUCAACGGCGGUAAGAAUCUUAUCCGAGGGAUCGGUGAGCAAGGGGGAAUGGACUACGGCGGGCCGAGGUGGCAUCCAGCUCACCGGCGGCAAAGAUUUUUACCGGGCGGAACUUAUCCGAUGGCCACGGCGCACGAAUCUCGGCGACCGGCAAUCAACGACGACGGCCACCGGCGACGAGCACGGGAUGGGAUCUUUUUCAGUUUAACCGUACUGUACCAUGGCGUUUCAUUCAGAUGACCCUGACAGUGCAUUUUGAAGCUCAAUUUACUCCUAAUUUUGGGUGAAACCUAUGCCAACUUUCUGCAACAAAGUUGUAGAGCUAUAACCCAUCUAUAACUUUGAUACAAUGUGCUUCCACAAAAAGUCACUGGAUCCCAUUCAUAAUCGAGCUCAAAGUUCAUCCCAUCACACUGCUACUGAAAAUUCAGUUCAGAGAUUGACUGACAGCCCGACUUUGAGCUUAAUUAUCUCUCAAAUACUCUUAACAACUAUGCUUUCAACCUUAAGCAAAGUUGUUCUCCUAAUAUUGAUCUUCAACUUUGAUGUGGUCACCUAGGGCAAAAACUCUAUGCUUUGAAAGUCACAAGGGCUCAAAGUUGUGCUCACAACACUGAUUUCAGACUUAGGCUAUAUAGAGGUCAAGUGGUACUUUUUGCAAAUAAACCCAAAACUUAGGGUUUUGCUUUCAAGUCCACAUAUUUGUGAACCAAAGGACUUAAGAUACUUAUUUGGCUUGGUUUUUGCACUUUAGUCCAAAAGUGGACUAAUUUUGCAUAUAAGCCCCUAGGGUUUGGUUUCAGGGUUUUCCAGGGUUCCAAUUAGGGUUUCUGGUAUCCCAGGGGUAUAAAAGUGAUUCAAGUUUAUUUUUGGGGUCAUUUUAUGACUUUUACCCUAAAGCUUUUAGAUUUUCUCAACUUGGGUUAAGUUUUACCCCUUUAACCACUAUUUAGGGUUAAGUCCAUUAACCAGGGUUCCAUUUGCAAAAACAUUAAAACAAUACAACUUGUUUGAAAUUUUUGCCUAGUGAAUGCACUCUAGAUGUGUCAAACAUAUGUAAUGCCAAUGCUUAUGAUGCCAUGCUCAAGUUUUAGUUAUAGUAACACCAGGGGUGUUACAUCCUUCCCCCUAUAAAAGAAUCUCGUCCCGAGAUUAAAAUCCUAGGGUAGGUAAUGGUAAAGAAAACACAUCACAUUUUUAUUUCCUUAAUUUUGGUAUAAGGCAGGGGUAAUGUGGGGGUUACUUCUUUAUUACAAUAGCUAUACAGGCUUUACAAUUUACAUGAGGCUAAAAAGCCUGGGAAAUUCUUAUCUAAGAAGUCUUGGGUUUCCCAUGUAGCCUCAUCUUCCGAAUGCUGGUUCCACUGUAUCUUGUAGAAUUUGAGAGUCUUUCUUCGGGUGACCCUGUCCUUUUGAUCCAGAACUCGAAUAGGAUGUUCCGAGUACGUUAAAUCUGGUUCCAGGACAACAUCAGUCACUUCAACGGUUCGAUCAGGAACCCGAAGACACUUCUUCAAUUGUGACACGUGGAACACAUUGUGCACAGCAGACAAUGUUUCGGGGAGCUAAAGUCGGUAUGCCACUGGUCCACAUUGCUCAAGCACCAGGAAUGGACCAAUGUACCUGGGUGCAAGUUUCCCUUUAACCCCGAAACGCGAUACACCCUUCAUUGGUGAGACCUUCAGGUAAACAUAGUCUCCUUCCAGGAAAUAUAAGGGCCUUCGCCGUAUGUCUGCAUAACUCUUCUGACGAGCUUGUGCCUUUUUCAUAUUAUGAAUAAUUCUCUGAACCUUUUCUUCGACCUCUUUCACCAUAUCAGGCCUAAAGAAAUAUCUUUCUCUAGGUUCAGACCAAUUUAGCGGAGUUCGACACCGACGUCCAUAUAAAGCUUCAAAAGGUGCCAUCUUGAUACUUUCUUGAUAACUGUUAUUGUAUGAAAACUCCGCCAAAGGCAAACAUUCAUCCCAUUUUUGCGAGAAGUCCAGAACACAUGUCCGCAGCAUAUCUUCAAGCAUUUGAUUCACUCUCUCAGUUUGUCCACUGGUUUGAGGAUGAUAGGCCGAACUGUGGAGUAAUUUGGUACCCAAGGAUUUAUGAAGUUCUUCCCAAAACUUGGAUACGAACUGAGGUCCACGAUCCGACACUAUGGUCUUUGGAACACCAUGCAAACUGAGAAUACGGGCAAUGUAUAACUCCGCAUAGGUAAUGACGGGAUAUUUAACUUUGACAGGGAGGAAGUGGGCGAUCUUUGUGAGUCGAUCAAUAAUAACCCAAAUAGAGUCAUACCCCUUUGCUGUCCUGGGUAGUCCCACAAUAAAAUCCAUACUGAUGUCCUCCCAUUUCCAUGUUGGGAUUGGCAAGGAUUGUAAUGGACCAGCAGUUUUCAUGUGUAUGGCCUUGACACGUCUGCAAGUGUCACACUUAGCCACAUAGCGUGCAAUUUCAAUCUUCAUCUUUGUCCACCAGUAGUGUUGCUUUAAGUCUUGAUACAUCUUAGUGCUUCCGGGAUGAAUAGAAUAACGACUAAGAUGUGCUUCAUCAAGAAUUUGCUGGCGGAGCUCUUCAUUCUUUGGCACUACUAUGCGGUUUUUAAACCAUAUCACACCUUGAUCAUCUUCCUUGAAACACUUGGCUACUCCAGCCUUUAUCUUCUCUCGAAUGUGCUUCAUACCCAGAUUAUCCUUUUGAGCAUCAAUUAUUCUUUGCAAAAUGAUUGACUCAAGCUUUAACUGAUUUAGAGUCCCUUGUUGGAUGAUUCCCAGGUUUAGCUUUUCCAUUUCCUGACACAAAGUGUUCUCGGAGGUCUUCGCCAUAAGACAGUGGCAGGAAGUCUUACGACUCAACGCAUCUGCCACCACAUUGGCUUUACCUGGGUGAUAAUGGAUCUCCAGUUCAUAGUCUUUAAUGAGCUCAAGCCAUCGUCUUUGCCUCAUAUUUAACUCUGACUGGGUGAAGAUGUACUUCAGACUUUUAUGAUCUGUAUAUAUGUGACAGAUAUUACCCAGCAGAUAGUGACGCCAAAUCUUUAGGGCAUGAACCACAGCAGCUAGCUCCAGAUCAUGAGUUGGAUAGUGCUCCUCAUGUCGGCACAACUGCCUUGAAGCAUACGCAAUCACUCGGCCCUCUUGCAUCAGUACACAGCCGAGUCCACUGCCAGACGCAUCACAAUACACGUCAAAAGGUUUAGUGAUGUCCGGUUGAGCCAAUACCGGAGCAGUGGUCAAUAGUGUCUUCAGUUGCUCAAAGGCUUCGUUACACUUAGAAGACCAAUUGAACUUAAUGUCAUUCUUCAACAAACUUGUGAUUGGCUUCACAAGCUUAGAAAAAUCUGGUAUGAAUCUGCGAUAAUACCCAGCUAGUCCAAGAAAACUCCGGACUUGAUGAACAGUUGUUGGGGGUUUCCACUCCAGAAUAUCUUUGACCUUGCUAGGAUCUACCGCAAUUCCUUUAGCCGAUAACACGUGCCCCAAAAAUUGAAUUUCUUCCAGCCAGAACGCGCACUUACUAAACUUGGCAUAUAGUUGAUGUUCCCUGAGGCGCGUCAAUACAAUCCGUAAAUGCUGAGCAUGGUCCAGCUUCCUCCUCAGCAGGUGGUGCAGGCUCACUUGGGUGUAGUUGUGAGUAUAGUAUAUGGACUUCCUCGUGCAACGUGUUGCAGUAAACCUGCAGGUUAUAAACAGUCGAGCUAAGUUCUUUAACUCGGGCCUGAGCCCUUGCUUCCUUAGCACACAUUAGCAAACGAGACUGUACGGCCCAGUCAAGUGCUAAGUCUCGAUCAGCGAGUUGAUCCUGCAAGUGUCGGAUGUCCCUUCUCAGUUCGUUGAUUCUAUCACCGUCAGCGACCCAAGCAUCAGUCCUAUGUUGAAGCGCUGCUUGAAGUCGACUCACACGAGCUUCAAGGUCUCCGAUAGGGUCGUUACUUCCACUGCUGCUACUUUCAUGUCGGGGAGCCAAUUGAUGCCGAGGCACCCCAAUUGGUCCCGUAGACUUGCGUGCCGUUAGCCUGGUACAUGGCGGCAUCUUUUCUAAGGGGGAAAAUGUUAUUAGAAUAGUGCUUAGCAUGAUGCAUGUAUAAUUACAGAAUCAACCUUAGUCGAUUCAACCUUCUAUAUGUUGCACUCUUCCUAUCUGGUCUUUAAGAUAGACUUCUUCAGAAUACUUAGGUAAGAAGAGAAAAGAAUUUUAGGUAAGACUUUCGAAAAUUCUUUUGAAGAUGCCUCAUAAUAUCUGCCAAGAAGGGCUACGCUCCGAUACCAGCUGUGACAGAACCUCCCAAGUAAUUAGGCCCACCUACAGUUGUCCUUGUCUAACAGACAUCAGACACCCUGUAGAUGUUCCUAAGUCACUUGACAAGUUCGGUAUCUUUCCUUACCUUACCAGGAACGUUUCACCCGUCUUGCAGACAUUACAGAACAUCGGAGAUAAAGAAAUGCGGAAGCGAAUUACAUAAACUUACAUUUUAUUUCAAAAGCAAGCUUGAGUUAUUUUUAUUACAGACCAGACUAAAAGUGAGUGCAGAGCAGUAUUAUACAAACCAAGGGAGGCACAAACUCCUCCCGAUAAGCAAAAGAUCCUAAGUGGAGGACCGAGUCCUCCCGCACUUCAGUCUUGUUUUUCCUCGUUAGGUACCACCUUGGAGCAAAAGCAACAAAAGUUUGUCGCUUCCUCACCUAAAAACAACAAAGGGAUAAACCCUGAGUAUGGAAUACUCAGCAAGUCUUACCCGACUAAGGAAAAGACUCUCAAGGGUAUGCUGGAUAAAUAGGAGUCAAGGAGAGGCUUUAGCAAAAAUCAACUUAUACUUUUGCAGAAGUAGCUUACUAAAGUGAGUCCUUACUUUCAGUCUUUUAACGCCAUGUUAAGUAUUAAUAGACUCCAUUUGCAUCUAGUCUAAUUUCGCAUCACAUCAAGACAACAUCAUUUUUAUCCAUCGUGUUCACAUCCUGACUCUAGGUUGCAGGGAAGUGACCAAGUCUUCAUAACCGCGAAGGUACGGCGAUCCGAAUCGAUUAUACUCAGCUGAGGAUCUCCAAUCACACGACAUAUGUAGCACUUAACCCUUGCAUAUGUCAACCCGCCACCGGGGUUCUUAAGACCGGAUCAGGUUCACGCAAACCGAGAGCACAGAUACACCACCGUCCAGCCUCUUGCCACGGAGGGUACACGCUACUCUCGCCACCGCUCCACGCCCAUUUCGUGUUAUCUUAUUCCGGCCUUAGUCUGCCCGAGGCAAGGCUUACCCAUGAGGAGGCAUGUGACCAGUUAAAGGGUCCUCGAUCAUCAAGCCUACAUCGACAAGGUCCUUAAUUGACUCAGACGGAGACACUACACCGAGACUCUCUUCUCGUGCAAGUCACCCGCCCGGUCUCAGCUUAAUCAUUUCAAACCCAAAGCUUGGUACCUGACAGAGGUACAUCUUUUCCGAUGUUGAACCCAUCAAGGCCUUUGAUAGAUCCAUCAUCAAGUUUUGUUUUUGAAAAACAUCCCACCCACUUUUGCCACAUCAUAUUUUGUAAAAACAAAACCUUUUGUUUUUCUAAAGCCCAGCUAAGCAUCAAAAAGCUUUUAUAAAACAGGUGAUUAAGGAAGGUAAUCAAAUUCAAGGAAGGUAAUGCAGGAAUGGUUUUAUCAAGCAACUCCUAUCACCUAAUGCAGCAAUCAAGUGAGAAAGAUUUUAAAAUAGCAAGGAAGGUGGCAAAUGCACCGGGGCUUGCCUUCGUUCACAGGUGAAUCAGGCUCAGAUCCACAGAUGUCAAAGUAGAAAUGAUUCCCGGCCUGAGACUCCGAAGGUGGUGGUGGUGUCCUGUCUUCGGUGACUUCUACCUCUUCUUCACGUUCUAAUCAUAACCAUACAUAUGUAUAAGAAUGGAUGCCAUGGGAUGCUCAUGAGGAUGCAAAGAUAACAUAAACUUAUUAUUUAUGUCUUGAAUACAACUUGCCUUCACGGAGUUCCGGGAACUUAGGGUUUCCGGAGUCGGUAAAGGAGUUCAUAGGGCAGGGGGGGUGUUUUGGGGUUUGGUGAUCAAACAAGGUCCAAAUCCAUCCAAACUUUACCCAAGGUCUCUAAAUAUUGUGAAAAGCUCACAUAAAAAGUUUGAGAAAUUUUGGGAUUAUUAUCUAAUUUCUAAAAAUCUAGAACUGUUAGUUUAAGCUAUUUUAAAUGCCUCAAAAUUUCUUAUUUCCACUAAAAAUCACAAAAUUAUUUUUAUUAAAUUCUAGGGAAAAUACCAAGCCUAGGAAAAUUGGUUUCAUAAUUUUAGGAUUUAUCUACAAUUUUCUAUAAUUGUUGGAGUUCUGCUGGAAAAAGAAAAAGAUAAAGAUUGAACAGUAUCGGGCCAGAAACAGCCCAAAUGGCCCAAGCCUAAGGAAAAUGCGCGCGCACCUGCGCCCGCGCUGGUGGCUUUACAGAAAAGCCCCCGAUGUUUCGGCUAACUAGGAACGGGUUCAUUCACUGUUUUCGCAAGUCACUGACGCUUUGCACAGGGGUCCUCCAACUUCUGUUUCUUCGCACUGGGAGGUCCCCGACGGUGUUCAAGUGCGGCUGAGCUCCGGCGAGCUACUGCACCGGCCGAUUGAGGCUAAGACUGGCGCUCAGCUUCGGCUGAGACCAAAUCCGAGUCCGUAUGAAUGUUUCCCCCAACUUAAUUUCACCAAUCACGUACUAAAACUCCCUGGCCACGGCGACAGUGCGGUAGACCAAAGGAAUAGCACGUUCCCGAUUAUCUAAGGCAACUCGGUUCAAAUGGGUGGGUCAAGGAGCAUGAGGAGGGCCUAGGGACGCUAGAACAAGAGACGGAGAGCCUUGGACGAACCUGAGUUAGGCUGGCCGCGGUGAGGGUGUUCUUGCGGUGGCGCAAACCGAAUUUGGGGAAAUUGCGAAAUUCACGCUUGCUGGCGAUCAACUGGGGACAAUAGUGGAUGUCGGGGUGCUUGACUACCCUACGGAGCUUGCGGUGGCUUCAAUUUAUAGGCAGCGGCCGCGAGCACAACGAAUUUGAGCGGCGGAUCGUGAUCUGUAACACGGGGUGAGUCACUGGUGGCCGCGCAACGUGGCUUUUACCGUGGCGGUACCUCCGGCGAUCACCGGACAUGCGAAGCACGGUUAGCCGCGACAUGGUAAAGCGUCCGGACACGCGGCGGAUGACGGUGAUGGUUCAACGGCGGUAAGAAUCUUAUCCGAGGGAUCGGUGAGCAAGGGGGAAUGGACUACGGCGGGCCGAGGUGGCAUCCAGCUCACCGGCGGCAAAGAUUUUUACCGGGCGGAACUUAUCCGAUGGCCACGGCGCACGAAUCUCGGCGACCGGCAAUCAACGACGACGGCCACCGGCGACGAGCACGGGAUGGGAUCUUUUUCAGUUUAACCGUACUGUACCAUGGCGUUUCAUUCAGAUGACCCUGACAGUGCAUUUUGAAGCUCAAUUUACUCCUAAUUUUGGGUGAAACCUAUGCCAACUUUCUGCAACAAAGUUGUAGAGCUAUAACCCAUCUAUAACUUUGAUACAAUGUGCUUCCACAAAAAGUCACUGGAUCCCAUUCAUAAUCGAGCUCAAAGUUCAUCCCAUCACACUGCUACUGAAAAUUCAGUUCAGAGAUUGACUGACAGCCCGACUUUGAGCUUAAUUAUCUCUCAAAUACUCUUAACAACUAUGCUUUCAACCUUAAGCAAAGUUGUUCUCCUAAUAUUGAUCUUCAACUUUGAUGUGGUCACCUAGGGCAAAAACUCUAUGCUUUGAAAGUCACAAGGGCUCAAAGUUGUGCUCACAACACUGAUUUCAGACUUAGGCUAUAUAGAGGUCAAGUGGUACUUUUUGCAAAUAAACCCAAAACUUAGGGUUUUGCUUUCAAGUCCACAUAUUUGUGAACCAAAGGACUUAAGAUACUUAUUUGGCUUGGUUUUUGCACUUUAGUCCAAAAGUGGACUAAUUUUGCAUAUAAGCCCCUAGGGUUUGGUUUCAGGGUUUUCCAGGGUUCCAAUUAGGGUUUCUGGUAUCCCAGGGGUAUAAAAGUGAUUCAAGUUUAUUUUUGGGGUCAUUUUAUGACUUUUACCCUAAAGCUUUUAGAUUUUCUCAACUUGGGUUAAGUUUUACCCCUUUAACCACUAUUUAGGGUUAAGUCCAUUAACCAGGGUUCCAUUUGCAAAAACAUUAAAACAAUACAACUUGUUUGAAAUUUUUGCCUAGUGAAUGCACUCUAGAUGUGUCAAACAUAUGCAAUGCCAAUGCUUAUGAUGCCAUGCUCAAGUUUUAGUUAUAGUAACACCAGGGGUGUUACAAACGGGGUCAUCACCGUUGGCCCCAUGUACCGACACGCGUACGAAUGCGACGUGGAGUGCGUGGAAUACGCCGAGGCCCUCGCCGAAUCCGAGGCCCUCAUCGCCGACUUGGAGAGCCUCUCCAAAGAGGCGCCAAACAGGAAGCACCAUGCCGGCAACUUCGAGCCAGCAGAGACGGUUAAGUCCGUCCCUCUCGACCCCAGCAACGACACCUCCAAGCAGAUACGGAUCGGCUCCGAGCUCGACCCCAAAUAGGAAGCAGUGCUCAUCGACUUUCUCCGCGCGAACGCUGAAGUCUUUGCAUGGAUUCCCUCGGACAUGCCUGGCAUACCGAGGGAUGUCGUCGAGCACUCGCUGGAUAUCCGAGCUGGAUCCCGACCCGUGAAGCAGCCCCUGCGCCGUUUCGACGAAGAAAAGCACAGGGCCAUAUGCGAGGAGAUCCACAAGCUGAUGGCUGCAGGGUUCAUCAAAGAGGUAUUCCAUCCCGAAUGGCUUGCCAACCCUGUGCUUGUGAGAAAGAAAGGAGGGAAAUGGCGGAUGUGUGUAGACUACACUGGUCUAAACAAAGCAUGUCCGAAGGUUCCCUACCCUCUGCCUCGCAUCGAUCAAAUCGUGGGUUCCGCUGCUGGGUGCGAGACCCUGUCUUUCCUCGAUGCCUACUCAGGGUAUCACCAAAUCAGGAUGAAAGAGUCCGACCAGCUCGCGACUUCUUUCAUCACACCUUUUGGCAUGUACUGCUGCGUUACUAUGCCAUUUGGUUUGAGGAAUGCGGGUGCGACAUACCAAAGGUGCAUGAACCACGUGUUCGGAGAGCAUAUUGGUCGAACGGUCGAGGCUUACGUCGAUGACAUCGCAGUCAAGACGAGGAAAGCCUCCGACCUCCUCUCCGACCUUCAAACGACAUUCCGGUGUCUCAAGGCGAAAGGCGUGAAACUCAAUCCCGAGAAGUGUGUCUUCGGAGUCCCCCGAGGCAUGCUUUUGGGGUUCAUCGUCUCCGAGCGGGGCAUCGAGGCCAACCCAGAGAAAAUCGCGGCCAUCACCAACAUGGGGCCCAUCAAGGACUUGCAAGACGUACAGAGGGUCAUGGGAUGCCUUGCAACUCUGAGCCGCUUCAUCCCGUGCCUCGGCAAAAGAGGCCUACCUCUGUACCGCCUCUUAAGGAAGACCGAGCGCUUCACUUGGACCCCCGAGGCCGAGGAAGCCCUCGGCAACCUGAAGGCGCUCCUCACAAACGCGCCCAUCUUGGUGCCCCCGCUGCCGGAGAAGCCCUCUUGAUCUACGUCGCCGCUACCACUCAGGUGGUCAGCGCUGCGAUCGUGGUUGAGAGACAAGAAGAGGGGCAUGCAUUGCCUGUCCAGAGGCCGGUCUACUUCGUCAGUGAGGUACUGUCCGAGACUAAGAUCCGCUACCCACAAAUUCAGAAGCUGUUGUACGCGGUGAUUCUGACGCGGCGGAAGUUGCGACACUACUUCGAGUCUCAUCCGGUGACUGUGGUGUCAUCCUUCCCCCUGGGGGAGAUCAUCCAGUGCCGAGAGGCCUCGGGUAGGAUUGCAAAGUGGGCGGUGGAAAUCAUGGGCGAGACAAUCUCGUUCGCCCCUCGGAAGGCCAUCAAGUCCCAAGUCUUGGUAGACUUUGUGGCUGAAUGGGUCGACACCCAGCUUCCAGCAGCUCCGAUCCAACCGGAACUCUGGACCAUGUUUUUCGACGGGUCGCUGAUGAAAACAGGGGCAGGCGCGGGCCUGCUCUUCAUCUCGCCCCUCGAGAAGCACCUCCGCUAUGUGCUGCGCCUCCAUUUCCCGGCGUCCAACAACGUGGCUGAGUACGAGGCUCUGGUCAACAGGUUGCGCAUCGCCAUCGAGCUAGGGGUUCGACGCCUCGACGCUCGCGGUGACUCGCAGCUUGUCAUGGACCAAGUCAUGAAGAACUCCCACUGCCGCGACCCGAAGAUGGAAGCCUACUGCGACGAGGUUCGGCGCCUGGAAGACAAGUUCUAUGGGCUCGAGGUCAACCACGUCGCCCGACGAUACAACGAGACUGCGGACGAGCUGGCUAAGAUAGCCUCGGGGCGAACAACGGUUCCCCCGGACGUCUUCUCCCGAGACCUACAUCAACCCUCAGUCAAGACCGACGACACACCCGAGCCCGAGAAGGCCUCGGCCCAGCCCGAGGCACCCUCGGCUCAGCCCGAGGCACCCUCAGCCCCCGAGGGUGAGGCACUGCGCGUCGAGGAAGAGCGGAAUGGGGUCCCGCCUAAUCGAGACUGGCAGACCCCGUACCUGCAAUAUCUCCACCGAGGUGAGCUGCCCCCCGACCGAGCCGAAGCUCGGCGACUGGCGCGGCACGCUAAGUCGUUCGUCUUGUUGGGGGACGGGAAGGAGCCCUACCACUGCAGCCCCUUAGGCAUCCUCCAGCGAUGCAUAACCAUCGCCGGAGGCCAGGAGCUCUUACAAGAAAUACACUCGGGGGCUUGCGGUCAUCACGCAGCGCCUCGAGCCCUUGUUGGAAACGCUUUCCGACAAGGUUUCUACUGGCCGACCGCGGUGGCCGACGCCACUAGAAUUGUCCGCACCUGCCAAGGGUGUCAAUUCUACGCAAGGCAGACCCACCUGCCCGCUCAGGCUCUGCAGACAAUACCCAUCACCUGGUCGUUUGCUGUGUGGGGUCUGGACCUCGUCGGUCCCUUGCAAAAGGCACCCGGGGGCUACACGCACCUGCUGGUCGCCAUCAACAAGUUCUCCAAGUGGAUCGAGGUCCGACCCCUAAACAACAUCAGGUCCGAACAGGCGGUGGCGUUCUUCACCAACAUCAUCCAUCACUUUGGGGUCCCGAACUCUAUCAUCACCGACAACGGCACCCAGUUCACCGGCAGAAAGUUCCUGGACUUCUGCGAGGAUCACCAUAUCCGGGUGGACUGGGCCGCCGUGGCUCACCCCAUGACGAAUGGGCAGGUAGAACGUGCCAACGGCAUGAUUCUGCAAGGACUCAAGCCGAGGAUCUACAACGACCUCAACAAGUUCGGCAGGCGAUGGAUGAAGGAACUCCCCUCGGUGGCUUGGAGUCUGAGGACAACGCCGAGCCGAGCCACGGGCUUCACACCAUUCUUUCUAGUCUAUGGGGCCGAGGCCAUCUUGUCCACAGACUUGGAAUACGGUUCCCCGAGGACGAGGGCGUAUGACGACCAAAGCAAUCGAACCAACCGAGAAGACUCACUGGACCAGCUGGAAGAGGCUCGGGACAUGGCCUUACUACACUCGGCGCGAUAUCAGUAGUCCCUGCGACGUUAACACGCUCGAGGGGUUCGGUCCCGAGACCUCCAGGUGGGCGACUUGGUGCUUCAGCUACGACAAGACGCCCGAGGGCGGCACAAGCUCACGCCUCCCUGGGAAGGGUCGUUCGUCAUCGCCAAGGUUCUGAAGCCCGGGACAUACAAGCUGGCCAACAGUCAAGGAGAGGUCUACAGCAACGCUUGGAACAUCCAACAGCUAUGUCGCUUCUACCCUUAAGAUGCUUUCAAGUCGAUUCGUACACCUCGUUCACAUACAAAGUCUAACCAUCAAGGAAGGGUCAGCCUUGCCUCGGCAAAGCCCGACCGUCCCUCGGGGGCUAGAAGGGGGGAACCCCCUCUGCGUCAAAAUUUUCCUCGGAAAAGGUCUUUCUGCCAGAACGUCUUUUGUGCUUUUCGACUACUUCGAAAGUGGGAUCCUAAAAACGACGGAGUACACGUAAGCAGGACCGAGCCGAGGGACUCCUACGCCUCCGGGAUACGGAUACCUCAUUCAUCACCUUCUGCGAUAAGUAACUCAUGCUCGGAUAAGCGAUUCCGCUGACCGAACAAGUCUUAAUGCUCGGAAACCUUUUUGCCGAAACGGUUUUUCGGGUUUUCUCGGCUACAUCGAUAGCAGAAUCCUACGGAUGAGUAAGAGUACACGUAAGCGGCAAGGCCGACCGAGCCCAGGGACUCCUACGCCUCCAGGAUACGGAUACCUCACUCAUCACCUUCCGUGAAAAGUAACUCUCACUCGGACAAACAAAUCUAUUACCGACAAAUAAGUCCAGAUACUCGAAACGGGGGGAAAAGAAACGCAGCUUUACAACACAACGAUGAUAUGUUUGGGCCUCGGCGGCCGCAGAAAACAUACGCACGCUACGAGAUGAACCGAUCCUGCAGGCUCAGACGUCGAUGGAGGGGGAGCAGCGACACCCUCGGCGUCAACUCCACCUUUGGCGAAGUCCGACCGAGCCUCGGACGGCAACACAGGCGAAGGAUCUCGCUUCGAAGGACGACGUCAGCGCCACGCCUGGGCUAUCGCCGCCAGGGUCUCCUCCAGGAAUCCGGCCCGAGCAGACGGCUCGUCCGGCCGCCCCGAAGCCUCAGCCAGCUGUCCCCCGAGGACAUCAGCCCAGCUCAUGGCCUCGGCAACUCGACUCUAGCGCUGGUCCCGCCAGUGGACGGCCCGGCCAGGCUCCGGCCGACGAAGUCUUCUUUUCGAGCCAACUCUGCCUCUGUCCACACUGACACCGCUGCCUCCGGCUCCGGCUCAUCAAAGAGCGGCCGAGGGUUCCUUUAACUAAGCAAGAGAAGCCUCGAGCGGCAAGGCCGACCAAGCCGAGGGACUCCUACGCCUCCGGGAUACGGAUACCUCACUCGUCACCUUCGCACGAGGCAACUCACACAUGGUGAAGUGGUUCAGUUAGCCGACAGGCGAGUCCUAGUGCUCGAAAUGAGGAAAAAAACACGGCUUCAUGCCAAAAAUACAUACAUGUUCAGGCCCCAACAGCCACAAUGAACAAACACCGGCACUCAAGGUGCCAUUACAAAUGGAACUCCGGUUCUGCCCCCGCAGGUACGAACAACCCCCCACAUUGGAGGGCCUGUGGGGCGACGAAACCCCUGGUGGCUCGCCGACGCCCGCUCCGGUAGCAGCGACAACGACCUCCGCUUCAGGUGGCCAGACAGCAGCAGCGAUGGCCUCAGGGCGGACGCUGCCGCAACAAGGCCCCCGCCCACGUCCCCACUCGAGGGGCGAGGACAAGCUAUCAAAGCCAAAGAGCCGGAGGCCCGGAGCACGGAUGGUGGCGGUGACCCCAUCGGCGACGAGGACUUCUUCAGCCGCCACCACCUCAGCGCCGACGACGGAAGCCAUCUGACCACCGGCAGAUCCCCACUCGGAUCCUCCCGGACGGGCGAACACCGACCUCUGCGCAGAGGCGCCGUACUGGGGCAAAGGCAACUCUCCCCACUUGCAUCCUCAGUCGUCGUGGGCUGAGUCCUCUCCAACACGCUCCAAGGUCCUCCCCCUACGACACGGGGGCUGGGUCCCACGCGUCAUGCAAGCUGGCCCAGGGCAGAAGAAGCCAAACCGCCGUGCGUGGCGCGCGUAACUGCCCAGCGGUUACAAGCGCUCCUCCACUUUUGCCCAAACCAGCAGGUGAAAGGGCGGACCGCCAUGCAGGCGGCAUGCAACCGCACCAAGGGGGCGCACCCUUUCGACUUCGACGCGUCCAGCAUGGAGGCCCAGGCCCACAUGUCAUGUAACCGGCGCGUCGGUUACUACGUGCGAGAAACUGCACCACCGCUCGCGCCAGUAUCGCGCCUUCUCGACUGCGGGACCGGUGCCGUGACUCGAGGCGACCUUGCGCAUGACCCGACAGUGCCAACCGAGCACGUCGGUCACGGGUCAGUCAGCUGCGGGAGAAGGCGCGACGGUCGAUACGACCAGAAAUGGGCCGACAGUAAUGGCGGUGGCAGGCGGGCGGAAGCAGCAGUCAAGUCGUCAGCAGGCUCACAUCCCCUCCUGGGACAGCGGGAGAGCCCUCUCCCACGACGUGAAGACGACGCGCCCGUUUUCCGUUCCCCGAACAGCUCGCGCACGCACAACGGCUGCCCCACGAACCACUCGUCCCGUCGCAUUAACUCUGCGGCAGGACAGGCGGCACCGUUGGCAGGCGAAGCAGGCGACGCAUCACCUCCGCCAUGAUGACCGCGUCAAAAAAGGUGUGCCACGUCAUUCGAUUUCGUAUCCUUUUCCACUUCCUCUUUCUCUCUCUUGCCACAGGGACCGGGAAAGGGGAUACUCCGAAAGGGAUCCUUCUCCACGAAGGAAGCGGGCCCCGAGCCCCCCUACUGAUCAUAGGUUCGAAGGCUGGACCCUCGGAAGGGUUCAACAGCUGUGUUGGGGACUUGUUCUCAAAUGCUAUGAAUUAAGAACAAGGCAACGUAAAAUGUUAAAUAUCAAUGCCCUUCGUCCGCCGAAGCAUUAUUUCCACAAGGAUUUAAUGAACCUCGGACGAAGGUCACAGGCAUAAUGUUACGAAGGUUUUCACCUUCGUAAGUGAGCUUAUAAAAAUAAUACAAAGUAAAGUAAAACAUGAAAUAUUAAAGUUAAAUACAUUGAAAAUAAACGACAUCAUUCACAUAUCUUAUUAAAUGAAUUUAUAAUAUCCGAAUACAAUGUUUAGGUACAUUUAUACCUUUGCCUUUAACAAACAAUAAUUCCCGAGUGGUGCGUUAGCAAUUACAGGAAUGCCUGAACAGUAAAGGAAUACUGUUCACUAUUUAUAGGCACAGGACACAGCUCAUGAGGAAUUACAAUUAUGCCCCACAUAAAAGUUUACAACAAUGACUCAGACCCUUAUGGGCUAAAAGGUCAUUCUAUCUUUAAGUCAGUUCGACCCUUCGUCUUCGGAUAUGCUGUAGUUCCGAAGCUUUGUGAACGGUGUCUUCGGCAUCAUGUUCAAGCAGCUUCAGCCGAAGCUGUUUCUUUCCCCAGGACCUUCGGCGACGAAGCAUGGUCCCAACAGUAGCCCCUUCGCGGUGCUAGAUCGUUUUUCGUAACGAGCUUGAUCUGUGAAAAAAGUCUCUUAGGCUUCAGGAAGCCGAAGGUCCGAAAAACACCUUCCCUGAGCUCGUUGUCGAGAAACGAUACAGUUUCCGAGCGCAGAGCGGUCCCACCGUGCAGGUUUACUAUUUGGUUUUUGCGGCCCACCGUGCAGCGGGUGCGAGCAACUGUUUGCCUGGUGUAAAAGUCCUGAUGAUUCACCUUCUUACCUGCAGCACUAUAUAAACAGACAGGUAGGUGUGAAGUUACCACAUCAUUCAUUGCUAUUGCACUGUUUUGCUGCCAAAAAUUUUAACCAUAGCCGAAGCUUAACUUUCGCGUUCAAACAAAGCUCCUGUUUGGUGUUUGCUUCGUCAGAAGAAGAGCUUCGGAAGAAAAGGUUAUUAAUUUCCAAGAAAUUUUUUAAGAAAUUCAAAAUUAAAUGGCCAGAGUGCGCUCUACUGCUAGAGUUGAGCACGAGGGAGACGAAGCCGAAGGUGCGGAAACUGUUCCUAUCUCUAAAGCAAUGAAGCGAUCUGGAUUGAUGACAUCGGAAGACAUCCCUGCUGCUGAAGCAGAACAAGCAGAUAUUGAGGAGGUUGAUUCUGACGGUGAUUACAAUAUUGCAGUACCGAGCAAGCCUAGUCAUCUGGACUUCGGGAAGUCGACCAUCUCGAAGGCUGAUUUCCCAAAGAUGGUGAAGUCGGGCUACUUUAGCGAAGAUGAGAAAAAGAUGAUUCGUUUUGGUGGAGAAGAAAUUACCCCGAAGCCUCAGAAAGAUGAAAUAGUGAUUUUCAAGAGUUUCCUCAAAGCUGGUUUGAGAUUUCCUUUGAAUAGGAUGAUUGCUGAUGUACUAAAAAAGUUUGGGAUCUAUUUUCAUCAACUAACUCCUAACGCUAUUGUUAGGCUUAGUGUUUAUAUUUGGGCUCUCCGAAGCCAGGGGGUGGAGCCAUUUGCCGAAGGUUUCUGCCGAGUACACGAGCUACACUACCAAACUAAGGCCAGAAAGGAUGGGAUACAUGAAAAUUUUGGUUGUUACAAUUUUGCCUAUCGAAAAACUACAAAAUUUCCUAUGAUCAGCUACCGAAGCAAGUGGUCGGUAGGCUGGAAAUCGGAAUGGUUCUACAUCAAAGUUGAUGACGACAAGGAGAAGCUUGUACAGAGUCCGCUUGAACUAAUCUUCGGAGAAACCCGACCCCAGUGCAAUAUGACACCAGAAGGUCCAACCCAAACGGCGUUGGCUGAAUUCAGAGUUAUUGCAGAGCACAUUGGCACUAGGGAUUUGGUGCAGGAAUUUCUGGCUUUCAAAGUAUUUCCAACUAUGAAGGAAUGGGCUAUGUCGAAGCUUAAAGGAGAGAAGAAAGAGGGGGAGCUUGUCCGACUACCCUAUCAUUAUAAAUUCAAGAAAUAUUUUAAGGCACCCUGCCAAGAAUGGCUCGAAACAAUCGAAAUAAUGAGUACUGGAAUUCUUGGAAAUUACUCUAAAAAAGAGGAUCAAUUGAUGACAGCAGCCUUCAGCACCCGGCCGAAACGAAGGCUAAACAGAGUGUUUGAUGCUAUAGGCUUUGAAUAUCCUGAUUAUGGGCGAUUGGGCGGAGAUGCUGGAGGCCCGAAGAGAAAAAGAAUUGCCAGCGCUGUUGACGAAGAAAGCACCAAAGUGACCAAAAAGAAAAAGGAGAUUUCUGAAAAGCUGAGCCCUGAGCCGAAGGUGGCUGCUGCAAGAAAAAGGAAAACUGCAUCUCCAGAACCAAAAACGUUGGUUCGAGAGGAAGACACUCCCGCGACACCUUCUGCUGCCGAAGUAGAAGAGAUUCUGAAGGUAAUGACUGAACCCUUGCCUGUCAAGCUAAGUCCGCUGGCGCUGGAAUUGAUGAAGUUUUUUCAGAAGGACAAAGAAGCUUCGGCAACAUAAAGUCCUGCACUGCCGAAAAACGAAGAAUUAUUCAAAUAGCAAAUGUGAUUCAUCAGACGCCGCCACCGGCGACAGUUUCAAAAAUUGUUUUUGCCGAGACCGCUGAAGCCGAAGCUACCAGAGUGAAAACCACCGAAGCUGAAACCGGCGAAGCCGAAGCUACUAGGGCCGAAGCCGGGACCACGGAAGGUUCGAAUCUGGAAACCACUCUUGAAGUUAUUGACAAUAUUCUCCUGAAAAUGGUUGAAGAAGAAGCUGUUGUGGCUGCGGUAAACACGACAACUGAAAAGGGAAAAGAGCAGAUCGAUGACAUUUUAGAAGAAGAAAAUUUUAACUUUCAAGAUUUGCUUGGACAAGAGCUAACAGGCGCCGAAAAAGAAGAGUUGAAAAAAUACGCCAUAUCUUGCGGGUAUAAGCCAGGGGCUACGCUAUUUGGUGGGGUCAACGAAGGGAAGCUAAGAUGCCUUCGGAACCGCACCGAGGCCAAAGUUGUUAGAACCCUCUCCAAAAGCGUUGGCCUGCCGAAGCUAGAAGCGGACCUCUGCAGGUACCAGCGACACCAUAUCGCCGGAAGCCUGCUCUAUGCUAAUUUUAAGGUAACAAAUUUUAUUAUUGUUAUUAUAUAUAUAUAUAUAUAUUUUUAGGUCGUUUUCUGACGAAGAUUGUUUUGGCAGAGUAUAUUAUUAAGUAAGGUUCUAAAAAUGCAACAAGAUCUCGAAGAGGAGAAGAACAAAACUAUCAUCGAAGAUUUGGAAGAAAAAGUUGAAAAUUACGAAGCUGUUCUGAAAAAGGACUUCACCAUCUAGGACCUUGAAAUCAUGGCUAAAGAACACGAAGGUGCAUUAGAAAAGAAAGACUUUGUUAUUCAGUCUAUGGAAGGCUCCUUGGCUGAGGUCCAAGCCGAGAAUGACAGUUUAAAGAAUGAAUUGCUCAAACAAUCAGAAAAAACUGAGCAGGAAAAGAAACACCUUGAAGCAAGUCUUAAAACUGAGAUGGAGAAGAAUUCAAAUUUGCAAAAAUCCUUGAAGGAACAUCAAGAGAAAUGCCUAAGCUUCGGCAGCCGAUGCGUGCAGCGGCUGAAGGAUGUGUUUCAUUCUAUCGGAGCCAGCUCUGAAAAAUUUACACCUUCAGCAGAAAACCUGCCCAGCACAUUAGAAUAUAUUGAAGGCGAGGUUGAUGCUCUUGACGAAGUUAUUGGUGGUCAUGCCGACUUCUGCGCCCUGGUAGCUUCUCGGGGCACAGCUACCGCUUUUCUGAAGGCUGGUUGUACGCAUGGAAAAAUUGUGAAUAGACCAAACUUCAGCUUAUCAUCAUCAGAUCUGAUAGAUAUUCCAAGCCUAGCCCGAAGCAUCGGAAAUAGAUUUAUGACCCAGAUUUGGGUAAAUGGCGGGCGGAAAAUGGCGGGUGACGAAGCUCGAAGUCAUCUUAAGCCGGUAAGAAACUUAUAUUUAUUACUUUUACCUUCUCCUUGAAAUUUGCACCUUUCUUAUUCUGCUCUUUAAUAUACGUAGGAUGACGAAGCUGAAGUAUGACGAAGCUGAAAGUAUGACGACCUGAAGCUUGAUAGUUGCUACAAUAUUCUUUCCUGCAAAAAUUCUGGAGAGACUUUUGUAAUAUCAUUAUGGAAAAACUCAUGUAAAUUUAUACAUACCUUGUAAUAUAUUUUGUUUCCGCUAUCUGUGUACAAUCUGCUUUGCUGUGGACGAAACUUCUUUUUUGAGCCGAAGGCGAAAAACACCUUCCCUUCUUUUCGUACACAACGAAGCAUAAAAAAUGUUUCCUUUUUCGAAGUCUUUCCUCAUUGCUGAAGCACCUAUCUUUUUUGUGUGGUAUGAUGAUGAUUCUAUAUAUGUCUAAAUGAAUGUUUAUGAAUGCAAAUAACAUGAUGAAAUGUAUUGUGCAGAUGAAUAUUGGGACACAUGUUCAAAAACCAUAAUUGUAGCCCUUCAUCCCCUUGGGAAUGAUUCAAAUCUUUUUACUUUUCAGCUUCAUUGUUUACUUUUCGGUGUUUCAGCGUUGACUUUUCACUGUAAGCCUCCCUUAGGAGCUUCUUUGCCUUUUACUUUCAGCGGAAUCAGCGUUGACUUUUCGCUGUAAGCCUCCCUUAGGAGCUUCUUCGCCUUUUACUUUAAGCGGAAUCAGCGUUGACUUUUCGCUGUAAGCUCUGCAUUCCCUUAGGAACGACUUUUGAGCUUCUCCCUGUUUUCUUUUCUUUUCCCUUGGCAUUUACAUUUACAUUUUUUGGGGGAUAUCACUUUUAUAGAAUGGAAAUAAGGAAAAGAAAAAUUACAUGUUGUGGCCCCAUUAAAAACCUUUCUCCCCCUUUGGAAAGGAAAAGGGUGCCGCAAAAAAGAAUAGAAAAAAUUACAUCAGACUAAACAUAAUAUCGCCGAAGCUCAUCCGCAUUCCAUGAUCUAGGAAUGUCGUUGCCGUCCAUAUCCUUCAAUCUAUAGGAACCAGGUCUUGACGAAGAUACUACCAAAAAAGGUCCUUCCCACUUCAGCUGUAAUUUGCCUACUGUUUCAGGGUUGGCUACUCUUCGAAGCACCAGAUGUCCUGGUUCAAUGUUCUUCAGCUUAACCUUCCUGUCACGCCAUUUUAUUGUUUCGGCUUGAUAUUUAUUGAUGUUUUCCACAGCUUGAAGUCUGAUCCCUUCUAUAGCAUCUUUUUCCACAGAGCAAUCAGCUUCGUCUUCACCUUCUGCCGAAGCUACCGUUCUUAUCGAUCCUGCUUUGGCCUCUUCCGGGGUUAUUGCUUCAUCCCAAACAAUAGUUUGAAUGACGUAAAGCCUGUUGAUCUUGACAUGGUUGUGUUAUGGCUCCACACCACUUUGAUUAACUCGUCUGACCACUUUCCCCUAGGCUGAUUGAAGAUUGACUUCAUUAUUCCUGUCAUUAUGAUCCCGUUAGCUCUUUCGACAAGUCCGUUUGACUCCGGAUGUCGAACUGAUGCAAAAUGGAUCUUCGUGCCAAUUUGAUCACAAAAUUCUCUGAAAGCUUCAGAAUCAAACUGUGUCCCAUUAUCCACAGUAAUGGCCUUCGGCACUCCGAAGCGACAAACAAUAUUUUGCCAGAAAAACUUUUGAAUAGUAACCGAAGUUAUUGUGGCUAGAGGCUUUGCCUCAAUCCACUUAGAAAAAUAUUCCACUGCCACUACAACAUAUCUUAAGUUUCCUUGUGCUGGUGGUAAUGGACCUAGUAAAUCAAGGCCCCACCUUUGCAACGGCCAAGUGGGUUGUAUUAAUUGAGUUAAAGAUGAAGGUUGUUUUUGAUCUCUUGCACAUUUCUGACAACCUUCGCACUUUUGGACUAAAUCCGCUGCAUCCGAAGCUGCCUUUGGCCAAUAAAAUCCUUGACGAAAAACUCUCCCGAGCAAAGGCCUAGAUCCAAUGUGAGAUCCACACAGGCCUGCGUGUAUUUCCUUCAUUAAUUCUAUACCUUCGGAUCUGGAUAAACACUUGAGCAACGGGGAACAAACCCCACGCUUGUAUAGCUCCCCUUCUAUUAUGACAUAUGGUCGAGUUCUUGCUUCUAUCAUCCUGUUAUAAGCUUCGUCGUCUGAAAGAAAAUUACCCUGAAGGAAAGAAAUGAUUUCAGUUCUCCAAUCUUCACUAUAGAUAGGGGAUAUGUUGAGGACCGCUCUUUCAAGAAGCUCGACCGAAGGUGCUUUUAUUGUUUCGAAAAAUACUUCCGAAGGUAAAGGCAGCCCCUGUGCUGCUGACUUGGCCAAAAGAUCAACAUAUUCAUUUUCACCACGAGGAAUAUUUUUAACAGAGAAUCCUUCAAAAGAAGCCUCAAUCCUUCGAACUGUAUCUAGAUAUUUUUCAAGCUUCGGAUCUCUUGCUUUAUAGCUCUUGUCAAUAUGACCAGAAAUAACUUGGGAAUCAGUUUUAAGAAUGGCCCUUCUGAUCCCCAUUGCCUUUAACUUCCGAAGACCCAAGAGCAGAGCUUCGUAUUCAGCAAUAUUGUUUGUACAACUGAAAUCAAGUCUUGUCGCAUAACAAGUUUUAACUUUGGAAGGUGAAACCAACACAACAGCUGCUCCUGCUCCAAAGGUUCCCCAAGACCCAUCGCAAAACACUGUCCAUGCUUUGGCAUCUUUAUUCGUUUCUUCCUCCUGAGCCCCUGGCGUCCAGUCAGCAAUGAAGUCUGCCAACGCUUGGGACUGAAUCGAAGAUCUAUGGACAUAAUCAAUACAAAAUUCAUUGAGCUCUACAACCCAUUUUCCAAUCCUUCCAGUAGCUUCUCGAUUUCUCAUAAUAUCCUUCAACGGUUGUGAAGAAGGAACAAUUAUGUUGUAAGCUUGAAAAUAAUGCCGAAGCUUCCCUGGAGGCCAUCAAAACAGCAUACAGUACUUUCUCCAAUUCUGUAUAAUUUUUCUUUGAUAAACUAAGAACUUCGAAUACAAAAUAUAUUGGGGCCUGCUUCUUGACUUGGCCUUCAAGCUUCUCCUGGACAAGUGCUGCACUUACCGCUGAGUGCGAAGCUGCCACAUAUAAUAACAAAGGAGCCCCUGGCGUUGGUGGAGUUAGUGUUGUUAGAUCUAUCAAAUAUUGCUUCAGUUCUUCGAAGGCUCUCUGCUGGACUGGUCCCCAUUGAAAAACUUUGGCUGACUUCAGCACUUCAAAAAAUGGUAAAUUUCUCUCUGCUAAUCUAGAUAUGAAUCUGUUGAGAGAUGCCAGCCUUCCUGUCAAUCUUUGAGCCCCCUUCUUUGUACUUGGUGGUUCCAUUCGAAGUAUAGCUUCGAUUUUUCUUGGAUUAGCCUCAAUUCCCUUUGUUGAAACUAGACAACCAAGAAAUUUCCCCUUCUUCACUCCGAAGACACAUUUUUCUGGAUUCAGCUUUAAACCAGUCUGUCUAAAAUUAGUGAAGGUCUCCUGCAAAUCAGCAAUGUGAUUAUCUUGCUUCGUGCUUUUUACAAUGAUAUCAUCAACAUAAGUUAGCACAUUCCUGCCUAUCUGAGAAUGGAGAACCUUCGCAGUCAUUCUGCUGAAGCUUCCUCCAGCAUUCUUAAGCCCCUCAGGCAUCCGAAGGUAACAAUAUGUUCCACUAGGGGUUAUGAAGCUGGUUUUCGGUUCAUCCUCCUUCUUCAUCCAGAUUUGGUGAUAGCCUGAAUAGCAAUCCAGCAGACUCAUAAGCUCUGAUGAAGCUGCUGCAUCGACUAAGGAAUCUAUCCUUGGCAAUGGAAACUCGUCCUUCAGACAGGCCUUAUUGAGAUCAGUAAAAUCGAUACACAUUCUCCAUUUACCAUUGGCCUUCUUCACCAUAACAGUGUUAGCCAACCAUUCUGGGUAUUUUACCUCUCUGAUAACUCCGGCACUGAGGAGUCUUUUCACUUCAUUCCGAGCACCUUUGGCCUUGUCAUCAGACAUCUUUCGAAGCCUCUGCUUUCUGGUCUGAAGGAUGGAUCAACAUUGAGCGAAUGCUCAAUAAUAUCCCUGUUAACUCCGCAAAGAUCAUUAGCUGACCAAGCAAAAACAUCUUUAUUGUUGAUCAAAAACCUUAUCAAGGUUUUCUCCUGUUCUUCGGACAGUUGAGAUCCCAAUAGCACCUUCUGCUCUGCUAUGUCCUCACAUAAGAGCAUGGGCUUCGGCUGAUCAGCCGAAGCAGCUUUUUCCCUUCUGAACUUGUAUUGCUCACAAGCUUCAGCUCUGUUGGGGGCCUUUGGCUUCUGAAGGUCCUCAAAAACGUAAUUUGACUAUGCUUUCCAAGAGAAAUAUGUGAACAGGUACCUUCGAAGACAGAUUGUGAGUAUACAAGAACAUGGUUAAGACGAAGCUUGACUGGGACGGCGAUCACGACGAAGGAUAAGACAAUCACGAAGCUAUGUACAGAAGAGCUUCGGCAUAACGGCAGGAAGAGGAAACCGACUUAAAGAUGAAAAGACAAAUUAGACCCUGAAGAAUUACUAUAGAGUUAUUGAUAAAUGUAAAGGGCAUUAAUGUAAUUUUGCAUGGGCUGCGACCCGUGCCUAUAAAUAGGUGAACAGUAUUCCCGUACGGGACACGCUGAUUUAGCAUUGGUUUUUGCGUCACACUUGUACUUUUACCUUCUUACGAGCUGAAGGUACACUUGCAAUCUGAUAUCAUUUUUAUCUUCCCGUUGUAAUAAAAUGGAAACGGGUCGAUAGUAAUACACUAAUGUUUAUGUUAUCUUUAUGUUUCAUAUGAUUCCUUCUCCAUUAUUACGUUCUAUGUUUAUGAAGAUAUGUCCUUUAUAACCUUCGUCCGAAAACCAUUAUAUCCUUAGGGAAAUAAUGCUUAAAAGGACGAAGGACAUUAACAUUUAACAUUUUGUGUUGCCUUGUUCUUGAUUCAUAGCAUUUGAGAACAAGUUCCCAACAUUGGCGCCCACCUCCGGUGAACUCACUUCCAUUUUUUGAGUCUUGAACACUUUCGGCAAGCAUCACCUUCGUCAUGCCGCCGAAAAAAGCUUCAGCGACAGGGGCUGGUACUUUACAGCCGCUGGAUCCCAAUCAGGAUGUCCUUUCUCUUAGAGAGGCCCGAAGCCAGAAGAGGAAGGCUGUCAGUCCAACACCUCCGGAGGAUGACCUAGAUCAGGAAAUCCAAAACCUAGAGAUCCUUCAGCAGCAGGUUCAACGCAAGAAGGAGAAGAUGGCUCGUCUAGCUGAUCUUCAGAGACAGAUAGACGAAGCUUCUGAAGAGGUUCGUCAUCUUGUUCAAGAUGAUCAAAGCCGAAGGCCUCCACGCAGAGAGCUUCAUCAGGAAGACUUCCACAAUGAGGAUGACUGGUAUGAGGAUUUCCAUCAUGGAAACUUUGCUUUUGAUGAUGCUUCUCCUCUUUCAACAGAAUUGCAGGCUACACCAUGGCCACAGUCUUACAAGCCACCCCAGCUCCCCAUGUAUGACAGUCACUCAGACCCGAAGCAAUUCCUAAUGAGCUAUGAAGCGACAAUAUCUUCGUAUGGUGGCAAUACGGCAGUCAUGGCAAAAUCUUUUGUCAUGGCCGUCAGGAGCGUUGCUCAGACUUGGUACUCAUCCCUUCAGCCAGGGACAAUCACUUCUUGGCAGAAAUUGAAGGAUAUGCUGAUAACUAGCUUCCAAGGGUUUCAGAUGAAGCCAGUCACCGCUCAGGCUCUCUUCCAAUGUACCCAGGACCACGAAGAGUACCUUCAGGCGUAUGUCCGGAGGUUUCUGCGUCUGAGGGCACAAGCGCCAACAGUGCCCAAUGAAAUUGUCAUUAAGGCCAUGAUUAAGGGGCUUCGGCCGGGACCAUCAGCGUAGUACUUUGCCAGGAAGCCACCACAAACGUUGGAGAAGCUGCUCCAGAAGAUGGACGAAUACAUUCGAGCUGACAAUGACUUCCGCCAAAGAAGGGAGGAAGCAUUCAGGUUUUCUGAAAUGACCAGGGGCUUCGGAGGAAGAUUUCACCCGAGGCAUGUUAGGUCAAUCCAUAACUCUGCUCAAACUGAUGAUCGAGGAAGCCAGCAGCAAAGGCCACAACACUCUUCACAAGCUUCGGCCCAACAGCAGAAUUCUUUUCGGCCGCCAGUGCCAAGGGGCAGAGGCGCCAGGGGCUUCGGGGGAAGGUUUGGAGACCAGCCAAGAAAAAUAUAUUGCCUAUUCUAUGGUGAAGACAAGGGCCAUACUACCAGGAUGUGCCAUGUUACCAUCCAGAAGCAGAAGGAAAUAGCAGAAGCAGCAGCGCAACAGAGUCAGCCGAAGCAGGUCAUGCAUACUGCUUCGUAUCACUCACCUUAUAUUCCAUAAUAUGUAGGCAACCAUCCUGCAGCUUCUGUUGCUUCGGCAAGCCAAUCCCAAGCAUCCUAGCAGCAACCUCCACCGCCACCGCCGAUUCAAAGAGGUCAGCAGCCAGAAGGGAGUCAGCGCACUAACCUUCAGCGGGACUUCAGAGAGGAGUCCGAAGCUCGCACAGUCAAUAGCACUGUGCCAGAGUCGAAGCACAUUUACUGACGAAUAUCCUACCUCAAUAGCAGUUCUUUUGCAUUUUCUACAUUCCCUAUUACCCUUUUGUUAAUAAGGAACAAUUAUGAAGAGUUUAAAUGUCUUUAAUUGAAUUUCAAUUUCUUGUAAUACUUCCGUCUUUUACCAUAAUAAAAAUAUGUUUUUUCCAUAGGCUCGAGUUGCCGAAGCAUACGAACUUAUAUUGAUUUGAAGGAUCUUUGUAUUAUCUAAUGGACACAGUACAAAUUGUUCGAAGCAGUAAAAAGUCGUUCCUAAGGGAGCGCAGUGUAAGUUUUCUAAACGUACAGCGAAAAAUAAACGCUGAUUCCGCUGAAAGUAAAAGGCGAAGAAGCUCCUAAGGGAGGCUUACAGCGAAAAAUAAACGUUGAUUCCGCUGAAAGUAAAAGGCGAAGAAGCUCCUAAGGGAGGCUUACAGCGAAAAAUAAACGCUGAUUCCGCUGAAAGUAAAAGGCGAAGAAGCUCCUAAGGGAGGCUUACAGCGAAAAAUAAGCGUUGAUUCUGCUGAAAGUAAAAGGCGAAGAAGCUCCUAAGGGAGGCUUACAGCGAAAAGUCAGCGCUGAUAUAAAAAGUGUGUGUGCUUUAUCACAGGGGUAUGUAUCUGCGGCACAAAUAUCAUUUUUGUAUAACAUGACAUCAUCACAUCAUUUUUGCAUAACAUAAGCAUCAUACAGCAUAAUGCAUCUGGAACAAGAAGGGGAUACAGUAUUGACCUUCGGAACAUAUUUUGGGAAAGAAAAAAUCGUGCUAAGGCACAAGGCAAAUCGGGAUAAAGUGUAGCCCCAUCGGAAAAGCAACACACAGCUUUUUUACAGCUUCGAAGAAUAUUUCACGAAGCUUGGAUAUUUUUUAUCAGAAAAGUAAGCAAAUUCUUAUAGAAAAGAUUUUCUUCUCGAAGCAUGAAAAGAAGGGAAGGUGUUUUUUCGCCGAAGGCUCAAAAAUGGUAUGUAUGCAAAGUUUCAUGCAUCGUAAAGAAUUAAACUAUAAAUAGAUUGUAUAUUACAUUUAAAGUUACAAUAUAUUACACAUUUUUACAUUUCAAAUGUUUUUACAAUGGCAUUCAAUCCUCUUUAAGCACUAUUUCUGCAGCUUCGUUCAAUAGUUGGUUGACAACCUUGUCCAUAAUGGCUUCGGCCAUUUGUCUAAUUUCAUCGUCCCCCUUCGGGUGGGGGCCCGGAGAUGCCUCAGCAGUUUCUGAGGGAAGAAAAGAUACGGCUAUAUUACUAUUACAAACCGAGAACGGAGUUUGGAAAUAAAAAUUACAGCAUCAUAAAAACCACUAAUUAAUACCUAUGUGCCCUUCGGGCUCUGUACUCUUUUCGGCAGCUUUCGCCACUUUUCUAGCAUCGUGGAUGCCUUUUUCACUCCUUUGAAUAAUUUCUUGCGCCAGUUCUCGGCCGUCGUUAUCCCAGAUAUCGGUGAAGAAUUUUCCGCCGAUCAUGCUUGCUUCGGGUGAGGGGUCUUUAAUGUCUUCAGUAGACAAUGUAGCUUCGGACUGCGCUAAGGAUUUUACAUGUUCACAACCUUUCUUCUCCAAAACAGUAGCAAUCCCUCUAGCACCCGAAAAAGCGCAGAUGUCGCCGUGGCUGUUCAGAAUUUCCUCGAAGGCCUCCGCUUCGUGGCUGAUCCAUUCCAUGGGACCUUCGGGAUCGCCUCUUGAAAAAUUCUCUUCACUAGAGAACGCGCCAACGCUGGCAAAGCUGGAUUUUAUCUUUUUGACGCACUCUAUGGAUUUAACAUAACACUUCCUCUGGAAUGCACGAAGCUCCUUAACACUUAUCUCCAAAUGAUUGGCCAAUUGGUCACUAAGCUCUCGUUUUGUCUCUUCAAGUAUACGUUCUUCUUUAGCUCUAGCUAGCUGUUUCUGAAGAUCUUUAAUUUCACGUUUUUUAGCUUCGGCCUGGGCCUUCGAAGCAGCUUCGUCCUUUCUUACCUUGUCUAUCAAUGUAAGCAGAAUUUUAUCUUUUUCCAGAGCUUCGUUUCUCAGUUUAAUAACUUCUGAUCGUAGAUUGUUGAACGCAAUCUCAUAGCUCUCGUCCUCGGCACUCUUUUGUGCUCUCAAUGCGUUGCUUAGAAUUAAACCCUAUAUGAAAAAGAGUUUGUAUAAGAAUAAAAGAAUGAGUUACGAAUUAUAAAGUUUCCAAACGACUAAUCCCCAUACCUUCAGGCUAUUGUACGCAAGGCUAUCCGCGAGAUCUUCUUUCGUCAUAGCGCUUAAGCCAGCUUCGAGCUUCGGAAACCCCAUGCUUCUAGACAUCUCCCGGCAGACAGAUAAUUCUUUAUUGUCUGGGAGGCAGUAUAGGAAAUCCUCUUCGUCCGUCCCAUUGAAUACUAGUGCCCCCUCGGAUAUUUUAAUUCUUUGGCAUAGUGAUUAGCUUCAAAAACUUCUUCUUCCGAUAACUUUUUCCCCGCAGCAUGACGCAUAAUAUAAUCGUAUGUUUUGGAAGAUGCUUCGGGGACAGCAGUAUCAAUUUCUUCGACCGAGGCUGGCUCCGAAAUUUUCAGUUCCUCGGUUGCCUUUGCAAUUUUUACUUCUUCUGCUUCCGAAGGUACUACCUUGGUUGGUUCUGAAGGCCCAGAUUCAACUCCAGUUUGUUGCUUUGGAGCUUCAGCAACAGACACUUCAGCAAGUGUCUCAGAAGUUUCAGCAGUUUUUUUGGAGUUGUGCUUGGAAGUUUAAUUGUUUCCAAAACAUCUAACACAUUAACCAUUCUUUUCCUUUUUGGGGUUACUGUCGGCCCCUUUUUAAUUUUUGCUACUUCAAUUUCUACUGAAGGACUUAAAAUUUUUGAUAUUUUUGCUUCCUCAGUUGAUGCUUUUGCUUCUUCCAUCUUUUCUGUCGAUGGUGCUUCGGCCAUCUCUUUGGUUUCUGGUAACAGACUCUCUGGCUCCUCCAAUUCUUUUGUUGUUGGCGCUUCGGCCAUUUCUGCGACUUCUGGCAGCAGGGUUGGCUCUUCAGCCUCGGUGGCCGAAGAGGUCUCUCCGGUGAAUUCAGGCACCGUGGCUGGUUCAAUAUAGCGAGGCCGAUGUGUGAGAACUUUUACCCUUUUUCUCUUCGGUGCUGGCUCACUAGGAGCAGCUGCAGUUUUUUCUUUCGCAGAAGUUGUGCCUUUUCUUUUCUGCCCUCGAAUGGGAUAGCGGUAGUCGGGGUAGAUGAACCCGAUUGCAUCAAAUACCCUGUUGAGUCUUUUCCUUUUUCGGCCUCCGAAGGCUGCUGACAAAGCAGUAUCUUCGGCCUUUGAAUAUGCCCCAAGCAAUUCAUCACUUACAGUCUCAAUGCUCUUUAACCAAUCAUCAUCUGGUUCAACGAAUUUGUCUCCAUACUUGAAUGUGUACUUCAGUCGGACUAGCCCACCUUCGUCAGUUUCUUUAAUAGUUUCUUUCGGCAUUUCCCAAUUAUCCGCAAGAGGCCACACUCUGAAGGCAAUAUGUUCUUGUGUUAAAUCCCGCGUCCCAAUAAAAGAACAAACAACUCCGAAGGCUCUCUGGCAUUCUUCGGCUGCUUCAUUCAUUUCCACCUUCGGCCUUCGCAGGCCGAAGCGUUGCCAGAUGGGAUGCAUAAUAAUCUUCUUUAUAUCUUCUCGAGAUUUCAAGUCAUUUUUCACGUAAAACCAUUCCGUCAUCCAAUCGCCAGGCCACCUCUUGCGAAAGGUCGGCACUGGGCAGCUUGACCCAGAACGAGAGCCGAAGCUAUAUCAGCCAAAGUUGUUAUGAUAUUGUUCCUUACCCCAGGGUUUUGUCUCGUAUAACAAUUCGUGUAUAUUGCAGAAGCUCUUUGCAUCAGGUUCCAAGCCUUGGCUCCUCACAGCCCACACGAAAAUAUUCAUCCUUAUGAUCGCUUCGGGGAUAAGUUGGUGAAGGUGGAUUUCAAAUAUCUUCAGCACCUCCACAAUAAAACGGCUCAGGGGAAAUCGUAGUCCAGCUUUCAAGAAGCUUCGAAAUAUUACAACUUCAUUUUUCCUCAGGAGUUGGGCAAGUCUUCUCUCCCUCGUCGGCCCUUACAAUAGACAAAUCCCGAAAAUAUCUUCCCCUCAUGUUGGCAAGAUGACUUUCUUUAAUACUUGAUUUGCCGAAAACUGCAUGGCUUGGUCGCCAAGGUCGAUCUUCGGAGUCUUUGCCACCACUAUCCGCAUCAUAGCUGUCGCUGUCACCAGUAUCUUCAGAUAAACCUUCCAAAAUUUCUUUAGUGAUCUUCUCUGUGUUGGUCUUCGACAUAGACUGAAGAAAACCCAGAUGCAUCUCUUCAGAAAGACUCAGCUUCAUUUCGGCAACAACCUUCUUCUCCUCAGACAUCUCUUCGGAAUUCUUUCCUCUCGCUUUCGAAGCUUAAAACCAAGGAGGCAACAAAAUAUUUGUGGGCAGAAAACUAUUUGAGCAGGCAAAACGGAUGGCAAGGGAGCGUGCCGAGUAAAUUGUAUCGAGCCCGUAUUUAUAAACCCAUUAUGUUGGAAACAGGAGGGCCCCAUUUGCCAAUGACUGUUGCUAUUCUAGCAAAGGGAAGGUGUUUUUUCGGACCUUCGGCUCAAAGCCUUCGUCCAUGUCGCAAUAUAAACUUGUUAUUCCAAGCAAAUUAAUAUUGCGAGGGGCUACUGUUGGGGGCCUUCGGCUUCCGAAGGUCCUCAAAAACGUAAUUUGACUAUGUUUUCCAAGAGAAAUAUGUGAACAGGUACCUUCGAAGACAGAUUGUGAGUAUACAAGAACAUGGUUAAGACGAAGCUUGACUGGGACGGCGAUCACGACGAAGGAUAAGACAAUCACGAAGCUAUGUACAGAAGAGCUUCGGCAUAACGGCAGGAAGAGGAAACCGACUUAAAGAUGAAAAGACAAAUUAGACCCUGAAGAAUUACUAUAGAGUUAUUGAUAAAUGUAAAGGGCAUUAAUGUAAUUUUGCAUGGGCUGCGACCCGUGCCUAUAAAUAGGUGAACAGUAUUCCCGUACGGGACACGCUGAUUUAGCAUUGGUUUUUGCGUCACACUUGUACUUUUACCUUCUUACGAGCUGAAGGUACACUUGCAAUCUGAUAUCAUUUUUAUCUUCCCGUUGUAAUAAAAUGGAAACGGGUCGAUAGUAAUACACUAAUGUUUAUGUUAUCUUUAUGUUUCAUAUGAUUCCUUCUCCAUUAUUACGUUCUAUGUUUAUGAAGAUAUGUCCUUUAUAACCUUCGUCCGAAAACCAUUAUAUCCUUAGGGAAAUAAUGCUUAAAAGGACGAAGGACAUUAACAUUUAACAUUUUGUGUUGCAUUGUUCUUGAUUCAUAGCAUUUGAGAACAAGUUCCCAACAAGCUCCAUCUAUUAUGGAUUGCUUUUGAGUCUGUCCAAUUUCCUUCGGCCCUUCUGGCAGCUUCCUGACUUCCAUGAAUAGCAAUGGGCCCUUGGUCCGAAGGUAUCUUCAUGCAAAGAUAAGCUGGAUGAAGAAUUGCUUCGAAGGCAUUGAGAGUACCACGACCAAUGAUUGCAUUGUAAGGGUAUUCCAUGUCAACAAUAUCAAACACAACUUGUUCAGUCCUUGUGUUGUUGAUAAAUCCGAAGGUCACUGGCAUUGUGAUUUUGCCGAGUGCUACAAUCUGCCUUCCUCCGAAGCCGCAAAGGGGAUGUGUGGCAUCAUGAAUUUUAUCUUCGGGCUCUUGCAUCUGUCUGAAGGCCUUAGCAAAUAUGAUAUCAGCUGCGCUGCCUGUAUCAACCAAAACACUAUGGACCAGAAAUCCUUUGAUCACACAAGAGAUAACCAUAGCAUCGUUGUGUGGGUAAUCCUUGAGUUGAAGAUCCUCUUGGGAGAAGGUAAUUGGAAUGUGAGACCAUCUUGACUUGAUGAAGGGUCCUUGCACCCCGACAUGUUGUAUCCUUCUCUGUGCCUCCUUCUUCUGCUUCUUGUUGGCUGGCUCUGAGCAUGAACCGCCUGUUAUCGAGAGUACCAACUUCGGAGCCGAAGCAGCUCCAGCUUGAAUGUUGAACGAAGCCAUCAGCUCAAAAAAGUGGAAGUGAGUUCACCGGAGGUGGGCGCCAAUGUUGGGGACUUGUUCUCAAAUGCUAUGAAUUAAGAACAAGGCAACGUAAAAUGUUAAAUAUCAAUGCCCUUCGUCCGCCGAAGCAUUAUUUCCACAAGGAUUUAAUGAACCUCGGACGAAGGUCACGGGCAUAAUGUUACGAAGGUUUUCACCUUCGUAAGUGAGCUUAUAAAAAUAAUACAAAGUAAAGUAAAACAUGAAAUAUUAAAGUUAAAUACAUUGAAAAUAAACGACAUCAUUCACAUAUCUUAUUAAAUGAAUUUAUAAUAUCCGAAUACAAUGUUUAGGUACAUUUAUACCUUUGCCUUUAACAAACAAUAAUUCCCGAGUGGUGCGUUAGCAAUUACAGGAAUGCCUGAAUAGUAAAGGAAUAUUGUUCACUAUUUAUAGGCACAGGACACAGCUCAUGAGGAAUUACAAUUAUGCCCCUCAUAAAAGUUUACAACAAUGACUCAGACCCUUAUGGGCUAAAAGGUCAUUCUAUCUUUAAGUCGGUUCGACCCUUCGUCUUCGGAUAUGCUGUAGUUCUGAAGCUUCGUGAACGGUGUCUUCGGCAUCAUGUUCAAGCAGCUUCAGCCGAAGCUGUUUCUUUCCGCAGGACCUUCGGCGACGAAGCAUGGUCCCAACAAGCCACCUCAGAGCACUCGGGCUUCGCGCCCACUACUGGUCAGAGGUUCGAAGGUUGGCCCCUCGGAAGGGUUCAACGGACGCCUCAGGCCACUCGGGCUCCACGCCCACUACUGAUCAGGGGUUCGUAGACUGGCCCCCGAAGGGUUCUGACAGCCGCCUCAGAGCACGCAGAGCGAGGGAUGACCCUGGGUACGUUCGAUACAUAACCAAGGCUCAGGCUACGCUCCUGAGGUACCCUAGGACAUUUCUGAGACCAGCGGGAAUGAUUUUGUAGCUGAAUCCCACCAGAGGGAGGCAUCGAGCCCUUGGACCCCGUCAAAAGGGGACCAGGUCCGGCAAAUCACCCGCAGGUACUUUUGGAGCGCGCCUCCGGGCUACUAGCCGACCCCUAACGAAUGGGGCACGGGCGUCCACUCGGAUUACCCGUUAGCAACUCACUGGAGACACCAUGUUCGGCGCCCUCCGAGGGCAACAUGGCGCUUUCCCCCCUCCUCCUUGCAGAAAGGCGACGCAGGGGCGUAUGUAAAAAGCUGAGUCUGUCCCUGACCGUCCUCUCGCUCUGUGCGGAGGCUCGGGGGCUGCUCUCGCAAACCCGGCUCCGGCCAAACCGUUGACAGCGUCAACAUACCAGCCCGAGAACUUGGGACUCGACUAUGCACCCGGGCUACGGCCAGUUCGCAUGAGGGAACAACCAGACCGGCCGAAGCAUCACAAAACGCGCUAAGACCUCGAAGGAGUCAAACCACUCCUCCGAGGCCUCGGGGGCUACACCCGGCGAGUGCGCUCGCGCGCACCCAUCUGAACGAAACGCAACCGAGAAAGGCCGGUCCCCUUGCAAAAAAGUGCGACAAAAGCCUCCAAGCGAGUAUCAACACUCCCUUCGAGGCUCGGGGGCUACUGUCAGGGACCAUAAUUAGGGGUACCCCCAAGACUCCUAAUCUCAGCUGGUAACCCCCAUCAGCACAAAGCUGCAAAGGCCUGAUGGGUGCGAUUAAGUCAAGGCUCAGUCCACUCAAGGGACACGAUCUCGCCUCGCUCGAGCCCAACCUCGGGCAAGGGCAGCCGACCCCGGAGGAUUCAUGUCUCGCCCGAGGGCCCCCUCAAGCAACGGACACACCUUCGGCUCGCCCGAGGCCCAGUCUUCGCCGAGAAGCAACCUUGGCCAGAUCGCCACGCCGACCGACCGUAUCGCAGGAGCAUUUAAUGCAAGGAUCGCCUGACACCUUAUCCUAACGAGCGCUCUUCAGUCGACAGAGCCGAAGUGACCGCAGUCACUUCGCCGCUCCACUGACCGACCUGACAAGAAGACAGCGCCGCCUGCGUCGCUCCGACUGCUGUGCCACUCGACAGAGUGAGGCUGACAGCAGCCAAGUCCGGCCUCGGGCGCCAUAGGAAGCUCCGCCUCGCCCGACCCUAGGGCUCAGGCUCAGCCUCGGCUCCGGAAGACGACGAACUCUGCCUCGCCCGACCCCAGGGCUCGGCCUCAGCCUCGGCUCCGGAAGACGACGAACUCCGCCUCGCCCGACCCCAGGGCUCCGACUCAGCCUCGGCUCCGGAAGACGACGAACUCCGCCUCGCCCAACCCUAGGGCUCGGACUCAGCCUCGGCUCCGGAAGACGACGAACUCCGCCUCGCCCAACCCCAGGGCUCGGACUCAGCCUCGGCUCCGGAAGAUGACGAACUCCGCCUCGCCCGAGCCCAGGGCUCGGACUUAGCCUUGGCCUCGGACGACGGUCUCCGCCUCGCUCGACCCGAGGCUCGGACUCGACCUCGACCUCGGAAGACAGACUCGACCUCGACCUUGGAGGAGCCUCCGCCUCGCACGACCCAGGGCUCGGACCGACCACAUCACAGGGGGGCCAUCAUUACCCUACCCCUAGCUAGCUCAGGCUACGGGGAACAAGACCGGCGUCCCAUCUGGCUCGCCCCGGUAAACAAAUAAUGAUGGCGCCCCGCGUGCUCCAUGACGACGGCGACUCUCAGCCCCUUAUGUAAGCAAGGAGACGUCAGCAAGGACUCGACAGCCCCGACAUCUGUCCUUACGCAAGGCUCCAGCGCUCCUCCGACGGCCACGACAUCACAUGAACAGGGUGCCAAAACCUCUCCGGUUGCCACGACGGCUUGUACUUAGGGCUCUAGCUCCUCUCUGCUAGACACGUUAGCACACUGCUACAUCCCCCAUUGUACACCUGGGCCCUCUCCUUACGCCUAUAAAAGGAAGGUCCAUGGCUCUCGUACGAGAAGGUUGGCCGCGCGAGAGAACGGGCCGGCGCGUAGGGCUCUCUCUCUCUCCCGCGCGGACGCUUGUAACCCCCUACUGCAAGCGCACCCGACCUAGGCGCAGGACAACACGAAGGCCGCGGGUUUCCCUUUUUGCCUGUCUCCUUCCCCCCUUCGUGCUCCGUCUCGCGCCGACCCAUCUGGGCUGGGACACGCGGCGACAAUUUACUUGUCGGUCCAGGGACCCCCCAGGGUCGAAACGCUGACAGGCGCCCUUUCACGGGAUCAUCCCCGGGAAGCGCGUCCAGCCCCUUGGACAACUCGAUCUGCCCGUCUGCUUCGGGACUCCCUCCAACUUCCGAAAGGAAACCCUCACGUUCGAGGUGGUCGGGUUUCGAGGAACCUACCACGCAGUGCUGGGGAGACCAUGCUACACCAAGUUCAUGGUCGUCCCCAACUACACCUACCUCAAGCUCAAGAUGUCGGGCCCCAACGGGGUCAUCACCGUCGGAUCCACGUAUCGACACGCGUAUGAAUGUGACGUGGAGUGCGUGGAGUAUGCUGAGGCCCUCAUCAAAUCUGAGGCCUUCAUCGCCGACCUGGGGUGCCUCUCUAAGGAGGUGCCAGAUGAGAAGCGCCACGCCGGCAACUUCGAACCAGCAGAGGCGGUUAAGUUCGUCCCUCUCGACCCCAGCAACGACGCCUCCAAGCAAGUCCGGAUCGGCUCCGAGCUUGACCCCAAAUAGGAAGCAGUGCUCGUCGACUUUCUCUGCGCGAACGCCGAGGUUUUUGCGUGGAGUCCCUCGGACAUGCCUGGCAUACCGAGGGAUGUCGCCGAGCACUCGUUGGAUAUUCGAGCUGGAGCCCGACCCAUGAAGCAGCCUCUGCGCCGAUUCGACGAAGAAAAGCGCAGAGCCAUAGGCGAGGAGAUCCACAAGCUGAUGGCCGCAGGGUUCAUCAAAGAGGUAUUCCAUCCCAAAUGGCUAGCCAACCCUGUGCUUGUGAAAAAGAAAGGUGGGAAAUGGAGGAUGUGUGUAGACUACACUGGUCUAAACAAAGCAUGUCCGAAGGUUCCCUACCCUCUGCCUCGCAUCGAUCAAAUCGUGGAUUCCACUACUGGGUGUGAAACCCUGUCAUUCCUCGAUGCCUACUCAGAGUAUCACCAAAUCAGGAUGAAAGAGUCCGACCAGCUCGCGACCUCUUUCAUCACACCUUUUGGCAUGUACUGCUAUAUUACUAUGCCAUUCGGUUUAAGGAAUGCAGGCGCGACAUACCAAAGGUGCAUGAACCACAUGUUCGGAGAGCACAUCGGCCGAACGGUCGAGGCUUACGUCGAUGACAUCGUAGUCAACAGGAGGAGAGCCUCCGACCUCCUCUCUGACCUUGAAACGACAUUCAAGUGUCUAAGAGCGAAGGGCGUGAAACUCAACCCAGAGAAGUGUGUCUUCAGAGUCCCCCGAGGCAUGCUCCUGGGGUUCAUCAUCUCCGAGCGGGGCAUCGAGGCCAACCCAGAGAAAAUCACGGCCGUCACCAACAUGGGGCCUAUCAAAGACUUGAAAGGAGUACAGAGGGUCAUGGGAUGCCUUGCGGCCCUGAGCCGCUUCAUCUCGCGCCUCGGCGAAGGAGGCCUACCCCUGUACCGCCUCUUAAGGAAGACCGAGCGCUUCACUUGGACCCCCGAGGACGAGGAAGCCCUCGGGAACUUAAAGGCGCUCCUCACAAGCGCGCCCAUCUUGGUGCCCCCCGCUGCAGGAGAAGCCCUCUUGAUCUAUGUCGCUGCAACCACUCAGGUGGUCAGCGCCGCGAUCGUAGUCGAGAGACAAGAAAAAGGGCAUGCACUGCCCGUCCAGAGGCCGGUCUACUUCAUCAGUGAAGUACUGUUCGAGACCAAAAUCCGCUACCCGUAAAUUCAGAAGCUACUUGUCGGCGUUUCGAGACAGGGGGGUCCCUAAGCCGACGAGUGAGUGUGCUGCGUGCCCCAGCCCAGAUGGGUCGAGCGCGUGGGCGAGCGCGAAGGGGGGAGAGGCGAGGUGGCCGGAGUCGAGCGUGAGAGAGGUGGAAGUCCCGCGGCCUUCGUGUUCGUCCCGCGCCCAGGUCAGGUGCGCUUGCAGUAGGGGGGUUACAAGCGUCCACGCGGGUGAGGGAAGCGAGCGGCCCCAAGAGAGCGCCUGUCCCGUCCUCGGUCCCGCGCGGCCAACCUUCUCUAAGAAGGCCCUGGUCCUCCCUUUUAUAGUCGUAAGGAGAGGAUCCAGGUGUACAAUGGGGGGUGUAGCAGAGUGCUACGUGUCUAGCGGAGAGAGAGCUAGUGCCCUAGGUACAUGCCAAUGUGGCAGCCGGAGAGAUCUUGGCACCUUGCUGGCGUGAUGUCGUGGCUGUCGGAGGUGCGACGGAGCCUGGCGGAGGGACAGCUGUUGGAGCGGUCAAGUCCCUGCUGACGUCGUCCUGCUUCCGUAAGAGAGCUGGGGACCGCCGUCGUCACAGAGCUGGUGGAGCGCCAUCAUUGCCCAUCCGGCGGAGCUGGCCGGAUGGGAUGCCGGUCUUGUUCUCCGUGACCCGAGUCGAUUUGGGGUAGGAUGAUGAUGGCGCUCCCUGUUGACGUGGCGGGUCUGUGCCCUAGGCAGGGUGACGUGGGGGCUCCUCCGAAGCCGAGGUUGAGUCUGUCUUCCGUUGCCGAGGCCGAGCCCGAGCCAUGGGGUCGGGCGAGGCGGAAGUCGUUCGGCCGAGGCCAGGGCGGAGUCCGAGCCCUGGGGUCGGGCGAGGCGGAGUUUCGUCGUCUUCCGGGUCUUAGCCAGAGUCCGAGCCCUGGGGUCGGGCGGAGCGGAGUUCGCCGUCUUCCGGGUCUUAGCCCGAGUCCGAGCCCUGGGGUCGGGCGGAGCGGAGUUCGCCGUCUUCCGAGUCUUAGCCCGAGUCCGAGCCCUGGGGUCGGGCGGAGCGGAGUUCGCCGUCUUCCGGGUCUUAGCCCGAGUCCGAGCCCUGGGGUCAGGCGGAGCGGAGUUCGCCGUCUUCCGGGUCUUAGCCCGAGUCCGAGCCCUGGGGUCAGGCGGAGCGGAGUUCGUCGUCUUCCGGGUCUUAGCCCGAGUCCGAGCCCUGGGGUCAGGCGGAGCGGAGUUCGCCGUCUUCCGGGUCUUAGCCCGAGUCCGAGCCCUGGGGUCGGGCGGAGCGGAGUUCGCCGUGGCGCCUUUGGCAAGGCCUGACUGCCUGUCAGACUCACUCUGUCGAGCGGCACCGCAGUCGGAGUGGCGCAGGCGGCGCUGUCCUUCUGUCAGACUGGUCAGAGGAGCGGUGGAGUGACGGCGGUCACUUCGGCUCAGCCGGGGGGGCGCGUGUCAGGAUAAAGGUGUCAGGCCACCUUUGCGUUAAAUGCCCCUGCAAUGUGGUCAGUCGGUGUGGCGAUUUAGUCAAGGUUGCUUCUGAGCGAAGCCAAGGCCUUGGGCGAGCCGGUGAUGUGUCCGCCGUAAAAAGGGGGGCCUCGGGCGAGACGGAAGUCUCUCGAGGUCGGCUGCCCUCGGCCGAGGCUAGGCUCGGGUGAAGCGUGAUCGAGUCACUCGUGUGGACUGAUCCCUGACUUAAUCGUACCCAUCAGGCCUUUGCAGCUUUAUGCUGAUGGGGGUUACCAGCUGAGAAUUAGGUGUCUUGAGGGUACCCCUAAUUAUGGUCCCCGACAGUAGCCCCCGAGCCUCGAAGGGAGUGUUAGCACUCGCUUGGAGGCUUUCGUCGCACUUUUUUGCAAGGGGACCAGCCUUUCUCGGUUGCAUUUUGUUCCGGUGGGUGCGCGCGAGCGCACCCGCCGGGUGUAGCCCCCGAGGCCUCGGAGGAGUGGUUACACUCCUUCGAGGUCUUAAUACCUUGCGUAAUGCUUCGGCUGGUCUGGUCGUUCCCUCAUGCGAACUGGCCGUAGCCCGGGUGCACGGUCGGGGCCCAAGCUCUCGGGCUGGUAUGUUGACGCUGUCAACGGGUUGGCCGGAGCCGGUUUUUGCGAGAGCAGCCCCCGAGCCUCUGCACAGGGCGAGAGGACGAUCAGGGAUAGACUCGACUUUUUACAUACGCCCCUACGUCGCCUUUCCGCAAGGAGGGGGGGAGUGCGCCAUGUUACCCUCGAUGGGCACCGAACAUGGUGUCUCCGGUGAGCUGCAAGCGGGUAAUCCGAGUGGACGUCCGUGCCCCGUUCGUUGGGGGUCGGCUAGGGGCCCAGAGGCACGCCCAAAAGUACCUGCGGGUGAUUUGCCGGACCCGGUCCCCUGGCGACGGGGUCCGAGGGCUCAAUGCCUCCCUCCGAUGGGAUUCCGUUACAAGAUCGUUCCCGCGGGUCUCGGAAAUGUCCUAGGGUACCUCGGGAGCGCAGCCCGAGCCUCGGUUAUGUAUCGAACGUACCCCUGGUCAUCCCUCGCUCGGUGUCUGAGGCGACUGUGAACCCUUCGGGGGCCAGCCUUCGAACCCCUGAUCAGUAAUGGGCGCGGAGCCCGAGUAGCCUGAGGCGGCCAUGGAACCCUUCGGGGGGCUGGCCUUCGAACCCCUGACCAGUAGUGGGUGUCGGGCCCACGCGAUCUGAGGCGACUGUUGAACCCUUCGGAGGGCCAGCCUUCGAACCCCUGAUCAGUAGGGGGGGCUCGGAGCCCGGUUCCUUCGCGGAGAAGGAUCCUUUUCGGGGUAUCCCCCUUUCCCGGUCCCUGUUACAAGAGAUAGAGAAAGAGGAAAAAGGAAAAGGAUACGAAACCGAACGACGUGGCGUACCUUUUCUGACGCGGUUAUUACGGUGAAGGUGAAGCGUCGCGCGCUCCUCCCGUCAGAGGCGCCGCCUGUCCCGCCGCGGAGUUAAUGCGACGGGGCGAGUGGUUGGCGGGGCGGCCGUUGCGCGUGCGUGAUCCGUUCGAGGAACGGGUCACGGGGGCACCGUCUUCACGCCGUGAGAGGAGGCUCUCUUGCUGUCCCAGGAUGGGACGUGAGCCUGGCCGACGACGUGACUGCUGCGCCCGCCCGCCUGCCACCGCCAUUACUGCCGGCCCACUUUCGGUCGCUUUGAUCGACGCGCCAGGCUGGCGCUGUUGGGUCGUGCGCUGGGUCGCCUCAAGUCGCGGCAUAGGCUCCACAAUCGAAGAGGCGCGACGGUGGCACAAGUGGCGGUGCGGUUGCUUGCAUGCAGCAACUGGCGCGCCGGUUGCUUGACGCGUGGGCCUGGCCUUCCAAGCUGGCGUGUCAGAAGUCGGAGAAGCGCGUCCACCUGGCGUGGUUGCAUGCCGCCUGCAUGGCUGCCUGCCCCUUCCGCCCGUUGGUCUGGGCAAAAGUGGGGGUCGCUUGUAACUGCUGGACGGUCGUGCGCACCACGCGCGGCGGUUUGGCUUCUUCUGCCCUGAGCCGGUUUGCAUGACAUGCGGGACCCAGCCCCCGAGUCGCAGGGGAGGGCCUCGGAGCGUGUUGGAGAAGACUCAGCCCGCGGCGUCUGGGGGCGCACGUAGGGAGAGUUGUCUUUAAAAGGAGGGAGACUCCUUUCGGAAGGCAACCAUGUCUUCUUCCUCCCUUAUGCGUCAUGUCUUUCCAUCUUCCAAGCCCCCGGAUGGGGGGUAUCCGCCGCCUUUCCGCCUCCUUGUUGGAGGGACGCAACUCCAUGGGAGUUGGUACCUCUCAGCCAUCGUUCGGCUUCAAGGAUUUUCAUCACGCAGCCCGGCCGCACCCCUCCACCGGCGGUCACCCAGGAUGGUGACCUCCGGCUUGAUGGUGGGGGAAACGGGCCAGGCCGCGGCCUCUACUCCUCCCUUGGCCUCAAGGAUUUUCGUCAUCCAGGCCAAGAUGGAAGACGAGGCGAGUCGGGGGGCACGGAGCCGUGUUUUUUCCUCAUUUUCGAGCACUAAGUCUCGCCUGUUGAUUAUCUGAACCGCUUUACCAAGCAUGAGUCGCCCCGUGUCAAGGUGACGAGUGAGGUAUCCGUAUCCCGGAGGCGUAGGAAUCCCUCGGCCCGAUCGGCCUUGUUGUCUGGGGCUCCUCUAGCUUAGUUAAAGAGACCCCUCGGCCGCCCUUCGAUGGGCCGAGGCCAGGGGUAGCGAUAUCAGUAUGAACAGAGGCGGAGUCGGCUCGAGAAUGGGAACCUGGUUGGCCAGAGCCUAGUCGUGUUGUCCGUCAGUGGAGCCGACGCCAAAGUCGAUCAGCCGAGGCCUCGGGUCGGGCCGGCGCCCUUGGAAGCCGGUUGGCCGAGGCCCCAGGGGUAACCGGCCGAGCCGCCUGCUCGGGCCGGAUUCCCGGAGGAGUCCUUGGACCGCGUCGCCGUCCGAGGCUGGGUCGGACUUUGCUGAAGACGUCGUCGAUGCCGAGGGUGCUAUGGCUCCCUUCGGCGUGAAGACCCGAGCCUGCAGGAUCAGAUCGUCUUGUAGCGUGUGCCUUCUGCGGCCGCCGAGGCCGGAAAAAACACACCCUCGUCGCGCUUGCGAAGCUGCGUCUUUUUUCCUCUUGUUUCGAGCAUCUGGACUCUGUCGGUAACAGGGAUGUUUGUGUGAGCGAGAGUUGCUUCUCGCGGAAGGGACGAGUGAGGUAUCUGUAUCCCAGAGGCGUGGGAAUCCCUCGGCUCGGUCGGCCUUGCCGUUUACGCGUACUUUCACCCGUUCAUGAGGCCCUGUUCCCGACUUAGUCGAGAAAGCUUGAAGGACUGCUUCGGCAGGAGAGCUUCCGAACGUGAAGACUUGUUCAGUCCACGGAGUCGCUUUAUCCGAGCGCGAGUUACUUAUCGCAGAAGGUGAUGAGUGAGGUAUCCGUAUCCCGGAGGCAUAGGAGUCCCUCGGCUCGGUCAGCCUUGGCUGCUUACGUGUACUCCGUCGUUUCCAGGAUCCGCUUUCCGAAGUAGUCAAGAAGCAUGAAAGAAAUCCUGCUAAAAAGAGAUCCUUUUUCGAGGAAAAAAUUCGACGCAGAGGGGGUCUCCCCCCUUUUAGCCCUCGAGGGAGGGUCGGGCUUUGCCGAGGCUAGGCCGACCCUUCCUUGACGACUAAACUUUGCGUAGGUGCGAGGUAUAUGAACAACUUGAAAACAUCUUAAGGGUAGAAGCGACGUAGCUGUUUGAUGUUCCAAGCGUUGCCGUAGAUCUCGCCUUGAUUGUUCGCCAGCUUGUAUGUUCCGGGCUUCAGAACUUUGGCGAUGACGAAUGGCCCUUCCCAAGGGGGCGUGAGCUUGUGCCUCCCUCGGGCGUCUUGCCGCAGCCGAAGCACCAGAUCGCCCACCUGGAGGUCUCGGGACCGGACCCCUCGGGCGUGGUAGCGUCGCAGGGACUGCUGGUACCGCGCCGAGUGCAGUAAGGCCCUGUCCCGAGCCUCCUCCAGCUGGUCCAGCGAUUCCUCUCGGCUAGCUUGGUUGCUUUGAUCGGUGUAGGCCCUCGUCCUCGGGGAGCCGUAUUCCAGGUCAGUGGGCAAGAUGGCUUCAGCCCCGUAGACCAGGAAAAACGGCGUGAAACCUGUGGCGCGACUCGGCGUCGUCCUUUGGCUCCAGACCACCGAGGGGAGUUCCUUCAUCCAUCGCUUGCCGAACUUGUUGAGGUCGUUGUAGAUCCGAGGCUUGAGCCCUUGUAGAAUCAUGCCGUUGGCACGCUCUACUUGCCCGUUCGACAUGGGAUGAGCCACGGCGGCCCAGUCCACCCGGAUAUGGUGAUCCUCGCAAAAAUCCAAGAAUUUUUUGCCGGUGAACUGGGUGCCGUUGUCGGUGAUGAUGGAGUUCGGGACCCCGAAGCGAUGGAUGAUGUUGGUGAAGAACGCCACCGCCUGCUCGGACCUGAUGCUGUUCAGAGGUCGGACCUCGAUCCACUUGGAGAAUUUGUCGAUGGCGACCAGCAGGUGCGUGUAGCCCCCUGGCGCCUUCUGCAAGGGACCGACGAGGUCCAGACCCCAUACAGCGAAGGGUCAGGUGAUGGGUAUUGUCUGCAGAGCCUGAGCGGGCAGGUGGGUCCGCUUCGCAUAGAAUUGGCACCCUUCGCAGGUGCGGACAAUUCUAGUGGCGUCAGCCACCGCCGUUGGCCAGUAGAAGCCUUGUCGGAAAGCAUUCCCGACAAGGGCUCGGGGCGCUGCGUGGUGGCCGCAAGCCCCCGAGUGUAUUUCUUGCAGCAAUUCCCGACCUUCGGCGAUGGAGAUGCAUCGCUGGAGGAUGCCCGAGGGGCUGCGAUGGUAGAGCUCCUCUUCAUCGCCCAGCAAGACGAAUGACUUGGCGCGUCGCGCUACCCGCCGAGCCUCGACUUGGUCGAGGGGUAGCUCUCCUCGACGGAGAUAUUGCAGGUACGGGGCCUGCCAAUCCCGAUCUGGCGUGGCCCCGCUCUGCUCUUCCUCGACGUCCAGUGCCUCGCCCUCGGGGGCCGAGGGUACCUCGGGCUGUGCCGAGGGUGCCUCGGGCUGAGCCGAGGGUGCCUCGGGCUGAGCCGAGGGUACCUCGGGCUCGGGCGCGUCGUCGAUCUUGACAGAGGGUUGAUGCAGAUCCCGGGAGAAGACGUCCGGGGGGACCGUCGUUCGCCCAGAGGCUAUUUUAGCCAGCUCAUCUGCGGUUUCGUUGUAGCGCCGAGCGAUGUGGUUGAGCUCGAGCCCGAAGAACUUGUCUUCCAGGCGCCGAACCUCGUCGCAGUAGGCCUCCAUCUUCGGGUCGCGGCAGUGGGAGUUCUUCAUGAGUUGGUCGGUGACGAGCUGCGAAUCACCGCGGGCGUCGAGGCGUCUGACCCCUAGCUCGAUGGCGAUCCGCAACCCGUUGACCAGAGCUUCGUACUCGGCCACAUUGUUGGACGCCGGGAAAUGGAGGCGCAGCACGUAGCGCAAGUGCUUUCCGAGGGGCGAGAUGAAGAGCAGGCCCGCGCCGGCUCCUGUCUUCAUCAGUGACCCGUCGAAAAACAUGGUCCAGAGCUCCGGUUGGAUCGGAGCCGUCGGCAACUGGGUGUCGACCCAUUCGGCCACGAAGUCCGCCAACACCUGGGACUUGAUGGCCUUCCGAGGGGCGAACGAGAUCGUUUCGCCCAUGAUUUCCACCGCCCACUUUGCGAUCCUGCCCGAGGCCUCUCGGCACUGGAUGAUCUCCCCCAAGGGGAAGGAUGACACCACAGUUACCGGAUGAGACUCGAAGUAGUGUCGCAGCUUCCGCCUUGUCAGGAUCACAGCAUACAGCAGCUUUUGAACUUGUGGGUAGCGGAUCUUGGCCUCGGACAGCACUUCGCUGACGAAGUAGACCGGCCUCUGAACGGGCAAUGCAUGCCCUUCCUCUUGCCUCUCGACUACAAUCGCGGCGCUAACCACCUGAGUGGUCGCGGCGACGUAGACCAAGAGGGCUUCUCCAUCCGCCGGGGGCACCAAGACAGGCGCCUUUGUAAGGAGCGCCUUCAGGUUGCCGAGGGCUUCCUCGGCCUCAGGGGUCCAAGCGAAACACUCGGCCUUCCUUAAGAGGCGGUACAGGGGCAGACCUCUUUCGCCGAGGCGUGAGAUGAAGCGGCUCAGGGCCGCGAGGCAUCCCAUGACCCUCUGUACACCUUUUAAGUCCUUGAUGGGUCCCAUGCUGGUGAUGGCCGCGAUCUUCUCCGGGUUGGCUUCAAUGCCUCGCUCGGAGACGAUGAACCCUAGGAGCAUGCCUCGGGGCACCCCGAAGACACACUUCUCAGGAUUGAGCUUGACUCCUUUCGCCUUGAGACAUCGGAAUGUCACUUCAAGGUCGGAGAGGAGGUCGGAAGCCUUCCUUGUCUUGACUACGAUGUCAUCGACGUAGGCCUCGACUGUGCGACCGAUGUGUUUGCCGAACACAUGGUUCAUGCACCGCUGGUACGUCGCGCCCGCAUUCCUCAAACCGAACGGCAUGGUGACAUAGCAGUACAUGCCGAACGGCGUGAUGAAAGAAGUCGCGAGCUAGUCGGACUCUUUCAUCCGGAUCUGGUGAUACCCUGAGUAGGCAUCGAGGAAGGACAGGGUUUCGCACCCAGCGGUGGAAUCCACGAUUUGGUCGAUGCGAGGCAGAGGGUAGGGAACCUUCGGACAUGCUUUGUUGAGACCAGUGUAGUCUACACACAUCCGCCAUUUCCCCCCUUUCUUCCUCACAAGCACAGGGUUGGCAAGCCAUUCGGAAUGGAAUACCUCUUUGAUGAACCCUGCUGCCAUUAGCUUGUGGAUCUCUUCGCCAAUCACUCUACGCUUUUCCUCGUCGAAUCGGCACAGAGGCUGCCUGACAGGUCGGGCUCCGGCCCGAAUAUCCAGCGAGUGCUCGGCGACAUCCCUCGGUAUGCCGGGCAUGUCCGAGGGACUCCACGCAAAGACGUCGGAGUUUGCGCGGAGAAAGUCGACGAGCACUGCUUCCUAUUUGGGGUCGAGCCCGGAACCGAUCCGGACCUGCUUGGAGGUGUCACCGCCGGGGUCGAGAGGGACGGCCUUAACCGUCUCCGCUGGCUCGAAGUUGCUGGCAUGGCGCUUCACGUCUGGCACCUCCUUGGAGAGGUUCUCCAAGUCGGCGAUGAGGGCCUCGGACUCGGCGAGGGCCUCGGCGUACUCCACGCACUCCACGUCGCAUUCGAACGCGUGUUUGUACGUGGGGCCGACGGUGAUGACCCCGUUGGGGCCCGGCAUCUUGAGCUUUAGGUAGGUGUAGUUGGGGACGGCCAUGAACUUCGCGUAGCAUGGCCUCCCUAGUACGGCGUGGUAGGUUCCUCGGAACCCGACCACCUCGAACGUCAGGGUCUCCCUUCGGAAGUUGGAGGGCGUCCCGAAGCAGACGGGGAGGUCGAGUCGCCCGAGGGGCUGGACGCGCUUCCCAGGGAUGAUCCCGUGGAAGGGCGCAGCGCCUGCUCGGACGGAGGACAGAUCGACGCGCAGGAGCUUGAGGGUCUCGGCGUAGAUGAUGUUGAGGCAGCUGCCCCCAUCCAUCAGGACCUUGGUGAGCCUGACAUUGCCGACAACGGGGUCGACGACGAGCGGGUAUUUCCCCGGGCUCGGCACAUGGUCGGGGUGGUCGGCCUGGUCGAAGGUGAUGGGCUUGUCGGACCAGUCUAGGUAGACUGGCGCCGCCACCUUCACCGAGCAGACCUCCCGGCGCUCUUGCUUGCGGUGCCGAGCCGAGGCAUUCGCCGCAUGCCCUCCAUAGAUCAUGAAGCAGUCGCGGACCUCGGGGAACUCUCCUGCUGGGUGAUCUUCGUUCUUGUCGUCGUCGCGGGCCCUGCCACCCUCGGCGGAUGGCCCGGCCCUGUGGAAGUGACGCCGAAGCAUAACGCACUCCUCGAGGGUGUGCUUGACGGGCCCCUGAUGGUAGGGGCACGGCUCCUUGAGCAUCUUGUCGAAGAGGUUCGCACCUCCGGGGGGCUUCCGAGGGUUCUUGUACUCGGCGGCGGCGACAAGGUCCGCGUCAGCGGCGUCACGUUUCGAUUGCGACUUCUUCUUGCCUUUCUUCUUGGCGCCGCGCGGAGCAGACGCCUCGGGAGCCUCUUUCGAUGGGCGGCCCUGGGGCUGCUUGUCCUUUCGGAAGAUAGCCUCAACCGCCUCCUGGCCAGAGGCGAACUUGGUGGCGAUGUCCAUCAGCUCGCUCGCCCUGGUGGGGGUCUUGCGACCCAGCUUGCUCACUAGGUCGCGGCAUGUGGUGCCGGCGAGGAACGCGCCGAUGACAUCCGAGUCGGUGAUGUUGGGCAGCUCGGUGCGCUGCUUCGAGAAUCGCCGGAUGUAGUCCCGGAGCGACUCCCCCGGCAGUUGCCGGCAGCUUCGAAGGUCCCAGGAAUUCCCGGGGCGCACGUAUGUGCCCUGGAAAUUGCCAGCGAAGGCUUGGACCAAGUCGUCCCAGUUGGAGAUCUGCCCCGGAGGCAGGUGCUCCAACCAGGCGCGAGCAGUGUCGGAGAGGAACGGGGGGAGGUUACGGAUGAUGAGGUUGUCGUCGUCCGUGCCACCCAGUUGGCAGGCAAGGCGGUAGUCCGCGAGCCACAGUUCCGGUCUCGUUUCCCCCGAGUACUUCGUGAUAGUAGUCGGGGGUCGGAACCGGGUCGGGAAUGGCGCCCGUCGGAUGGCCCGACUGAAGGCCUGCGGACCGGGUGGUUCGGGCGAGGGACUCCGAUCCUCCCCACUGUCGUAGCGCCCCCCACGCCUGGGGUGGUAGCCUCGGCACACCCUUUCGUCGAGGUGGGCCCGACGGUCGCGCCGAUGGUGCUCGUUGCCGAGGUGGCCCGGGGCCGCAGGCGCGGUGUUGCGCGUGCGCCCGGUGUAGACCGAGGCUUCCCGCAUGAAUCGGGAAGUCGCGGCAUGAGGUUCCGAGGGAUAUCCUUGCCUUCGGGAGGCAGUGCUCUCGGCCCGUCGGGCCGCAGCGCCUUCCAGGAGAUUCUUGAGCUCUCCCUGGAUUCGCCGACCCUCGGUGGUUGAUGGCUCCGGCAUCGCGCGGAGGAGCAUCGCUGCGGCUGCCAGGUUCUGACCAACCCCGCUGGAUGCGGGCGGCGGCCUGACCCUGGCAUCAUUGGCGACGUGGUGCUGGAGACCUUGGGGCAGGUGACGUAUUUCUCCGGCCAGGGGUUGGCCCGCCCAUACCUGCCCGACGUCCCGACGGUCCGGCUCAAGCGCUCCUGUUCCCUCGUUGAGCCUGGCCUGCGCCUCGCGGACUUGCUCGAGUUGUGGGUCGUAACCCCCCGCCGGAGCGGGGACCACAGCUAGCUCCCGUGGGAUGUCGGCGCGAGGCACCGGCCUAGGAAGAUCACCGUCCUCCGGCAUGCCGAGAUGGUUGCCUUUGGAGGGAUCCCCUAGCUCGAUGUGGAAACAUUCGCGGCUUGGGCCGCAGCUCUCGUCGCCAAGGCUGUGGCUUCCGUCGGAACAGUCGGAUAGGCAGUAGUCACAUGUGGUCAUGAAGUCCCGCAUGGCACUGGGGUUGCCAAGUCUGGAGAAAUCCCAACAGAUGCUGGGAUCGUCAUCUUCCUCGGACCCAGAGGGCCCGUAGGUCGAGACGUCCGUCAGCCGGUCCCAAGGCGACCGCAUACGAAACCCCAGUGGGGUUGCACUCGCCUCAAUGAGAGCGCCCGCCAAAACGAGGUCGUUUGGCGGGUUGAGGCCGAGUCGAAAUGACGCAAGAUGGGAGUUAGUCGGUACCUUUUGGUCGACGAGGAGCGACGUAGUCACAUCGGGGACUGGUUGCACCGUCGUCUCAGGUACAAGGGCGACGUCCUGCAGGCUUUCCGCGAGCGCGCUGGCGUCGUCUUCUUGUUCGGGGUCAGCGUGUCGCGGGGGGACGGCGCUUGCCUCCGUCUUGAACGCGAGGUCGACGUCCGGCGUGCCUUCCGUCGGGGCGUCGGGGGCGUCGAUUCGCUCGACGGCCAACGAAGCGCGGCCUCCCGCCUGGCCUUGAUGGCCCCGCCUCCUCCUCCAUUGGCGGGGGAGAGGACGGUGCGAGCCCGAAUGUUGCUCUUCCACCACGCGGGGAAGAUGUCGUCGAUUCCGCCGCCGGCGGGCGGGUUGUCGGCCGCCAUUGUCGUCGUCGCGCGGCGGUGGAAGAAGUAUCAUGUCGUAGCUGCCGUCGAAGGACAUGAACUCAAGAGUCCCGAAACGAAGCACCGUCCCGGGCCGGAGAUGUUGCUGGAGACUGCCCAUCUGGAGCUUGACGGGGAGCUGUUCGUCAGCACGCAGCGUGCCCCUACCUGGCGCGCCAACUGUCGGCGUUUCGAGACAGGGGGGUCCCUAAGCCGACGAGUGAGUGUGCUGCGUGCCCCAGCCCAGAUGGGUCGAGCGCGUGGGCGAGCGCGGAGAGGCGAGGUGGCUGGAGUCGAGCGUGAGAGAGGUGGAAGUCCCGCGGCCUUCGUGUUCGUCCCGCGCCCAGGUCAGGUGCGCUUGCAGUAGGGGGGUUACAAGCGUCCACGCGGGUGAGGGAAGCGAGCGGCCCCAAGAGAGCGCCUGUCCCGUCCUCGGUCCCGCGCGGCCAACCUUCUCUAAGAAGGCCCUGGUCCUCCCUUUUAUAGUCGUAAGGAGAGGAUCCAGGUGUACAAUGGGGGGUGUAGCAGAGUGCUACGUGUCUAGCGGAGAGAGAGCUAGUGCCCUAGGUACAUGCCAAUGUGGCAGCCGGAGAGAUCUUGGCACCUUGCUGGCGUGAUGUCGUGGCUGUCGGAGGUGCGACGGAGCCUGGCGGAGGGACAGCUGUUGGAGCGGUCAAGUCCCUGCUGACGUCGUCCUGCUUCCGUAAGAGAGCUGGGGGCCGCCGUCGUCACAGAGCUGGUGGAGCGCCAUCAUUGCCCAUCCGGCGGAGCUGGCCGGAUGGGAUGCCGGUCUUGUUCUCCGUGACCCGAGUCGAUUUGGGGUAGGAUGAUGAUGGCGCUCCCUGUUGACGUGGCGGGUCUGUGCCCUAGGCAGGGUGACGUGGGGGCUCCUCCGAAGCCGAGGUUGAGUCUGUCUUCCGUUGCCGAGGCCGAGCCCGAGCCAUGGGGUCGGGCGAGGCGGAAGUCGUUCGGCCGAGGCCAGGGCAGAGUCCGAGCCCUGGGGUCGGGCGAGGCGGAGUUUCGUCGUCUUCCGGGUCUUAGCCAGAGUCCGAGCCCUGGGGUCGGGCGGAGCGGAGUUCGCCGUCUUCCGGGUCUUAGCCCGAGUCCGAGCCCUGGGGUCGGGCGGAGCGGAGUUCGCCGUCUUCCGGGUCUUAGCCCGAGUCCGAGCCCUGGGGUCGGGCGGAGCGGAGUUCGCCGUCUUCCGGGUCUUAGCCCGAGUCCGAGCCCUGGGGUCGGGCGGAGCGGAGUUCGCCGUCUUCCGGGUCUUAGCCCGAGUCCGAGCCCUGGGGUCGGGCGGAGCGGAGUUCGCUGUGGCGCCUUUGGCAAGGCCUGACUGCCUGUCAGACUCACUCUGUCGAGCGGCACCGCAGUCGGAGUGGCGCAGGCGGCGCUGUCCUUCUGUCAGACUGGUCAGAGGAGCGGUGGAGUGACGGCGGUCACUUCGGCUCUGCCGGGGGGGCGCGUGUCAGGAUAAAGGUGUCAGGCCACCUUUGCGUUAAAUGCCCCUGCAAUGUGGUCAGUCGGUGUGGCGAUUUAGUCAAGGUUGCUUCUGAGCGAAGCCAAGGCCUUGGGCGAGCCGGUGAUGUGUCCGCCGUAAAAAGGGGGGCCUCGGGCGAGACGGAAGUCUCUCGAGGUCGGCUGCCCUCGGCCGAGGCUAGGCUCGGGUGAAGCGUGAUCGAGUCACUCGUGUGGACUGAUCCCUGACUUAAUCGUACCCAUCAGGCCUUUGCAGCUUUAUGCUGAUGGGGGUUACCAGCUGAGAAUUAGGCGUCUUGAGGGUACCCCUAAUUAUGGUCCCCGACACUACUGUACGCAGUAAUUCUGACGCAACAAAAGUUGUGACACUACUUCGAGUCUCAUCCGGUGACUGUGGUGUCAUCCUUCCCCCUGGGGGAGAUCAUCCAGUGCCGAGAGGCCUCGGGUAGGAUUGCAAAAUGGGCGGUGGAGAUCAUGGGCGAGACAAUCUCGUUCGCUCCUCGGAAGGCCAUCAAGUCCCAAGUCUUGGUGGACUUUGUGGCUGAAUGGGUCGACACCCAACUUCCAGCAGCUCCGAUCCAACCGGAACUCUGGACCAUGUAUUUCGAAGGGUCGCUGAUGAAAACAGGAGCGGGUGCGGGCCUGCUCUUCAUCUCACCCCUCGGGAAGCACCUCCGCUAUGUGUUGCGCCUCCAUUUCCCGGCGCCAAACAACGUGGCCGAGUACGAGGCUCUGGUUAACGGGUUGCGUAUCGCCAUCGAGCUAGGGGUUCGGCGCCUCGAUGCUCAUGGCAACUCGCAGCUUGUCAUCGAUCAAGUCAUGAAGAACUCCCACUGCCACGGCCCGAAGAUGGAGGCCUACUGCGACGAGGUUCGGUGCCUGGAAGACAAGUUCUACGGGCUCGAGCUCAACCACAUCGCUCGAUGGUACAACGAGACUGCGGAUGAGCUGGCUAAAAUAGCCUCGUGGCGGACAACGGUUCCCCCGGACGUCUUCUCCCGAGACCUACAUCAACCCUCCGUCAAGACCGACGACAGCUCGAGCCUAAGGAGGCCUCGACCCAGCCAGAGGCACCCUCGGUCGCCAAGGGUGAGGCACUGCGUGUCGGGGAAGAGCGGAAUGGGGUCAUGCCUAAUCGAAACUGGCAGACCCCGUACCUGCAAUAUCUCCACCGAGGAGAGCUACCCCUCGACAGAGCCGAGGCUCGGCGACUGGCGCGGCGCGCCAAGUCAUUCGUCUUACUGGGUGACGAAAAGGAGCUCUACCACCGCAGCCCCACUGGCAUUCUCCAACGAUGCAUAUCCAUCGCCGAAGGUCAGGAGCUAUUGCAAGAAAUACACUCGGGGGCUUGCGGUCACCACGCAGCACCUCGAGCCCUCGUUGGAAACGCCUUCCGACAAGGUUUCUACUGGCCAACUGCAGUGGUUGACGCCACCAGGAUUGUACGCACCUGCCAAGGGUGUCAAUUCUACGCAAGGCAGACACACCUGCCCGCUCAGGCCCUACAGACAAUACCCAUCACCUGGCCGUUUGCUGUGUGGGGUCCGGACCUCGUCGGUCCCUUGCAGAAGGCACCCGGGGGCUUCACGCACCUGCUGGUCGCUAUCGACAAAUUCUCCAAGUGGAUCGAGGUCCGACCCCUAAACAGCAUCAGGUCCGAGCAGGCGGUGGCGUUCUUCACCAACAUCAUCCAUCGUUUGGGGUCCCGAACUCCAUCAUCACCGACAACGGCACCUAGUUCACUGGCAAGAAGUUCCUGGACUUCUGCGAGGACCACCACAUCCGUGUGGACUGGGCCGCCAUAGCUCACCCCAUGACGAAUGGGCAGGUAGAGCGUGCCAACGGCAUGACUCUGCAAGGACUAAAGUCGAGGAUGCACAACGACCUCAACAAGUUCGGCAAGCGAUGGAUGAAGGAACUACCCUCGGUGGUCUGGAGUCUGAGGACGACGCCAAGCCGAGCCACGGGCUUCUCGUCGUUCUUUCUAGUUUAUGGGGCCGAGGUAUCUUGCCCACAGACUUAGAAUACGGUUCCCCGAGGACGAGGGUGUAUGACGACCGAAGCAACCAUACCAGCCGAGAAGACUCGCUGGACCAGCUGGAAGAGGUUCGGGACAUGGCCUUACUACACUCGGCACGGUAUCAGCAGUCUCUAUGACGCUACCACGCCCGAGGGGUUCGGUCCCGAGACCUCCAGGUGGGGGACUUGGUACUUUGGAUACGACAAGACGCCCAAGGGCGCCACAAGCUCACUCCUCCCUGGGAAGGGCCGUUCAUCAUCGCCAAGAUUUUGAAGCUCGGAACAUACAAGCUAGCCAACAGUCAAGGAGAGGUCUACAACAACGCUUGGAACAUCCGACAGCUACGUCGCUUUUACCCUUAAGAUGUUUUCAAGUCGUUCAUAUACCUCGUUCUCUUUACAUACACAAAUAGAGUCUAACCGUCAAGGAAGGGUCAGCCUUGCCACGGCAAAGCCCGACCCUCCCUCGGGGGCUAGAAGGGGGGAACCCCCUCUGCGUCAAAAUUUUCCUCGAAAACUUUUCCGCCAAAACGACUUUUGUGUUUCCCGACUAUAUCAGUAACAGAGCCCCGCGAAACAAAUAAGAGCGCAUGUAAGCGGCAAGGCCAACCGAGCCGAGGGACUCCUACGCCUCCGGGACACGGAUACCUCACUCAUCACCUUCCGCGAAAAAUAACUCUUACUCAGAUAAGCGAUUCUACUACUGACGAAGAAGUCCGGAUACUCGAAAUAGGAGGAAAAUAAACGUAGCUUUAUAACACGACGACAAAAUGUUCAGGCCUCAGCGGCCGCGAAAGACACAUGCAUGUUCAAAACAAAUUGCUCCGGUAGAAUCAGACAUCGCCCGGGGGAGGAGCAGCACCCUCGGCUUCGUCUCCACCCUCGGCGUCGUCUCCACCCUCGGCGAGAUCCGCCCCGGCCUUGGACAGCGACGCAAGCAGAAGGAUCUCCACCUCGAAGGAGGACGCCAACACCGCGCUUGGGCACGCGACGGCCGUGUCAAGCCUCUGUACUUCAGCCAGGGCAGCUUCAUCUUCGUCGGGAAGACAGUACCCCUCGCUGACUCGCUCCAGAUACACAUCGUAGUGGGAAGCGAGCACAGCAAAGGCACGCCUAACGCCGUGAUGCAGCGCCUCGCGGAGUCUGCCGCGCACAUGGCCGCCCAAGGCCUGCAGGCGACUCUGGGGGGAGCUUCCCGAGGGGACGUCGUCAAGACCAAAGACCUGGUAGAAGGCCGAGAUAGCUUUGGACAUGGCCAUGUGGUCGGCCUCCUUCUGCUCAGCCGCCUGGGCAAGUGCCUUGGCGGACUCGUUGAGGGCUGACUCGAACUCUGCAAACAGCCAAAAUAGAAUUCUUCAGACACGAGUUGAUGAAUGAAGCUGAAUCAAAGUCUCAAAGCGGCCAAGACAUACCUUCAGCGUGGGCACGCUGCUCCGAGGCUGCGGCUUGGGCGAACUGGGCAGACCCGACGGCCACGGCCAGGUCCUCCGCAAGGGCUCUGGCCCGAGCAGACACCUCGGCUAGCUGGCCCCCAAGGGCCUCAGCCCGACUUUCAGCCUCGGUAGCCUGGUUCCGAGAUUGGUCCCGCUCACCGAUGACCUGGCCAAGCUCCAACUGCCGCCACUGCGCCUCUGCGCGUGCCGCCGCUGCCUACACCCCCAGCUCAUCACAGAGCAACCGAAGGUCCGCCGCCUCGGCGCUCCAUUGGGAGAGGCGCUCGGUAGCCUCGGCAAG
rnacentral:lncRNA from 1 species